rnacentral:lncRNA from 1 species
UUAUGAGUAGCAAACUUACAUUUGUCUGAAAAAGAAAAAAAAAAGUUCUCAUCAGAUUUGGAGAAAGAUGUAGAGCUGAUUUAAACUAAUUGAAUUAAGGCUUUAUUGAGUUGAUGAGUCAAAAAGCGUCAAUAUUUGCAGGGAAAUUUAAGCAGAAAUAUCUUGUCUGUUUUACACUCCUAUGAACACUAUAAGCUAGUCAUGUUUUACACACUUACGAACCAGCACAUGCAUAUUCUUGAUCCAGCACAACCUCAAAAUUUUCAGCAAUCAAAAACUCAUCAAUUUUCCAUUUUAGAGGUAAUGGUGACUUCUUCCUUGAAAGGCUGAUGCUAAAUUCCUUCCAUCUCUUCAAAAUGGAUACACAUUAGCUUAGUAUAAUGGAUCUUUAGUGUCUCUUACCUUUAGUUUGUACAUGACACCAACUUUUAAGUGUCAAGAUUUCAUAAAUUGAACUCAUUCACUUAGCUUUCUGAUUUUAGGUCAGGUCUUAAGAUCAAGUUAGGAAAAAGAAAAUUCUCUGGAAUCAAUAUGGAUUGGGUUCUCCUUAGAAGUCCUGCCUCUUCUAUUGGGCACAGAACCAUUGGUUGCCCUACUUCUUACCGUCCCUUUAUGAGGGAACUCUAGAGCUCCUCACUACUGGGAUCUUGUAGUUGAAAGAACUGGAGAUAGGUUAACCCUUAUCAAUUUUGCCUAGCUCAAAUAUCUAAUGUACCACCUGUCUAUCUUCAAAAUCUCAAUGAGGUAGCCUCAAGGAUGGAAAAAAAUUCAGCUUGAUUUUCUACAGUCAGGUCCUAAGAUGGGAAGAGGGCUCAUUUAGUGAGCUGAAAGAGUAUAAAUAUCUUCAAAGUCUUAAUGGUUGUGGGUGUUCCUAACAAAAAUAACUUCUUGGGACGUAAUGUUAUUGCAGGCAUCUAUAUUCUGCAUUCCAAUGCAUGGGACACUGACACUUUAAAAGGGUGGUAACAUUGAUCAAGCCAUCCCCCAAGGGUUUCUAUUUUUAGUUCCUUUUUCUCACUUUUCAGUUAGUGAUUGUGUCUGAUCAGGUUUUAAGAGGAAUUAUGGUGGAGAGGAUCAACCUUUUUUACUUCCGAUAUCCCAGAUGCCUUAAUUCAAUUCAAGGCUAGAAAUUCCCCAAAUUCCCCUGCUUCCCUUUUUAUUGUCCAUUCUCACUCAACCCAUUUGUGGAAUUUUCACCUCCUGCCGAAAUUUAACAGACUAAGAAAUUGGCAAUCUUUUUAUCCUCUCAUGCAAUGCAACCUUGAUCCAUAGUUAUAUAUCCCCAACAUUUCUGGAUAAGAAGGUUUGUGCCUUUAACACAUCAAGCUUGUUUUCCUCAAACUCCUUGUUUCAUGCAUUGUCUUAACAGCUUGUCCCCAAGUAUUUUUACAUCAAGCUACCUUUAUCUAGAAAUAUAAUGCUCCACCUAAAGUCAAGGCCCUUGUGGUUGGUCAAUAAAAAAGUGCAAGGCACCAGCAACUUGCUAGAGAUUAUUAAGCCACUGGAGUCCUUUACGUGAAGCAUUGUGUUUUAUGCAGACUGACAAGAUAGUGCAUCAUCUUUUUCUUUACUGUCCUGCUUCUCUGGGAGUCUUUCACAGACCACUAGUUGGUAUUCCUUGGUUCAGAUCUAGAAGUAUUAAAGAUUUGAUAGUCACUGUUCCUAAUAGCAUAGGAAAGAAUUCAGAAGUUGAGCCUCAAGAAAACAGAGGGACUCAGAAUUUGGGCCAUUGGUUUCACAAAAUAUUGAUCUCUCAAGAGGUUUAAGUUAUUCUUUAUCCUGGAUAUCUAGAAUGAUCAAUCAGGUAGCAGACAGGGUGGCUAAAUGUAGAGCUUUAGAGGACAAGGUUUGUCAGAUGGUUUCCCCCCUCCCUCUCCCCCACCCCUACCCUCCCUUCGGUUUGAAAGAUAGCUCAUCUUCUGAACCUUUCUCCACAACUAAUGAAAUACGGUUUCCUAUCAAAAGAAACGAGUGCAAUAUACAUACAGUGCAAAUGAAUGCACAGACACACGUCUUGAUAAAAAAUGAAGAGAUAGAAAUCAUACCAUCCUUAAAAGCAGCUGCAGCUUCUGAAUCCUGCAUUAAAAUUGAAAGAAUUUCAGCAACAGAGAUCAAAGAAAGAAAGAUAUGACCAAUCAUUCAGAUUUAAGGUCCAUAUUUCUGGCUUGACCAGUAAUCAUGACACAAACCUAUACACAUAAUGAUUUUAAGUCAUGAAUCAGUCAUAUGCAAUUUAGACCUGUUGGUUAUUGUGAAGAGAGAGAGAAAAGGGAGAAUUCCUAAUUGUUAUUAUUGAAAAACUGUAAAAAAUACACAUUGGACUUGGGUAUAUAUAUACAUGUUAGUGGGACCCACAAUACAAUAAGGAAAUAAAAGGAAAAGGAAAAGUAAAUAACCUAAAUAACUAUACACUAUCUAACACUCCCCCUAAAGCUAGAGCAUAUAUGUUAUAUGCACCAAACUUGUUACAAAUGUAUUUAAUUCUAGGACCUUUGAGAGAUUUAGUAAAAAUAUCUGCUAGUUGAUCAUUUGAAUUAACAAAACUAGUCGCCACACAUCCUGAUGCGAUCUUCUUUCUAAUGAAGUGACAGUCAACUUCAAUGUGUUUGGUCCUUUCAUGGAAGAUUGGAUUAGAUGCAAUAUACAAAGCGGCUUGGUUGUCACAGAUGAGCUUCAUCUGUUCAUCCUUUCCAAAUCUCAACUCCCGAAUAAGAUGUUUCAGCCAUAUGAGUUCACAUGUUGCCAGAGCCAUAGCUCGAUACUCGGUUUCAGCACUAGAUCUGGCCACUACAUCUUGUUUCUUAUUCUUCCAAGAUAUUAGGUUACCUCCAAUAAAAACACAAUAUCCGGAAGUGGAACGUCUAUCUGUGGAUGAGCCAGCCCAAUCUGCAUCUGUGUAACCAACAACUUGGGUAUGACCUCUGUUCUCGUACAACACACCUUGGCCUGGUGUGCUUUUGAUAUAUCGAAGAAUGCGGAUUACAACAUCCCAAUGGCUAUCACAUGGUGACUGUAGGAAUUGACUAACAACACUUACAGGAAAAGAAAUGUCUAGACGAGUAAUGGUGAGGUAGUUCAGUUUACCUACAAGUCGCCGAUAUCUCCCAUGAUCUCCUAAAGGCUCCCCCUGUCCUGGUAUAAGUUUGACAUUUGGAUCCAUAGGAGUGUCUACCGGUUUACAGUCUAACAUACCGGUUUCUUCCAAGAUGUCUAAAGCAUACUUCCUUUGGGAAAGAACCACACCGGAACUGGAUUGAGCUAUCUCAAUCCCUAAGAAAUACUUGAGUUUCCCCAAGUCUUUAGUCUAAAAGUGGGUGAAAAGGUAUUGCUUUAGUUUCUGAAUACCAUUCUGAUCACUGCCUGUAAUGACGAUAUCGUCCACAUAAAUUACCAAAUAAAUACACUGCACCGAAGAGUUAUGAUGAUAGAAAACGGAAUGGUCUGCUGUACUGCGGAACAUGUCAAACUCCUGAACAAUAGAACUAAAACGGCUAAACCAUGCUUAAGGAGAUUGUUUCAAGCCAUAUAGAGAACGGCGUAACCUGCACACUAAACCAGACUCCCCCUGAGCAACAAAACCAGGUGGUUGCUCUAUAUAAACUUCCUCAGCAAGAUCCCCAUGAAGGAAAGCAUUUUUAAUAUCUAACUGAUAAAGAGGCCAAGAACGCAUAGCAGCCAUGGAGAGCAAUAGACGAACAGAAGCUAUCUAGGAACAGGAGAGAAAGUGUCACCAUAAUCAGAACCAUAAACCUGAGUAUAGCCUUUAGCAACUAAGCGGGCCUUAAGGCGAUCAACCUGACCAUCAGGGCCAACCUUAACUGUGUAGACCCAACGACAACCAACUGUAGAUUUAUCAGAGGGUAAAACAACAAGAUCCCAAGUGCCAUUGGAGUGUAAAGCAACCAUUUCAUCUACCAUUCCCUGUUGCCAGCCUGGAUGGGAAAGAGCCUCAGGGGUGCUCUUGGGAAGAGAAACAAAAGAUAUAGCAGAAACAAAUGCAGAAUAGGGUAAAGAUAAUCGAUGGUAACUCAAAAAAUUGUAAAUGGGAUGAGGAUUACGAGUAGAUCGAUUACCUUUCCGAAGAGCAAUGGGUAAGUCAACAGAAGGAGGCAGAGCCGGGGCAGGAGAAGCCGAAGGGAUAGGAAGUGAGUCAGCAGGUACCUCGGCCAAAGAAGGAGAAACAUCGACACGAUGACGGCAAUGAUAAACCUAAAGUGGUCGAGAAGGCACUACAUCAGGUGGGGAGAUAAUGGGAAGGGGUAAGACUUCAGAAACAGGAAGAGACUCAGAGGUGGAGAAGAACGGGGAGUCCUCAAAGAAAGUGACAUAAGCGGAGAGAAAGUAGCAAUGAGUUUCAGAGGAAUAACAACGAUAACCCUUUUGAAGUUUAGAAUAUCCCAAGAAGAUGCAUUUUGUGGCUCUGACAGAAAGUUUGUCCUGUCCAGGAGUGAGAAUAUGAACAAAGCAAGUACAACAAAAAACACGAGGAGGAAGAAAAUAAAGUGGUUGGUCAGGGAAAAGAAGGGAAUGAGUAAUCUGAUUGUGUAAUACAAAUGAGGGCAUACGAUUAAUCAAAUAACAUGCUGUAAGAACAGCAUCCCCCAAAAACGAAAAGGAACAUGACUAUGGAGAAGGAGAGUACGAGCUGUCUCAACAAGAUGUCGAUUCUUACGUUCAACUACCCCAUUUUGUUGAGUAUGAGCACAAGAAGACUAAUGAAUGAUCCCAUGUUGGGACAUAAAUGAAGUAAAUGGUGUAGAAAAAUAUUCCCUGGCAUUGUCACUGCGCAACACACGAAUAGAAAUAUUGAACUGGGUUUGGAUUUCAACAUAAAAUUUCUGAAAAAUAAAGAAUAACUCAGCUCGAUUUUUCAUUAAAAAUAACCAAGUACAUUGAGAAUAGUCAUCAAUGAAAGUGACAAAAUACUGAAAUCCUAAAGUAGACGCUAUCCGACAAGGACUCCAAACAUCAGUGUGAACAAGUUCAAAAGGAGACUUUGCCCCAUUAUUCAAACGCUUUGGGAACGAGACACGAGUAUGUUUCCCAAGUUGACAGGACUCACACGCAAGCGACGACAAAGAUGAAAAACUAGGGACCAUUUUCUGGAACUUGGAUAGACUAGGGUGGCCCAAACGAUUGUGGAUGAGGAGGGGAGCAUCAGUGGAAAUGCAAACUGCAGGAGUUGAAGGCGCGGUGAGGUGAUAGAGGCCUUGAGACUCACGUCCUAUGCCAAUCGUCUUCCCCGUACUCCGGUCCUGCAAGGUCACAAAUUUAUCAAAGAAAGUGAUAGAACAGUUAAGAGUGCGAGUUAUUUUGCUGAUGGAAAUAAGAUUAAAAGGACACUCAGGGGCAUAAAGGACAGAAUGGAGAGGUAAGGAAAGGAGAGGAUGAGCGAAACCAAAACCUUUAGCCAUAGUUUGGGAACCAUUAGCUAAAGUAACAAUAGGUAAGGUAGAGGUAGUAGUAAUAGAAGAGAAAAGAUCCUUAUUACCAGACAUGUGAUCAUAAGUGCCAGAAUCUAGAAUCCAAGGUCCAAGAGAAGAUGUGUGGGUAAGACAAGUAGAAGCAUUACUAGUCUGGGCAACAGAAGCAACAGAAGCUGACUUGGUGGCCUGAUAGCGGAGAUAGUCAUCAUACUCACUGUCAGUGAGGGAAAUACCCUGAGAUGUGAAGGAACUGGGAGGUUGAGGCGACUGAGGAUCAGAUGACUAGGCCACGUGGGCAGUGCGGGGAGGCCGCCCAUGUAACUGAUAACACCGAUCACGAGUGUAGCCAAGCUUAUUGUAAUAGGUGCAAUGAGGACAUUGGCCUCUACCUCGUUUACCACUGCGUCCUCCUCGAGAGCUAGUUUGAGAAACUAACACAGAAGAAUCUAAAGUGUUAUCAGAUGGCAAAGUCUAAGUGGAGGAGAUACGGAAGAGGCGAGCAAACACAUCAUCCAAGGAUGGAACAGAGGAACUGCCAAGAAUCUAAUCGCGAACGGUCUCGAGAUCUGGAUGGAGGCCAAUAAGCGUAAGAACCAUGAAGAACUUGUCAAUCUGUGUUCGUUGAUCCCCAACAUCAGUAGUAAGAGGCAUCACGGUCAAGAAUUCCUCCUUAAGAGAGGCAAUCUAGCCAAUAUAAGUAGAUAAAUCCAUGUCUUGUUGUCUGACAUUGACAAUAGAAGAAGCCACCUUAUAAAGACGUUGGAUAUCAUUUGUGUAUAGCCCUUUCGCCUGAUUCCAAAAUUUAAAGCAUGUUUUGUAGGCCCGAAGAUGAAGCAGAAUCUUAUGAUCAACUGAUUGUCAUAACACACUACAUAACUGUGCAUCUAUCUUCCUCCAUUGUACUCUGUCAACCUCAGGGAUAUCCGCCUCCUACGUAACAAGGUGAUCCUCAUAACCUUGACCCAUAAACCAAAGCUCCACAGAGGCAGACCGGGACAAAUAAUUUUCACUGUCAAUCAAUUUCUCCGAAGUAAUCAUAGGAGAUCCAGAUAUGACAGAGGAAAAAGUGGAACUUUUAGUAGCCAUAUCUACUUAUCUGGUGAACGAAAUACGUUUGGAUCGAAGAGAACCCUAAUACGGCUUAUUGCGGACUUCCUAAGACACGUGCAAGACUCGGGAUGGAGAGGAAGUCACCAGAGGUCGCCAGAAAGGCUGUUUAGAUGGCCGGCGGAGACAAAAAAACCCCAAAAAAUGCACUUUCAGGGCUCGGAUGACACAAGCACAGAUGGAGGAUGGCUAGAUGGCGUCAGGCGAGGCUGGAGGUGGAAGCGCGUGGCCGGAAAGUGCUCCACGCGCCUUCACGCGCCGGCGCGUGAGAUUCAAGCCGCAGGAGAAGAAACGCGCGUGGCCGGCGCAUGGCUAAGAUUCUCCCUCCGGUGCUUUGAGAUAACUUGAAGAUCUCCUCCUUGCGCACCUGAUGGUAUGGUCGGUGUCGGAAAAGGAUGUCGCCGAAAAAAAGUCGCCGGAAAAAUCGCCGGCGGUGAGGGUUUUCUGACGGUGAUACGGUUGAUCGGAAAGCUUUAGGAGAUGGGAAGGGUGACCGGAAUGAAACACGGUCACUGAAAGAUUUCCCAGAAUGGAUCCACGGAUAAACCGAAAAUAAUUAGGGUUUUUUUUUCUCCCUUGGCUCUGAUACCAUGUGAAGAGAGAAAGAAAAGGGAGAAUCCCUAAUUAUUGUUAUUGAAAAACUGUAAAAAAUACACAUUGGACUUGGGUAUAUAUAUACAUGUUAGUGGGACCCACAAUACAAUAAGGAAAGAAAAGGAAAAGGAAAAGUAAAUAACCUAAAUAACUAUACACUAUCUAACAGUUACUUUGGCACUGUGUAAACAAACUAGUACUUUACCAAAACCCCACAGACUGAGGCCCCAGAAAGAUGGGAGCCUAAGUCCUUACCAUUAUAUAAAUCUUAUUACCAAAGAUGGAUAGCAUUAUCUUAAGAUUCUAAACAAAAUCAAACUUGGUGAGGCUCUCAUUUUACUAAGAUGCUUUUUUUUAUCCCUUUCAUAAAUCAUAGGUUGUCUUCAAUAAAGUCAUUAUUAUUCCUGAUGCUAAACAAUCAUAAGAUAAUAUUAACUCUUCUUACAUGGGGUUGAGCUUGCUGCUGUUGCUUCUGAUGCCCAGAUUUUCUUAGCUCCCUCUCUUUGCACAACCGUGCAUAUUUUCUGCGAUGCUCCUCAAUCUUGUGUGCAUUAGGUUCAACCUGUGGAUUCAAUGUAAUAUCUAGCAACAUUCCUUAUGAUAUCUCCCAUAAAAAGAAAAGGGAAGGAAGGAUUAAAAAAAAGAAAAGAAAUGAAAAGGGUUGAGGUUUCAAAGUUCAAGUCCUAAUGGAGAUACACACAUGGCACACAAAAACCCUAUAAAAAAGAGCAAACAGGAAACAGAAACACAAAUCAUACCUUUUUAAGAACCAAAGCAAUCUCCUCAUCGUGAUCUAGCCUUGAUGCCACAUGCAAAUCAGUUGCUGCUUCUUCCCACAGGCCCAACAUGGCCCUCGCCAUUCCUCGUAUUUUAUAUCCUUUUGCAGAGUCAGGGUUGAUCUAAAACAAACAAAUAUUAUUCUUCAUCAGUAACCAGAUAGUGUUGGACAAGACGAAUUCAAGCUCAGAAAAAUCAUAAUUGAUUGAGUUGAAAUUUCUUCCACAGUUUAUUCAAGCACAGAAUAGAUAGGCAUCUAGACUAGCCUUUAAAGCUGCAUCAGCAUCACGGAUUGCAGCAUUUGGUUUCUUCAGCUUAACAUAGACACUAGCUGGAUAAAAAAGGAAGAAGCAACUCAGAUUUCCAAGGGAAUGAUCGGGUAACAAGAACUGAAUAUACAAUGAAAACAACUAGAGAUUCAACUAAGACAACUUGAAUUUAAAACAUAUUACCUCUAGUUGCAUAUAAUAUUGCUGAACUUGGAUUCAACAUGAUGGCUUCUGUUAGAUUAUCUGUUGCUUCAUCUAGCUUUCCUGCAAGGCAAGUACAGUUUGGCUAACAAAUGGACAAGUUGGGCAAGACAAGGCACAAUGAGAAAUUUAAAUCACAACAAAUUGAUGGCAUGCCUUCAGAAAUGGCCUCCAUGGCUUUUGAUUUCAACAUUUGUGCAGCAUCCUGAUUUUCUUCGGUUACAUCAAUUGACAGAUCUCCCAUCUGCAACCAAAUAAUACAAGCAGUUCUUUUUAAGUCUGAAACAUAUGAUCAACCUCAACUUCAUCUCUAUCAUUCUUUUUACCACCUACCUUUUGUGGAGGAUCAUUAUCAGGCUCCACAACAUCAGUGUCAUCCAAUUCAAUAUCAGACUCAACAAUAUCAUCCUCAAACUUGUCAUCUUCACUACAUAGAUUUGUUUUUUUGGCAUCAACAUGUUCCCCAUGGUCUGAAGUGCCACAACCACAUUUAUCCUGCAUCAUGUGACAUUUCUAUAAUUAAAACAUGAAUUACAAGAAUAUCAAACUUUUGAAAAGGAAAACAAUAAAAAAAACAUGGGUUCUCUAAAGAAAGUCCCUGAACUGGUCCAAGUGCAAUGCAAGUCAGCUACUCAAAGUUCACAUAUAUGGCACGGUCAAAAUUUGCGCUAAUUGGCAAGAAGAAUCAUAAUAACCAGGGUUGAUCUUAACAACUUUUAAGCCCAUUAAGAUCCUUCUGGUGAAUUUUGAUCAUAAUCAGAGUUAAUCAACUGGUGUCAUCACCUUCUACACCCACCAGAAGGUCUGUCCUCCUCAAUUUUCACCACAAUCAAAGUUGACCUUAAUGGUUUUUAAACCUUUCUAUUGAUGACAACAAAAUUGGAUACUGUUCAGAUGGAUCUGGAUUGCAGCUCCUUUUCUCCAUUUUUGUUUGUAUCUGGCGGUAACUCCUGGGUCAGUUUUAACUUUUAAUGUCUGCUGCUCUUCAAACUUUAUGGACGUAUUGUUAUCAGUGUCUCUGAAUUUAAGCUUUUAAAUAAAGAAAUGGCCAUUCAACUUAUCACAACCAGCCCUACAUUGUUUCUGUUUUGUGGCUUUUAUGCUUUCCUUUUGAGACAGUUGAUCUCAGUUCUAUCUCUGUCUUUCUUCAGUGCUUGUUUGAGUUGUUGAUUCAGUUGUGAGCAUGUCUGACUUGCCUAAGAACCAUGUCAGUUAAAACUCACUGACAACUGGUCCUGGAAGCAGUUUUCUUCAUUAUAAUAGAGAGCAAAGAUCAGUUAUUUAGAUGGCAGGAAUAAAGGAUUAUUUUUAAGGCAGACUCAAAGAACCAGCUACCACUGAUCCUCCGUAUGCUUACUCAGACUCUGAAAAUCCUACAUUUUUUUUUUCUUUUGGGAAGAUAUGCUCUGAGAAUGCUACAAUCAUAUCCUUGGUUCUUUAUUGCAUGCAACCUGAACUAAGCAACAGAAAUAUUUUUAUGAAGACUACAAAGGAAAUUUAGGAUACUGCCAUCAGACUCAUCCGAAAGGAAUGCUGCUAAAUUUUUUUUUUUUUGAUAGAUAAUCACAAAUAUAUUAAAGGGCAAAGGCCACAAAGCAUAUAGGGAGUAUACAAAUCAGCCUAAAACAAGAACACAAAAAGCAAGCAACCUCACCCACCCUUAAGUGGCCGCUAGCCACUCCAAAAAGCCUAAGAGUGAAGAGGACUCCUCUCCAAAGCAUAUAGGGAGUAUACAAAUCAGCCUAAAACAAGAACACAAAAAACAAGCAACCUCACCCACCCUUAAGUGGCCGCUAGCCACUCCAAAAAGCCUAAGAGCGAAGAGGACUCCUCUCCAAUAUACACCCUAUCCCAACUCCACAAGUUACAUACAAAAGAAUUUUUGAGUUUCUGUAUAGCUAAAGAACCUUCCCUAAAAGCUAAUCUAUUCAUUCCUUCCAUACCGUCCAAAAAAUACACGACGGGAUGGAAUUCCAAAUCUUUUUCCUUUUUUUCCCCACAAAAGAGCCCCUCCAACUGAAUAACGCCUCUUUAACCGACUCUGGGAACACCCACUGAACCCCAACAAGGGCAAGGACGAUCUCCCAGAGGGUCCUUACCACUAUACAGUGUAAAAGAAUGUGAUUUACAUUUUCCUCUUCACAACCACACAAAAAACAGCGAUUAAGGAGCUGCCAUCCCCGUUUUUUAAGCCUAUCCAAGGUGAGAAUCUUCCUCCAUGCGGCUUCCCAAGCAAAAAAAGCAGCUUUGGUUGGGACCUUGUCCACCCAAAUGCAUUUAGUCGGGAAGGCGCAUGCAUUGGGAACAACCAGCACAUUAUAAGCAUCCUUAACCCCAAAUUUGCCAUGACCCCCACCUUUCCAUAGUACUGAGUCCUCCUCUAAAGAUAUCCUAAAGUCCCUGAGCAUAUUAAGCAAUCCUCUAAUCAAGUCCAGCUCCCAAUCAUUAAAAUCUCUAUAAAAUCUUAAAGGAAUGCUGCUAAAAUUGUUUAGUUUAAGCAAUGGAUACACAAGAUGACACUAUCUUGCAAUAUGAAAAGAGUUCAAUGAUUAAUUAAUUAUAACCAAUUCCAAGACGACUAGCCAUGGGGUGCAUAUAUGUUGGUGAAGAUGAUUAGAGGUGGUAAUACAUAAACAGGGUAGGGGCAGGUUUGGGAGAAAAUGGGAUAACCUGGCUCAAUUUCCAGACGGCUACGGUAUUUGAAUGUCCCAGCCUAGCCUGGCCUGAAUAUAGUGUUAUUUUACCAUCUUAUCCUUGAAUGUGCCAAUAAAUUACAUGAAUGCCAUUACAUAUACCCAAAUUCACAACCCUAACCUCAUUUUUGUUUUCCUUCCCAUAGCUAACACCUCACUUUCCCAUUUCUCCCUGCUCAAGCAACAUGUUCAGCCCCUUUGUUGCUGCCUUUAUCAUCUCUAGUCAUUGAUAUCAUUCUAGCUUUAUAUUCUUUUAGUUUUUCCAUUUUAUUUUUAUGAAUGUCUUUCAAGAAAACCAUCAGAUUGUUGAAUUCUUGUUCCAUUAAAUUUUGUUUGAUUAAGGAUUUGAGUCUAGGUUUAUUAGAUUGACACAAAGAUGUUAUUGGAUUAUGUUUAUUGAAAGAAUAAAGCCGAGACUUUUUUAUAUGAUAAGGUUUGUUUUUUGAGAUUGGCUUUGUUAAAAGCUUUGAUUUACUUACAUUUUCACAUUAAGGAUUGCAAUUUUUUCCUUUUUUUUUUCAUUAGAGAUGAUUAAAGAUGGCAAUGGGGCGGGUUUUUUGGGUAACCCAUCCCAUCUCUAUUAGGGUGGGUUGGAAUAGAUAAACAGGAUAGGAGAAGGUUUAGGAGAAAAUGGGAUAAGCCAACUCAGGUUUGAGCAGGUAUAGUAUUUGAGUGUCCCACCCAAACUCCGGCCGAUAAUGGUAUAUUUUACCAUCUUAUCCUUGAAUUUUCCAUUAGUACAUGAAUGUCAUUAUGGAUACUUACCUUAACCGAGACUCAUUUCCUUUCCUCCUCUCCCCCCUCUCCCCCCUCCUCCCCUCGGGAGCUGCCACCUCAUUUUCCCAUUUCUUCUUGCUCAAGCAACAUGUUUAACCCCUAGUUGUUGCCUUUGUCAUCUUUAGCCCUUGGGAUCUUUCUAAGUUUAUGUAAUUUUUUUUUUUCCAUUUUACUUUUAUGAACAGCUUUCAUAGAAAUCAUGAGAUUGUUGAAUUCUUUUUCCAUCAGAUUUUGUUCAAUUGAGGAUAUGUUUUUGUGUUUAUUAAAUUUACACAAAGAUGUUCUUAGAUUGCAUUCGUUGAAAGGAUAAAGCUGAGAAUUUUUUUUCCAUAUGAUUAUGCAUUUUUAUUUUUUUUACAAUUAAGUCUAUUUAAAGAUUGAAGUUCAAUUUUUCUUUUUUCAUUUCAUUUUUAUUUUUUAUUUUUGACAGCUUUUCACUAAAACCUUGAAUUUGUUUGUUGAAGGUUUCACUUUUGUAUUGAUUAUUAGCUUAUUGUCUAGUUUUUCUUUCAUUUUAUUUUCUUCCCAAGCAAACAAAUGUAUGUGAUAGAUUUUUCCUUUUUUGUUAAACCAUGUCCCAACCCACCCUCCAUGAUUCAGGUAUGGGUAAUUCUAGCCCCGAUCCCCACCCAUAUCUGGUUUGAGCAAUGUAUGGGUAUAUGGUUUUCCUUUUGGUCCUAGGUCAGGCAAGACACACCCCAUUGGCAUCCCAAAAGAUGAUAAAGCAAGAGCCACUUUUUAUUUUCUUGAUAGUAUGGAAACAAAAUGCUAAGCUUUUGCCUUUUAUGGAAAAUAGACCACCUCUUCUGUCUACAACACAGCAAGAUGGAGAUAGGGCUAAAAUUAUCAGGCUGGGACUUCCGGUCUUCAUCACUUCACAAAAUCCAAUCAUUGCAUGUCACAUGUCAAGUUGCACUUAAGCUAUAUGACUGCUAGACCUAUCAAAAAAGCAACAUGUAUCAUUUAACCUAGUGCCACACAGAUAAUGCAAUUUUCCAUUAGAAAUGCAGCAUAUCCCGUCUUUUAUCCCCACGUAGAUUUGCCCUAGCUGAUAGCACAAUAUAUACUCUGAUGUUAAAGAAUUGUUUUACCAAGGCACAAAAAGCCCACUUUUUGGAGGUCAAGAACAUCUUCAAUGCCCACAAGUUACUGAUGCUUUCCAUUAGUUGAUGUUGAAGGGGUUCUCCUACAUCACCUGUAGUGAUAUGGAUUUAAGAGAGACUACUUGGCUUCCAUCAUCCAUGGAGGAUUAAUUUUCCUUUGAGAGGUCAUAUCCUAGUCAUCUCCCAUACACCUCAAAGGUUCAUCCUUGACAUGGCAUCCAGAUACUGAUGGAUUUACCGAAGUUAGAAGCAGGGCUAAAGUGUUCUAGCAUGAAAAAAACCUAGUGCACCUCCAUAGGGGAACCAGCCUUUCCCAUAGGCAAGUAUUUUGAGAUAGUCUUGAUUUAGCAACUAUGGAUUGAAGGUCCCAAGGUGGAUGACAAAUCAAGAACAUUUGAUAGGAUUGUCCCAAGACUUAUGUUAGUGUCAGAAUUUCCCCUUGUCAUAAAUGGAGGCUACAUGAAGUAAUUUCCUGGAAACCUCAUAGAAAGGGAGCAUCUUUACAAAUUCUAGGCGUAACCACGUUACUUAGCUGACCAAUUUUCAGCCUUAACUAGCUGCUAAAGAUCCCAAAGUUUUGAAAAAGAGGACAACCUUGGGCUCACCAUUUUGUUGAAGUGUUCAUCAUAAAAUGAUUAUUAUCAUAAAAAUAAAUAAAUAACUACAAAAAGAAAAAAAAGGAUAAGGCUCAUACAAAUUCUUCCCAACCCCUUCCCCCUCAAAACAGAGGAUCUUAUAUCAAAUUGAGGGUGGAUAAAGUGGCAGAAAUUUUUAUAGGAGUGAAAACUCUAUUCUUCCCUCUUAAGAGAUGCAUCCAGCUACCCAAUGAAAAAUUAUCCACAAAACUAACAAGCCAAGUAUAAUUAAAAUUGAAAUGCAGGACAGACACUAAAAAGCAUCAUGAACAACAAAAAGGAAUAAUACUUCCAUUCAAAAUAUGUAAUAAGGAGUUCUAAAAUAUUUUGCAAGCUUACACUCAUUUCAGAAUAUAAUCAAUUUAGAAGCUAACAAUGAAGGAGCAUUUGUCUUGGAAAGACAGCGGGUAGGGAGAGAGGAAACUCAGCAUAAAACAUCAUGCCACCAAUAUUAACUGAGCAAUAAAGAACUGUCACUCUCCAAAACCAGAUUAAUAUCUAUUCAACAGAGAUGGAGGCAUAUGGAAAAGACAGGGUCCCUCCUUCUCUCUCUGGCUACCAAGCAUCUAACCUAGUUACUCGGUCCUACAGGAUAUGAUGGGAGGGAUAGAGCAUACUACAAUUACUUUGCAAUAGUACUGAAAGAUACAAACUGGUGGGAAAAUUAAGUGCAGUUUACACAGAGUUGAAGGGUGUAGAAGAAAAAACAGAACCAGAACCUUCACCAGAUACUGAAAUGGGGAGUAUGGGACAAAAAAUAAAUCCACUGGGUUUCAGACUUGGUACAACCCAAGGUCAUCAUUUGCUUUGGUUUGCACAACCAAAAAAUUAUUCCAAGGGUCUACAAGAAGAUCAAAAAAUACGGGAUUGUAUCAAGAAUUAUGUACAAAAAAAAUAUAAGAAUGUCCUCUGUGUCAAAAUAUUGUGUGAAUGGCCGAAUACCUUGGCCUUGAGUUUUGUAUAUUAUAUAUAGACUUUACAAGGAUGCUAUACAUGGAAAGCAAAUAAAAGCAAAUAAAUUCCCUCAUGAUUCUAGUCCUAUACAUGUAAAUUAUAAUCUGUCAAAUAAUAUAUGCUAAUUGUACAGAAUAAUAAAUGGAGAAAUAAGGAAACAGUUGUAGGCUAAAAUAAGGAAAGAAGUGUGGGUUAAAAUAAGGAAAGAAGUGUGGACAGCAAAGCUGCCCUUUGACAGCCCCCCUCAAAUUGAUGCAGGUUGAUCAACAAGCAUCAAUUUGCUACUUAGCAAGCAAUGUCGAUGACGAGGGAGAGCCUUGGUGAAGAUAUCAGCAAUUUGUAAGUCAGUGGAAAUAUGUAGAAGAGUGAUAACACGAGCUUCAUAGGCUUCACGGAUAGAGUGACAAUCCACUUCAAUAUGCUUUGUGCGCUCAUGAUAGACAGGAUUGGUCGUGAUUUGAAUAGCACUUGUAUUAUCGGCAUGUAGAGGUGUAGGAUCGGUCUCAGAAAAAUCUAACUCCGCAAGCAAACCUCGAAGCCAAAUGAUUUCAGAACAAGCAAGAGACAUCACCCAGUACUCAGAUUCCGUAGAUGACUUAGAGACUCUGUCUUGCUUCUUACUUUUCACAAACAUCUUAAACUAAAGCUGGGCUAGAGUCCGAGAGCCCCUAGGGCUAAAUCCGAGAGCCCCUAGGGCUAAAUCCGAGAAAACCCAAAGAAAAACCUAGAAAGCGUGUAAACUCUAGGUUCAAAAUACAAGCUCUGAUACCAUGUCAAAAUAUUGUGUGAAUGGCCGAAUACCUUGGCCUUGAGUUUUGUAUAUUAUAUAUAGACUUUACAAGGAUGCUAUACAUGAAAAGCAAAUAAAAGCAAAUAAAUUCCCUCAUGAUUCUAGUCCUAUACAUGUAAAUUAUAAUCUGUCAAAUAAUAUAUGCUAAUUGUACAGAAUAAUAAAUGGAGAAAUAAGGAAACAGUUGUAGGCUAAAAUAAGGAAAGAAGUGUGGAUUAAAAUAAGGAAAGAAGUGUGGACAGCAAAGCUGUCCUUUGACACUCUGGUGUCGAGGGAAUUGCACGUAUAGCGAUUCAAAAAAGAAUCAAUCCGAUUCAGGUCAUAAUCUAUAUGGGAUUCCCAAAGUUAUUAGUAGAAGGUAAACCACUAAGAAUUGAAGAAUUACAGAUGAAUGUACAAAAAGAAUUUAAUUACGUGAACCGAAAACUCAACAAGCUAGGGAACGAUCAGAUUUUGAUUACAUCUCUUAUCUGAACUAGUACAAGAGAAAAAAGGAUCAUAUGAAGUCAUAUGAUCAAAAAUUCAGAAUCACCUGAAUCAACAUUCCAUGAUAAGCAGAAGACUUCCCUAUCUAAUUGACUUCCACUAUCAAAUUACAAAUUUUUUCCAUGAAUUCCAUUUUGAUUCCAUCCCAACUUGCUACUACUGCUUCCAAUCUAAAUAAGGUUUGUUUGACAAUAUUUUUUUUUUUUGAUAAAUAAGCACGAAAUAGAAUAAUAAAAGGCAAAAGGCCACAAAGCAUACAGGGAGUAUACACAGCAACCUAAACCUAAAAAUGCAAAAAAAAGCAAUCUCACUAGCCCUUAAGUGGACGCUAGCCACUCCAAAAAGCCUAAGAGCGAAGAGAACUCCUCUCCAAUAUGCACCCUAGCCCAACUUCACAAAUUACAUAUAAAAGAAUUUUUGAGCUUCUGUAUAGCUAGACCCCCCCCCCCCCCCCCCCCUUAAAAGUUAAUUUAUUCCUUUCCUUCCAAACCGUUCAAAAAAUACACAACGGAAUGGAAUUCCAGAUCUUUUUCCUUUUUUUCCCCACAAAAGGGCCCCUCCAACUGAAUAACACCUCUUUAACUGUCUCUGGGAACACCACUGAACCCCAAACAAAGCAAGGACGAUCUCCUAGAGGACCCUGACCACUAUACAGUGUAAAAGAAUAUGAUUUAUAGUUUCUUCUUCACAACCACACAAAAAACAACGAUUAGGGAGCUGCCACCCCCGUUUUUGAAGCCUAUCCAGGGUGAGAAUUUUCCCCCACGUGGCCUCCCAAGCAAAAAAGACAGCUUUGGUUGGAACCUUAUCCACCCAAAUGCACUUAAAACCAGUUCUCAAUUGUUUUUAGAAACAAAAUCUUAUUAUUUAAGAACUCAAAUAUGAAAAACAGUUUUUUGGCCUAUUCUCAAUGAAGGCCCAGUGCACUUAUAUACAAUGAAAAAGCUUCUGGCCUAUUCUCCUUGUUUCCAACUGUUUCUCAGAAAACUCUACAGAACACACUUAAAAACACCUCAAAUUUGUUCUAAAAAAUCACCCUAUUUUUAGAACAAAUUCUCAAAAAUCUGUUUUCAGUCCAAAGUAGGCCAAACAUGUAUUAAUUAGAACAGAAAAAUCUUAUGUUUCCUAUUUUAUUAUACUAAAAUAAUUAGGAUAUUAACUCUAUAGCAGCAUAUUCAUGUAACUCUUUCAUCUUAUGUUUUUAAACAAUAGAAAAAAUGGGAAAUCAAUUUAGUCAUUCAAUUUUAUAUUAUUUACAUCAUUUACUCAAAUACAUACUAGAAAUGGAGGCAUUGGUACCCAACCCAAAAGUACACAAAGUAAUUUAGUGGUGUCCGAGAAAUUGAGAAAGGUAUUAUAUCGUGAGAUGGGCGGGAGGCUCUAGCAAAGUAAUUCUUUCCAAGUAAUGUUACUCAUUCCCCUUUCUGGUUCUAAUUUUUAAAAUAUGAUUUGUGUUGCAAACAACUUUUUUGGUUUAAUUGCUAAAACACUUGCUGGCAUGACAUUUUUUUUUUUUUUUUUUUUACCAAAAACAAAAGAUGUAUUAAUUAAAGUGAAGAAAAACAUGAUAAGGAUGAGAAAUCCAACCCAUGAUACACAAACUUGAUCAAAAGACCCAAAAAAACCUCCGCUUUACAUGAAGAACUGUACAAAAGGAACAAAAAAAGCCUAUACAAGUAUAACAUCUCCUAAAAUUCAUUUGAGAACCUCACAAUGUAGGCCCAACCCUAAGGUGUACAUACCGGAAGCUAACUAAGCUGAAUUACACUCAAUGGAAAGGGUUUAAAAGCGUACAGUAGACCCAAAAAGAAACAUAGAAAUAAAGCAAGUCCCACAUCAUCUCAAGCAUCUUCCAAGUAUCCUAAAAAAAUCUUAGCAUUCCUCUCUCUCCAUACUAUCCACAACAGAGUGAGACAAACAAUCUUUCAAAGAGUCUUGUCUCUAGUAGAGUUCCCAAAACACCUAAAAGAAAUAACCAUCAUAUUGCAAAUACUGCUUGGUUGAACCCGCACCAUCCUAGCAUGUGAGAAUAACCUACAUAGGAUGCACCAGUUAGGACUAAGGGCUUUAAACAACCUUCUCAAUUGUAGCAUGUCACUGGUAUUUACCUUCUUAUAUGCCACUAACCAGUCAAAUGUCAUGACCUUAGAAGGCACUCUUAAUUUCCAUAAAAAUUUAGUUGGGUGGAAAGCAACUAAAUCUAAUAAAUUAGACAAGGCUUACUGAGAAUACUCCAAAAGAAGAAGGUACCUUCUUCUUUAGGUACCUUGCCUAACAAGGCUUGAGUAAGACCCUCCAAGAGAGUGUUUGAUUCAUUAACAUCCAACUUGGGAAUCAAAAUUAUACUUCUAGAAAUAAAUCCUAAAAUACGAUGAGGUUUUCAAUCUAAAUUGAAGUUAGCUUUUGAGAUUCCUAUCAAGUUUUAUUCACAUUUUAACAUUUGGUUAUCGUAAUAAUUGCUUAGGAAUUGAUGCAAAUGUUCAUAAAAUCCAUCAAAUAAUAUUCCCAAGUGUAAUUUGAACUCAAUUUAAUAUUUUCAUAAUAUUCAUAAAUUAAGUUAGCUUAUACAAUAACAUUCUUUUUUUUUUCUUAAUUUUAAAGAAAUUUGUCAAAAUAUAGCAUGUGUUAUUUUAUUUUAGUAGAAAGAUACAUAAGUACAUUUUUACUUUUUUUUAUUAUUGUCUUGAAAUGUUGUCUCAUUCACUAUUUAAAUAAUUAAAUUUCAGUAUAAUAUAUAUGAAAUUUCUAUAUUAAAAAAAUGCACGGGUUCAACUUAAUCCAAUCAAUUUGGAGUAACACAACCUGAUCAAGUCCAACCCAACUAAUGGAAUCUAACCCAAGCUCCAAAAACUGAAGUCCAACUAAUCCGAGUCCAACUCAAGCUGGAAAAAGAAAUGAGGUUACUUUGGUUUGAGUAACUCGGAUUUGAGGUUUGGAUGUUUUUUUAAGGCCAGCCCAACCCAGCCAGUCCGAAUUGCAGCCCUAAUAAAAUUCAGCAAUCAAAAUGGGGCUUGAUCAGAAUGUCAGGUACUUCAUUUUAUGUUGGACUGGUGCCAUUCCCAAAAGGAUAUUAAUGUCGAUCACAUUCAUAACUAAUAAAGAAAAUAUAAAGAAAAAGAUCAAACAAAUGAAAAUAGCUUAACCAAUUGAAGGUUUUCCAGGAAAUUAUCUUACUGGUUUUUCCGGAAUUCUAGCCCCUAGACUGCAAAACAAACAAACAAUAAAAUCAAAAAAAAAAAACAAAAAGGAAAAGGAAAAGGAAAAGGAAAAGGGAAGAUUUGAUAAGUGUACCUCUGGAGAUAUGAUUUGAAGAAGGAUAGAGAUGGAUUGUAGAGAAUAGAAGGAUCUGAUUUAACACUGUUCACGAACUGUUUCAGCUCUGAGAUCUUUGCAUCGUCCAUGGCUUCUCUCUCAGUCUCACUCUCUCUCUCCUCCUUUCUCUGGAAACCUCGAGGAUUCUGUUUUGAAAGAGGUGGAGCAGCGGUUGUGUGAGACCCGCUAGUAUUCUCCAUUUUCUGGUGGGGACCACUUGUAUCGUUCCAUUGGUGGGACUCAUGGUCUAGUGAAUCUUCAUCGUCAUAAGAUUUUGAUCGUGCGGUGGGGGGACCGGGACAUGGUGAAGUACGGUAGCUGCGAUGGAAUCGCUCUAUCUGAUUCCGAAUUUGUUCGAGAAAGUGAGGGAAAUUUAAUUUGAUGGACAGAUUAUUCGUGCAUAAAAUUUUGUAAAAAAAUAUAUUACUACCUAUUUGUAUUAUUUCCAGAAAUUAAAAAUUAUGUUAAAAUAUUAGAUUAAGGUCAGAUUUUAUUUGGGUUGUAGAUCUGGGCCCGAGCCCAUUCCGAAUCAAGUCCAUCUUACCCACCUAGAGAGAUCAGGGCCCAUCUACAUGAUGAUGUCAUCACCACAUUAAACCAAGAGCUGGCAUGAAGCUUCACUGCAAAAUCAUAUAUAUUAUUAUUUUUUAUUUUUAAUAAAAAUAUUUUUAAUAUUAAAAGCACCUUAGCGGGGUUGAUUUCAAUUUAAAAAUUUGUGAGUUUUCGAAUAGGUUCAAACAUGUCUCAGGCUCGGAGGGCUGGGUUCACUCAGAUUUUCAAAAGCUUGUCUCAACAGCCAUAGACAACAUGCAACUGGGCCACCCCUCCUAAGCCCGAAAUAUUAGUAAAAGCCCAACUAUUUUCAUUGAUACAGUUGUCUAUGUAUCCAUUGUAUUAUUUUAUAUUGCCUAAAAGCUUAAUUUUCUUACAAGUGAUUAUAUAAAUUUUUUUAAAUUAUAUUAUAUUAUAUUUAACUUGUUACAAAAAAAUGUUUAUAAACUUGAAAAAAAGUAGAAUGCUUAAAUUAAAUUAUCAAUUUUAUAUUAUUCUAGUUUUAAAAAAAUAAAUAUAUUAUUUGUUUUAUUUUAAUUGAGUUUUUAAAUAAUAUAAAUUAAUUUCUUACUUUAUAAUUAAUUGAUAUAAAUUAAUUUUUAAUGCAAACAAUUAAUAUGAAGAGAAAUGUUUUUUAAUUAUUAAUUAAUUUAAAAUAAAAUAAUAAUUAUUUGUAUACUAAAAUUUCUUAUUUAUAAAUUAUAAAUGAUAAAGAAAUAAUGUAAUUUUAAAAAAAAAUUAAAUGGGAAAAGAGGAACCACGUAACCUAUGACGCAAGGUCAACUAGAGUCGGAUCUUUUUUACAUUGUGCCUCUCAAAACUCUUAGCUAGUGAUGAAAAACUGGGUGAGCUUCUUCCCUACACAAAGGAUGUCCGGAUAGGUGGUCCAGGCACGCCCCUCCAAAACUUAAGUUAGACAGAGAUAAGUCAAGUCCUUUUAAGGAGGGAAUGAGUGAGCCAAUUUAAGUGUACGUACCUUAUUUAUGCUUUAGGAGGGUUUUUAUAAUGCUCAAAAGAAAGUUACUAUAGUGUUGAUUAAGCACUUUGACUUCUUUAUAAUGAUGAUUGUCCUACAAGUGACAGGACAAUCAUUACAGCUUUAGGCGACUGACAGGCACCGUCAGAAGAUAUCACAUGAUGUUUGAUCAUGCAGUUAUCUGUUCCCUCAACUUGUUGGAGGUGUGGGGUUGUAUGCGGUAAUUAAUUAACAUCGACUUAAGGGUUGAGGAAAAUUCUAUCAGUCAUUUUCCUGUCAGAUACGAAUGAUUAUGCAAGUCAAUAGGCCUUGAAGGCUGACUGGGUGGUUUCGUUCGUUAGGGAAUUCGGUCUUGCUUUUUGUCUGGCCUCAUGGUUUGAAUGAAAAACUUCGGAUAUUGCAGCCGCUAUCGGUAGUAUUGAGGGAAGGUGACACAUGAAGAGCCACCCUACUUUAAAAAUUGAAAACAAAAUUACAAAUCCAUCCGGACCAGAUUAUACUUUCCCCAAACACUUUUCAAGGAAGGGUUAAAUGCAACAUGAAAUAUCAGUACCAUUGUCAUCCCUAUUUAUGUUUAGACGGGGAAAGAUCUUAAACCUCACAUUCUGCUUUGAUUUUCUCAUCCACAAAUGUGGUCCUUCACCUGGCAUAAAUUGACAUGAGCAUUACAAUUAAUACAAUCGUGGUCCUCAUUCCUGUAAAUUAAAUAUAAUUCAGACAGCAAGUGGGCAGGUACCGUUUGGUAGGAUAUUUAAAGCCCUAUUUAUGGGGACAUUCAUAUGAAUACAAAAGGAAACUUUCAUUCCUUCACCACAAAACACACAUGUCCAUUAUUAUGACAUCUCAGCUGAAACCAUGCUGACGUGUUGAAAUAUUGUUAACAUUCAAAUGGGAAUUAAAUUAAAUUAAAUAAUGUGAAUUUACAUUAUUAUUAUUAUCUCUCUUGUAGUUUUCAAUAUUAAAUCAAAGUCCGGAUGUGAACCAGCUUUUAGCUAGUUUGAUAGACAAUACUUAAUACUAAUAAAUAGAAGAAAGAUUUUUUAAAAAAAAAAAAGAGACUUAAACAUGAAGAGAUACAUAAAACUAUGGCAACUAGGCAAGAUACAAAAAUGGGACUUAUUUAGGCCACCCAGCUACUUGUGAUUUGAUGUCAAUAUUUGAUGCAAUGAAGUAACUUUUUGGUGUCAUAAAAAAAUCACAAAACUAUAUUAUAACAUUUUAUGUUAAAAAUAAAAUAAAAUCAUCUACGGUAUAUUUGGUUCUUAAAAAUUUAAGGAAAAAUGUACUGGUCAUAUUUGAUUGAUGGGAUAUAUCAUCGUAUAGUAUCCAAGAAUGGAUAACAUAUCAUAUUUGUUGAUAAGAAGGUAAGUGAUUUCAAGUGAUGGAAUAUAUUAUCCAUCCAUUUUUUUUUAUCUCUUUUACGUAAAUCCACUUUUAUCUUUUUUUUUUAUCCAUCCAUCCAUUUUUUUUAACCUCUUUUACAUGUAUUGCAAAUUUAUUUAUUUAUUUUUAUCAAUUUUGUUAUUUUUUAUAUUACUUGUAAAAAAAUUUUUAUUAAAAAUUAAAUUUGUCAUUAACUAAAAAUAUAUUAUAAAAUAAUAUUAAUAUAUGUAUCAUUUAAUAUAUAUAUAUAUAUAUAUAUAUAUAUAUAUAUAUAUAUAUAUAUAUAUAUAUAUAUAUAUAUAUUAUUUUUGUAUAUUAAAUAACAUAAUAUAAAAAAAAUAUCUAUAAAAUUUAAAUAUUUUAAUCAUAAAUAUUAUUAAAGGUAAGAGCUAUUUCAUUUUUUUUAAAUAGAAAAUAGUGACAUACAAUAUAAUUUUAUUUUAAAUAUUGGAAAACAAUAUACAUUUCAUUUUAUUUUUUUAUUCAUUUUACAAAAUAAUUAUAAGUAUAACAUAACAUAUCUCAUUAGAUAAACUACGUUAAAAUAUCAUAUUUAUUUGAUAUAAUAUUAAAAGAUAUUAUAUCCCAUUGAAAACGAUAUCUUAAGAUAUGCACUUCCUAUCCAAUGUGAUAUGAUGUCCCAAUUAAACAUAACCAAAGGAAAUAAAAUGACAGGAAAAAAAGUAUAAGAAAAGAAAAAUAAAAAAUAAAUUUAAAAUCAAUAAAUUAUUUUCGCAUGUUACUUCAAAUCUAUUUUACUAAUCUUAACCAUUCUAUAUAAAAAUUAAAUUUGAAAAUGAAAUUUUUUUAACUAAUUUUAAUUAUAUUUAAUUUUCUUUCAUGUUUUCCAUUACAAAAUCAAAUAAGAAAAAUAUCAUUUUCCUGUAAUUAUCUUUCCUGUCAUUGUUAGCAUUACACCACACCUUGGACCCUGUCUGCACCUUCAGCAGCAUUCAUGUCAAUGUCCAAAGUGGAUGUGAAGAGCUAAGGAAUAGAAAUACAGAGAAGAAGGAAUCAAAAGGCUAUAAUAAUUAUUUUUACAGCAUGAUGAAGAUUAAUUUGUUUUAAAAGGUGGUCAUACAGUAUUCUUCUAUCCAAUAAAAAGACUACAAUCACAGUAAAGAAAAACACCAGACUAAAACCAUAUAUCUAAGAGACUCAAACUGAGUUCUGGGGUAGAAAGAAUUGAGCUUUUACUAGAAUUAACAAUGAACCGGAAGAAGAUUCUCCGCUGCCAUAUCUAAAUCCCUGGGCAACUUUUUCUUGACUUCCUUGAACGCUAACCCAUGGCUGGGAGAGAACUAGCAGAGUGCAGAAUUCAUGGAGAAACCAACAACAUUUGAUGCAGGGGUGCUGCCAUUAUAGGGCGAUGCGCUCAUCAUCCUGAAUCCACAGAAGAGCAUGAUUUAACGGAGAAAGUCCUCAUUAGCAAACCAACUAUAAGUACAAUUCUAUUAGUUUAGUCAGUGUCUCAUGACAUCUCAGGGAAAUUGAUUCUAAAUGGGGGAAGAGACUGUUGGUUUAAGGGUAUGGAAACAAAGGACUAUCUCAAAAGAUACAAGCAAAUAACAGAAUGAAUAGUAAAAAAAACUUAUAGACUGAGACGUGAUAAAUAUUGUCUUUGAAAUAGAUCCCUUCUCCUCAAAGGAACUCAGUGCGCUAGGGCAGCUUGGGUUCUGAAAAAAUUUCUCCAAAUAGAUAAACUCUCUAAAAAAUUUGUACUCAUAUUUAGAUAGUGAAGGAUGACCUGCUUUUAUAAGCCACUAACAUAGUCCCAAAAAACUCUCUAAAAGAUUCUACAUAUAAAUGGAACGGGUUAAGGAAUUCUAGCCCAACUAGCUUGAAGCCCCACUCAAAUGGGUGGCUCUCCCACACCUCUUCACAAGCCCAUUAGGCUAAGGAAAAUGGGCUAGCUAAUAAACCCACUAAAGUGUUCCUCUUUUUCCUAUACGAGACAAGCAAAAAACACUUUUCACAUUUACAGUGUUCCUACAUAGACAAAACAAGCUCUCAUAUGAAAGACUAAAUGGAUUUGUUCCAACGUGUAUCCAGAGUUCAAAACAACACAACCAUUUUGUUUUCAUCUGGUGGUUUUGUAACUGAAACUUCAUCUACAUUCAAUCUUUCCAUCUACAUGAUGUAAGGGCAGUUUGAGUAACAUUUGAAUUAGUAACUGAAAAAACCGGGAAAUCACCUACAGCUGAACCUCUUUGGUAUGGCAGAAUAACUUUGGGAUGGAGUCUGGCACCUACUGAGCAAAAUGAGGCCAGAACAUGAUUAAUGAUCUCAAAUAUGUUUGAAAACAAACUGGAAACAUUUCAGAAGAUAUGGAAAACAAAAAGGAAAGUUUUCAUUUCAUUUGGACAUCCAAACAGACUUCAAAAUUAAACGCACGAGCUCGACUUCUACAGUGAGACUUUCAAAUCCAAAAUAUAAUGCAAACAUCUUCUAUCUACAUGCAAGAUUGCAAACUAAAAGGCUAAUUGGAACAGUUUGGAAUAUCUAUUCACAUGAAAUAAAUAUAGGCAGAUUUGAAUCAACUAGUACUUAGUUUAUACCUCUCUUUGCGCUUCUCUAAAAAUCUAGCCAAUGAUGCUUUACGAGCCUGAGGUACUGCGAAAAGUAAGACAGUAGUGAUCGACUUGGUAUGGUGAUUUCACAUUAUAAAAAUGCAGGCAAAUAAAAUCUAUUGCUUAUCUCAGACUUUGAAGAACCUUAAACAACACAAGAUUGUACCUGCUGGAAUAUAGGUUGGAGUAGUGGAUCCUAGUGAAGUGACUACGUUGGGAGGCUCUGGUUGGUUGGUAGAUGUCAAAGCUCCUUUUGUUUUCCCUGCCAUCAACUCAUCAAUGCUAUUAGGUCCUCCCCCUGGCUGAGAGCCAACAUUAGAUGAAGCAGAAAUAAGGGUUGGAAGACCUGAGCCAGGUUGUGAAGUAUGAGCUUGGUUCCCCAUAAAACCAUCACCUCCAGAGGGCAUUAUGAUCGGUCCCUGUCCUUGAGAUGCGGGAAGUGUAGUAUUGGGACUUACAGGAGGGACAUUUCCAGCCAAUAACAUAAUAGCCUGAGCCUGGAUACAAAGUAAAGCAUUAAACAAAAACCCACCAAAAACAGACAUGUAAAGCAAAAGAGGUUUUCAUAGAUCAGAAGGCGAAUAGAAACUGAUACCUGCUCAGGAGAGAUGCCAUCAAAAACAUUCACUGAACCGGCAUAAAAGAUAGUCAGCUGAGUAGCUGGCCCAGGGGGCUUGGAAGCAUUCCUACAAAAAGAGAUUCAAGUUAACUUGAUUUUCUAGAUGUUCUUUUGGAAUAAUAGUUUCAAUUUAGCUUUCAUAUCAAUUUCAGUGUAACUGAAAAAACUAAAGUAGUAGAUGGUUACACACUUUUGAUCAGUAGUACCAAUGAAGGAACAGAUGGUAGGAUAGGAACCAGGGGCUGCUACUGGAACGCCUCCAAGAGGCUGUGGCUUUACAGCAGAACUGCCCACACUGGGUCCACUGAAAGCAAUUUGAGAUUGGAGAACUGGGUUGCUAAAAGCAACAGAAAUGGAAUGGUUUGGUUGGUUGGAGGCUGGGAAUUUCCCGACUUCAUGAGCACGGCGGACUGACCGUGCAUCUAAGUGUUGAAGAGGAUAGCCUGUCAUUACAAACUGGCUUCCCACUUGCUUUUCAAGAUUCAAAUUUUUCUGAAGAAAAAAGAUAGAUCAGUUGCCGCCCCAUCAAUAUAAAUACAACAUUAAAGCUUUUAAAUCUAUCUUUAUAUUAAAUCAAAACCUCCAUACACGGUUUCAUAUCUGCACUUCAAGUUUAAGUUCUCCUUGCUGUAACUUAUCUCAGAUACAAACCAUGAUUCAAGAAAGAGGCAAUAUCAAACCUGCAAAACACCAGGGUGUGGUUGCUGGUUAGAUUCAAGUGCAUCUGCAGUGGAUACAGACAUUAGCCCAGAUGAUGCAAAGGGACGAUCAUACACACUCCUUCUAGGCCUAUCUUCUUGAACUGCCUUAAAGGACAGAAAAUGAGGAAUGGCUGAAACCUUGUUGGGGAAGGGCCACUGCAUCCCCAACCCUCUAGCAGGCACUACAAAACCAAAAUUAAAAUCAAAACCCCAGAACAAUCCAUUAUACUUCAGAUCUUAUUUGAUAACAAGCACCAUACUCAUCAACCCUUGUAGUGCCUCUGGAUUAAGAACUAAAACACCAAUUUGGCCUCAACUCAGUCAAAGCUCAUCAAGAAUCAACAUUAUAAAUUAUUAUGGAACAAUGGAAUCACCAUGAAUAACACAUCAUAUCAUCAGCUUGAACCCCAUGAGAUUUUCAUCAAAGAAUAAGAUUUUUUUUAUUUUUUUUUUAUAUUCCAGUUGGAUUGUAACUAUUUGAUAUUAUUUAUUGCAAUAACAAAUAAUAGAUGUUUGAACCAACUGGGCAGGCACUUCUACUCAGAAAAACAUUUCUUUUUUAUUUUUUAUUUUUUUAAUUAUUUUAAACAUGGUGCAAUUCAACCUUAUAUUAAUUGAUAAUAGCCACUUCAAGCACAUGUUAGCAAAAAAUUAUACUAAAAAAAUUUAAAAUUAUACUAAAAUUGUUAAAAAUAAUACUAAAAAAAUAAAAUAAAUAAAGAACUCUGCAAUAAAGCCAAGUUUCUGCAUCCCAUUUCUGCAGCAACUAGGCGCCCCAGGCGCACAUAAGCAAACUCCAAAGAAGAAUGAAAAUUAAGAGUAGAAGAAAACUGGAAAACCCCGGCAGUUGUGAAACGGUUCUACCUCGUGCUGUAAAUGUCGUGCACUGAUUCUUUGGUUUUUUUUUUCAUAAUGUUCCGUUCGGUUGCUGAGAAAAGGCAAGGAAAGAAGAAACAAAAAAAAAGGAUGGAAUUCCACAUAAGCCCCAACCAAUUCAAGCUUUCAGCUCAUUUCCCACGCUUUCUCAGCAACCAAACGAACGAGAAAUCCCCAGAAAGAAAACAGAAUUAGUACCUGAAUCACCGGAUUCCUCCUUCCCCGAUGGCAAAACUUUCCCCGACCCCAAACACAAGAAAUCUCUCUCCAUACCGAAAGAAACACGGAUCAAAUUUGACAAAAUUCAAGCUCCAAAGGAAUCGUACAAAGCCUACAAGAAAGACGCGGCAUUCGCAACAGAGAGAAUGGCCUGCUGGUUUGCUUAUGAACCAAGACUAGAGAAAAAGUUAGCUAGUUAUUGGAGCUCUGAAAAGGAAAAUUCCUAGUGACAAAUCUCGAUCGUCGGAUCGGAAGAUUCUCUGUCUCCCGUCCACCGUGUACCGGGUCGUCAGGUUUCCCACCGGCUAUUCUGGAUCGCUUCCCACGUGCGACGGGGAAUUUGGGACGUAAGAUUAUUAUUUUAGUAUUUUCAUGAGAUUUAUUUUGGUACGUGGCAAGUUGGAAUUGGUUAAUGCUUGACGAUGACAGGAGUCAGGGGAAUCUGGUCGUUUUCCAGCGGCUCAAAUUGGCAAUUUUCUGGUCUUUUAUUUGUCAUGAUUAUUUAUUUUGUACAAAUUUACAAUAACACUGACAAUUAAAAUCCUGACACUAUAUAAUAAAAUCAAACUUUAAAUCCCGACACUAUACAAUAAAACCUCAACGGUACAAAAUAGAAAUGUAGAAAAUAAUGUUAAAAGAAAAUAAGAAUAUAAGAUAUAAAUAAUGGAAUCAAAAUGUACCUGCAACAUCUCAGGAUUGAUAUUAUUUUUUUAAUCUAUAACUUACGAUAUUUCGAAUUGAUUAAGAAAAUAAGUUCUUAUCACAUGUUUUAAAGUUGUAAGAAAUCAUUAGCUCAAAUCGAAUGAUAUCUACAUGAGCAUACUCCCAUGCUACUUUAAUUACAUAUAUGUGUUUUAAAAUUAUAAAUAUUCAUUAAAUCUAAAUCGAUAAUGUAAUUAUAUAUUACAAAAAGAGGGUUAUUAGAUAAUGUUAUCAAAAUUAAUUAUGACCUUAUUAUGAGACUUUAUCUAUCUAAUUUUAUAACGAAUAUCUACCUAUUAAGUCUUACAAUCUCAUGAGAUACAAUGUUUCAAUAUGUGAUUAUAAAAAAAAUUAUAACUCAUGAAAAGUUUUCAAUCUUUUUAAGAAAAUUAAAAUUAGAAUUAUAAAACAUGUUUAUUAUAAAAAAAAAAUUUAAACAUAAUUAAAAAUUAAUUUAUAUAUAUAUGUGUGUGUAUUACUUUUUUUUUAAAAAAAAAGUAAAAGCUGAUUGUCCCACUUCAAAUUAUAAGCUCUUCCAAUAAAAAUAAGAAAAUAAAAAAAAAUUAUUGAAAUUUUAAGACAAGGGUUUUUGACUUUUGAAGAGCUCAUCCAAAGGGGUCAUAGAUUCUAUAACCUAAAAAGGACGCAUGGACCCACUCCACUAGAUGCCAGCUCUAAGUGGCUAAAGUUCUAGUAAUGAUUAUUUAAUCUAUGCUUUUUUUAAGUUGUUAAUGGUCAAAUGAAAUUAUAAUAAGUCCUUCAAAAGUACUCAAUCAUUAAAAACUUGUAGAUCAUAGACUCAAUCAUUAAGAAAUAAUUUUGAUACCUGUAUAUUUAUAAAUUUGACAUGAGCAGAUCUCGAGAUAAGAAAAAGUGUAAGGUGAUGUUUGUUUUUUGACUUAAUAGAAAAAAUUAAAUAUUUUGACUUUUUCUAUUAAGCUAAAAAUAACUUGUUGAUAUUAUCCAACAUAGUUAAAAUGAGUUUAUUAUCAAUAAAUUUAGUUUAAUGAUGUUGGUUAAUGUCAAUAAAUUACUUUUAGCUGAAUAGAAAAAACCAAAAUAUUCAGCCAAAAAACAAACACCACUUAAGUUUGUGCAUGAAAGUCUCCAUCGAAAGCUUUUAAAUAGGAAAAAUUUUAGAGAUAGGUGCGUUAUGAGAUGGUCGAAGACUUUUUUUUUUUAAUUAUGUGAUUAGGGGUGUUAAUUUUGUGGGUUAUUUGGAUAACCUGCUCUUAUUGAAAUGGGUAUGAAAUAUAAAAAAUGUGUAUAGAUUGAGUUUGAGGAUAUUUUAAAAACCCAAAUCAGGUUUGGGAUAGGUAAGAAUUUUGUUCAAAACUCACCCAUUGUCAUUCCUAUACGUGAUUAUUAAGAAUUGAUAUGAGUUUAAUAUUUAGCUAAAUACAAAGAUUUAAUUUAACAUCCAUCAUAAUUAAUUAAUUUGUAGAUGAGAUGACUAUAGUCUUAAGCCAUAUUAAUUAUCAAAAUAAUAGUUAUUUUUAAAAUAAAAGGAUUAUUUAUAUAUAUAUAUAGAUAUAUGUUAUAUAAGUAUAUGCGUAUGUACAUCAAUAUAAUUAAAUAAGGCUUUCUUUAAAAAUAUUAAUGUUAAAAACUUAUUUGUAGGAGUCACUCUUGUUUAACUAUAAUUCUAAUAAUUACAUUAGUAAGAUAUGGUCAUUUAAAUUAUUUUUCAUGUAAUUCUAAUAAUUACAUUAUUAAGAUAUGGUCAUCAUGUAAAUCAGUUUUACUGAAUGUAAUUGAGGUGUAUAGGGUUGUUAAAUUUUAAAAUGGAAAAUAGUUUUUGAACUUAGAAAAUAUGUUCGAUAAAUUUUUUACCAAAAAAAAAAGAUUUUUAGAGGAUUUGUUUUGAAAAAAAAAUUUUAAAACAAAUAUAAAAUGUUUUUAAUUAUUUUUGUAGAGUAUUUAAAAUAAUGACUUGAAUAUCAAGUAUUUAAAAUAAUGACUUAAAAUAAUGUCUUUAUAAAACAUUAUAAAUGAUUUUUUAACUUUAUAAGUAAUUUUUCAAAAUUUUUAAAGUGUUUUCUAAAAUUUGUUGAACACUUUUUUUUUUUCCUAAACACUUUUUAAUUUAAAAAUGUUUUCAAAAAUCAUUCUCAGACAAGCUCUAAAUAUCAAAAGACAUACUUCUACUUGAAACAUUAAAUUCAUUAAAAACAAACAAUCAUUAACAUGUGUUGAAAUUUUGUUAUGUGCUUAUUAUAUUUCAUAUUGCUUGAGAUUGACUCAAAUAGAUGAUAUCUACAUGAGUAUGAACCACAUAGUGUUAGAUUUAUUUCCCUAUUCAAAACAUUUUUCAUAAGAAAAAAAGCCUUCAAUUUUAUGUUGUGGAAAAAACAAUAUCGUUAGCUUCCAUUAUUGUCCAUAGCUCAACUAUUGAAUGGUAAGAAAUACUACUUUUCUUCCUCUCUUGGACCCCAUUGUUCAUACUUCAUUGGCAUCCCUUCCCAUAAUGGAGAAAAGUUUUGCCUUUUUUUUUUUUUUUUUGGUCAAAAAUCAAUAUUUUACUACAUACCAAAAUCAUUGAUUCCAUCAUCUUCAAAAGAAAAGCUCACACCCACUUCAUAAAUCAUGACUGCCUUGUGAAAAGGACAUGUUAAAGAAAUAAAGCAACAUCAAACCCUAAAGAUGCCAACCCUAAGUUGCUAAGUCUAAGAUGAUUUAAAAUAUGUUUUUCUUUAACUAAUGCCCAAAUGACACCAUAUUUGUAACACCCACAAGGCUAUAAGCCCUUCUAUAUCAUUGAAAUUUUGUUAAUUGUAGACUAAUGACAUAGUGCUUUAAGGAUAUUUAAGAAUUCAAAUUAUUUCUAUUUUAUGUGUUAAAAUAAAAAAUAAUUGGUUAAAAAUGAUUAAAUACUCUUCAUACUCAUGAAUUUAUCCUCACCCAUGUUUUAUUUGAAGAGUAACUCAUUUCUAACAUAAAUACCCUUAAUUAUUUCAAAUAUUUACAAUAUAUUUUAAAAGAAAUUAUUAUUUUUACAAGAAAAUAGUGACGACUUUUUUUUUUAUAUCAAAAUAAGACUAAAAAAUGAUGAAAGAUUAGAUUUCCUAAUUAUUACAUUUUUUUUUAUCUUGAAUUAUCCAAUUUCCUACCUUUAUAAUGGGGAGGGUGAGAUGACAUAUACACCCACUCCUAAUUUUAUAAAUAUUUUUCCCAUCCUAUUUCAAAUACAUUCCUCUCAAAUUUUUACCAUUAGAAAAGAAGGGUAUAAAAGUACCUAUCAUAUUUUGCCCUUUUAUUUUCAACACAAGCACAUGCAUAUUUUACAAAUUUGAGCAUAUAAUAAUAAGAAAAAAAAAUGAAUAGGAUAAGCAUGAAUAAGUUAUAUAAAUAUCGAUAUAUACUAAAUGGGUUGUCAAAUUUAUAUUUAUUUUUAAUAUAAAUUUUUUUUAGUAUUUUUUAUAGGAUAACUAAAUAUGAUAAAAUCAUUUUUUUAAUAUUUCCUUUAUUUUCUAAGUAGUUUUCAAAAACCAAAUAUAAUCUAAAUAUAAAAAAAAAUUAAAAAUGGAAGUCUCACUUGUAUCGAUGGACAUAAAGCAAUUCCAUUUUUUAUAAAUACACAAGUUAGAUAAAUAGUUAAUAAAUACAUUAACAUUUCUAAUGAACAAAUGAGUUAUAGUAUUUCAUGUUGGAUCAAGAAAUUAUUAGGUCCAGGAUUUGAACCAAUGUAGACAUAUUGCAAACAAGUUUACAGUCCAUCCCCAUUAACCGCUUGGACAUCGACCCAAGAAGAAUUAAUUCUAAGAUUAUUGAUACUUCAUAAUCAAUUUCCUUUCUUCCUAUUUUAUGGAAAGUUGAAUUUCCGCCGCUUCCUUAAAAGAGAGAUAUCUUAAACCACCGAACAAUAAUAAUAUGAUCCAUGUGAAUGAAGUUAGAUAAAGAGGCUAAUUUGCUACCAAAGUAAAAGUCAUUUCUAGAAAUCAUUUUAAUAUUGAGAGCACAAUUAGUGGACUUUUUUGCUUUUGGAUUAUUUUUUAAUAUUUGAAGGCUUGUCUUUAAAGUAAUAUAUCAAAUUUUUAACCAAUAAAUUUUUUGGAGUUGUUUGGAAAGCAACCUAUGAAGUGUGGUAUCCAACAUAUCUUAUGUGUUGUCAAGCAUUUAAAAAUAUUAAUCAUAACAUAUGUUAUUAAAACACUCAAUUAUAAAAUAAGUAAAUCAGAACAAUCUUAUUAUUUAAUCAUAAAUAUAUUAAUUAAAUGAUAAUUUCAUAAUAUUUUUUAAAAAAAUAUUAUUUUAUUUUCAUAGUAAUUUUAUAUGUAACUCCUAUUAAAUACUUAAAAAGAGAAUUUAUAUAAUAUUAAUUUUAUUAACUAACAGUCCACCUGUCACAUCUACUUUUGGUAACAUGUGUAAACAUGUGGAAGGAAGAUAGGGCAUGUGAAAGGCAAGCCUAAUUAGAUAAGAAGGGUGGUUGGGUCCACGGGUGAUUGGUCCCCCAUUUUAAUUAUUCAAACAAUAAAUGAUUUGUCCGUCCACUUGCCAGCUUUUUCACUUCACCAUCCUCUGUCCUCUGAUUUUAUAUUUUUAUAUUAUUAUUAUAAUAAUAAUAAUUCUUGCUGGGGCGACACGUUCUCUUUCCAUAUUUAAAAAUUAAAAAUCUUUUCAUUCUUUAUUUGGAAAUUUAGAAUCUUUAUCAACCUUUUCAUUUAAUUUUUAAUUGGAAAAUUCAGAAUCUACAUGAUGAUGUGUAUGCUUACGUCAACCUAUAUUAUUACUAUAAUCGGACAACAUGGCAUGGUCCCAAGUUCCAAACCACAACUUCAAACUAGAUUUUUUUAUUUAUGAUAGUGAUAGACCACCAGACGAGCUUUAAUUUUACUACAUUUAUGAUUGAAAGUAACCAAAAUUAAAAAUUUUCCCCUCCAUAAAUUUUUAUCAUUCCUUGUAAUAUAAUCUUCUUUAAAUAUCUUUCUAGGUGUUUGUCUUUAAAAGACAAACUUUAAGCACACCUAAGCUCAAGGUCCCACCACUCUCUAGUUAUAGUGUCUUAUGUGCCAAGAUAUGCUCUUACCUUGUCGAAAAGGCACGCCAUUACGAUAGGUGAAUUUAUAUAUAUAUAUAUAUAUAUAUAUAUAUAUAUAUUAUAAAUAUUUCAAUAAAAAUUACAACUAACUUUUCUUGGGAGCAGAACCCAACCUUACAUGCAAAAAAAAAAAAAAAAUUCCAUCACCAAGCCCGUAGGACUCCCAUGGGAUCCAAAAAUAUAAUGGCACCACAUGACUGAACAUUCAAGUAAAUCUCAGGAGCAAUGACUGAGGCUGCAAAUAGGGUUAAGUUUGUUGCUUGGGCUUCACGCGAUGGAGUGGCCAUAAGGAUUUGUUUGCUAUGCAGGAAUCUGAAUGAAGAUAAGAUGAGAAUAAAAAUGAAUCAUAAUAUCAAAAAAAGAGAAAAAACCAAUCCCUGUAUACAGUGGUCAUUCUCUGUUCCAAUGUUCCAAACAUGCCCAUUAUAGCAAAAGUAAUCGACAAGCUAGGAAAGAGUAGUAACAGCUUCACCUUGAACAUGCACUAAUACCCAUGUUUGAAUGCUUCCAGGGUUCAAUUCCCAUACAAGGAUCCAGGGUCUCCUGGUGCUGCCCAGAUCAAUACUUCUUUUAACUUUUCCUUUUCCAGAAUGAUUAUAAAGGUCUGAGGAUUCAUUUGAAAAAAUUUCCAAAUAAAAGAGGCAGGACGUUUUGGUAAGUUGUAGUGAAGGAAACAAGUCUAUGAAAAUGAUAGUUCAGCAUGCUAGCUAGCUCCUUUAUUUAUUGAAUGGAUGUUCAGUUCAGAGUAUUCAUCGACAAAGUUUCAAUCCAUAUGCUGACCUCUCAGUCUACUUCAUACCAAAAGAAACAAAAUAUAACAAAAGCACAAACCAAUCCAAGUUCAAGAGUCAUGUUCAGGAAAAGUUAUGAUUCAUACAUGAGAAGGUUUUAGCUAAUUUCAGAAUGUUGAGAAUGGAAGUCCUCAUCAACUUCAUACACGAACAACUUGCUUUAGCUGCUGCAACAAGAAAAUAGCCUUGUUUAAAGAGGACUCCAGAAGGGGACAAUGGAUGUGAAAUAACAACCAUAUGUAUGGACAAUGGGUAAUGGGCAUACAUUGUAUACUGAAACUGAGUUGUUUCAGGCGAUUUCCCGGCUUACCAACUGCCAUCUGGAUCACGAGACUGAUAGAAAUCAUCAUUUGGCCGCACGAUGUUGACAUCCUCAAAUUCAUUGUCAUCUGGAAGCAAGAUAAAGGGUCUUAGAAUCUUGGUCAAAAAAUGCACAACAAAAGUCAGGAAUAUGAGACCAUCUAUGUUCAUCAUGAUUCAAAACUAAAAUUUUCAUAAUACUGGAGAAAUUUAAUUCAUCCUGAUUGCUUACUCAGAAAAUAAUCCCAUUUCCAGCUGGGAACAGGAGAUGGAGAGUGGGUUUUCAAACAGUAAAUGAAAAUUUUCAAUUUAUUGAUUUGGUCAUUAGGGACAUUCCCCAUGAAACAACUCAGAAUAAAGCCAAGGUUUCAGUAUUUUUGAAGAAACUGCAAAACGGACACAAUCUAAAUGGAUCACCUACUUGACAGUCUUGACUAAUAUGUUUCACUAUUGAUUAGUGAUGUUUACAAUUUUCUCCAAAUAUGUCAUUUCACCUUUUAUUAAUCCUUUUGCCUAUUCCUGGACAUCUUUUCACAAUGUAGGUAUCGGUUUUGAAAUAAAAACAAAAGAAUUAAUAGAAUCAUAGGGCCUGUUGGGAUCUAUUCUUGAGAACAGUUUUCUGUCUCUGGAGACAAAAACAUAAACUGCUUCAUGAAUAAAUCACAAGUAAAUAAAUAAAAACUCUAAGGCUAUGUUUGGUUCCCAGAAAAUUUGAAGGAAAAUGCAAGGGAAAGAAAAUAUAAAGGAAAAGUAGAAGGAAAGAAAAAGUGAAGGAAAAUAAAAAAAUAGAUUAAAAGUUGAUAAAUUAUUUUUUUGUUACUUCAAACUCAUUUUAUUUAUUUUAACUCAUUAAUAUAAAGAUUAAAUAAUUUAAAAAUAUAUAAGCUUUUAAUUAGUUUUAAUUAUAUUUGAUUUUCUUUGAUAUUUUUCAUAUGACAACCAAACAUGAAAAAAUCAUUUUCCUUUGCAUUUUUUUUCUUUCCUUAGUAUUUUCCGGGAACCAAACAUAACCUAAGUGUGCUAGGAGAAUAUAAAAAUAGGGAACACUCUAAAAACCUGUUUGCUUGAGCAUUUUCAGAAAAUUGUUAGUUGAAAGGCAGUUAGAGGAAUCUAUUCUUGAGUGCUGGUAUUAGAGAUGGGAACAAAACAUGCCACUAAAUUACAGUGAUUAAAACUUGAAAUGAGAAAAGUUAACCAAGUUCUACACAAUUGUCACCAAUAACAACAACCACACCCAUGCCCUCCUCACCUCCACCCUGAAACACUGAUCAAAGACAUACAAACAUACAUGCAUAAAAUAAGAAACCAAAAGGAAAAGAAAAGAAAAGCAAAACAUAAAGGCAACCACACCAAGUGCACGUUUGCAUAUUGAUUAGUGCUUCUAGUAACUUCAAACUUUUACCAUAAUAAUAUUUAUUAGGAGAAAAACAGUCACUUAGAACUUUCAAUUAUAGCUAAAGCCUAAGAAGAUUUAAUUUUUGGACCUUUUUUUCCCAAAAAUCCCAUGAAAUAAGUAAAUAUGAAGGAGGAUGAAAAAUCCUUCACUUGUAACACAACCACUACAUAACUAGAGACAACUAAAAGUGGAUGCAAUUAUAAACUCAAAUACUCCGGAAGUAGAAAACCCCCUACAUUGGCUCCCUGUUUUGCUAACAUAUCGACCAUAUAAUUAGCUAAGUAAAGAAUCUAAUAAAAGGAAAACCCCCAACUCUAAAAUAAUAUCCAAAAUUUGGUGAAGCCAAUUAUCAAAUUUCCACAAGCCUCUUUCCUUCUUGUUCACCUAAGAUAGGACUACAACAAAAUCUCCCUAUACUAGAAGACUGGAUAGACCCACAGCUUUAGCAAAGUUUUAGGCCUUCAAAGAAGGCCAGUAUUAUCUCCACCCUAAUGGAUAGACUCCCUCUAGCAUGUUUAGGGAAUAUUCUCUCACUAGUCUUUCAGAUGAUCCAUGAGCCUUCCACCAAUUCCUAACAGUCCAAGGUUACCUAAGGGACACCCAUCAAAAUUCAACUUGACGGAGGAGUCGUCCAUAUAGGGACUAUCUCCUCAACUAACCUAGUUGAUUUCACUUGUAUCGUCGUGAUGGUGUCUUGAAUUCCAUCCCUCUUAUUGGUCCUACAUCAAUUUAUGUUCCCACCUAGUCCAUGUGGGACCUCACAUUCUACAAUUUCAUCAUUCUUGUAUAAUAGAAAUUCCUCACUUUAGUCCAUGGGAUGACUGAAUCCAUCAAAUUCGUCCACCCUCUAUUUGCUAGUAAUCUGGAGUUGUGAAUGAUAUCCACAUCAUCCAAUCCAAUUGAGUGGCUUUCUCAAUUAUAGUUUUCUAUGUUACAUGGACACCUUAAAGCAUAGGAAGUAUCCAUGCCAAACAUAACAGGACAGGGCUUUGGUAAAGGAUAUUGUUGUUGCCUACAUGCCUAUUAGUAAGAUUUGUAACCAAUAAGUCUGCCCAGAGAAGAAAAAAUAGGAACAAGUUUCUAGUUCAUGUAAGUAAACUUAGACUCGAUGAAUAUUCUUGGUCAAACAUUUUAAUUUGGCCUACGGGAUAGAUUAAGAAAAAAUUGGAAAUCUGGUUAUUUAAAGAGUCUCCAUGCCUUAAGAUAUGGGAAUCAAUGAAUGUGACCCAGACCCCAAGGCCCAGAACUUAUACAACACCAGUCACUUUCCCCCUGCUCUGUGUAAUACAAAUAUCUUCACAGUUCAAACAUGGAUGGAGUUCAGUUGAAAAAUAAGUUUAAAACCUUGGGUGGACAAGCAUCUUUGCAAAUACAAAAUUUACAUUACUAGAUAUUGAUUAUAAUUAAAGGAUAAUCCUUUAAUUAUAAGUUCAUACACUGGAACCACUGCUUACUGGUUGCAAGUUGACAACGUCCAGUCUGUUUUAUAACACCUGAUCCAGGGUCCAAGAACAGCAAAUUACUACCCACUACAACAGGCAGCUUCUUUUUGUUAUUAGUCAGAUUUGCAGGCUAAUUCAGGAUGGCCCUCAUAAACAGGAUUAAGAUCCUAAGACAUCGUAAGACAACCUAAGAUAAAUGUUCAAAAGGGAAGAACUGUGUCCACCAGGCUCCCAGAUAUUCAAGGAACCUUUUUAACAACUGAAACUAUAAUGACAUCAAGAGCAUGAUAACACAGUUCAAUUGGUGGUUCUUUCAUUCUGUUUGCCACAAGAAUCUACAAUGCUUCCAAAACCCUAAUUCAAAUUUCAACCUGAAGAGGUCCAAGCAACUCCACAGGAAACUGCCUCCUAUUGGUUCAGUAAAACUUAGCACUAUCAAUUGUUUGAACCUUCCUCAGGAAAAUGAUAACCAUUGAUAAGGCUUGGGAUUUCAUUGGAACAGGAAAUAUGGUGUGGAAACCUGUAAGAAAGGAUGAUAUUCAAGCAUUAAAGCAGACUAAUGGGAUAUCAAAAAUAGUUUUUGGAUUGCAAGUGGAAGGAGAAGCCUACAUAAUAUCAUAGAAAUAGAAGGCAAGGAGAAAUCAAUUUCAUUAAGCAAAACCGUAUUUACCAAUUUAGAAAAUAGGAAUCAAAAUAGAAAUGAAAAUGGAUAGAACAUGGGGAACCUAAAGAUAAAUAUGAGAAACCACAAUAAAAUAGAUAGAUGGAACAUGCAACAGAAAUCUAAAUGUUAAAGACAAAAAAAGUAGAAAAAUAUUGGACCAAACAUUUCAAAAAGGUUCUACCAAGGAUAACAGUGUUACCUGACUACCUGCAAAAUGUAGUUGUGGGAUUUCUUAAAUGUUUUGCAGGUCUGCAAACAGCUAAUAAAUUUUUUUUGGGAGUUUGCCUAUUAUAGCUUCCAAAGUAAUUUCAUGGAAAGGAUUACCCCUAGGGAAAAGAGCACAGUAAAACGAAGCAGAAACUUCAAAGAAUCGGGAUUGCUCCAAUGGAAGAUUAUAGGAUACUACUGAAAAAAGCAUUAUUUUUCUUAGGUACUGCAUGUACUUAGAGGAAACUAUUUAUUUCAGAGUUUACGGCUAAUAACAGAAGUGAGCAGAUCCCACAAUGAGAUUGUACAGCAGGUGCUCUGAUGAAGCUAAAACCUCUUUUCUUCACUUAUCUCAUAGGUGUUGCCCUAGCAUAUUGUUUUGUUUCUAUCCUUCAUCAACAAGAACGAAAAUAGGAGAUAUUAGAAUUAAAGAAACAAAGAAGACAACUAGGGCCUCAAGGAGGCACAUCAAGUUCAGCAACACCAAAAAGAGAUCUGGAACAUCAAAACCAUGUUCUCUACCAAAUGGAUAGAAUCUGAAUAAAUUAUGAUCCCUCAUAAAAUGUGCAACAACAAAAGGAUGUCCGUUACCCCUUGAUAUAGUAUCUGAAUAGAAUACAAUUCUUUGUCCAUCAAUCCAACUUCUUUCCCUCCCCUUACAAGAUCAGAAUAGUUCAUAUUGAACACCAUACAAGUCAAAUGAGCUACCACCUUUAGUCAAAUCAGUCAACUUAUAAACCAGGACAUUAAAUAUGCAUAUGCCAGUUAGUAUGGAAAUAACAUGCAUUAAAGUGAGACAGAAAUAGAAAACAGGUAAGCAAAAUAACAGACCUUUUCUCAAUGUCAGUGCCACAACAGCAUCAUUUUCGACCUGAAAAGAUUCGGAAGUGAUAAGGUUAUCACUAAUUUAAGCCUCAAAUAUUCAUUAAAAAUAUAGGUACAUCCGUAGGAAAUUUUUAAUCCAAACAAAACAUAACUUUUUUUUAUUAAAAUUAAGAACCAAGGAUUGCUACUUCCCCAGUACAUAAUAAGAGGAAAAAAAACUAUCAAAUAAAGGGCAUGGAGUCAUCAAAUUGGUACCUUCUGAUCUGCCAACGUUUUGGAAUCAUCUAAUAUUUCCCCAGUUCCUACUAAGAUCAAACGCUGAUCAUUGAUUGGUUGAUCAAUGAGGGUAUGCAAUUUCUGCUUAACAUCUAGAAUUGUCUCAGUUGGAUCACACUGUAGAAAGUAGGUUGUCUUACUGCGUUUAACACGUAUAUACAUAGCCUGCACAAAAAUUACAAUCUAGAUUAAUUCAAAGGACAAAGAAAUACCAUAUCAUCAAACUUUAUGUGGAGCAAGACCUAAAAAUGCAUAUGAUGCUUUUAUAUCUUGGAUUGCUACAAUAAAUGUAGCCUAUUAUAGACAUCUCUAAACAUCUUGGAUUGCUUUAAUUAAAUGUUGCAUAGUAUCUAACUUUAUGCAGAGCAAUACUUUUUUUUUUUGAUAAGUAAACGCAGAAUAAAUUAACAGGAGGCAAAAGAGCCGCAAAGCAUACAGGGAGUAUACGAGGCGACUAAGGCCUCCCAACCAAAAAAGAACAAAACACACCAACCCCUAAAUGGAGGCUAACCACUCCAAAAAGCCUAUAAGGGAGAGCGGCUCCUCUCCAAUAUACAAUUUAGCCCAACCCCAUAAAUUACACACAAAAGAAGUUUUUAACUUCUGAAUUGCUAACACCCCCCCCCUAAAAGCUAGUCUAUUCCUCUCCUUCCAAAUCAUCCAAAAAAUGUACAGCGGGAUGGACUUCCUCAGUUUUUUCCCCUUUUUUCCCACAAAAGAUUUAUGCAGAGCAAUACUUCUUUCUAUCUAACUUUAUGUGAAAUGCCACAACCAUUUUCCAAUGAAGCUUUCAAACAUUUAGAUGUUAGAAGAAAACCUACUACAUGUCAUUGUUUAGAAUUACAUCAGAGGUGGCUUCUCAAAUUGUGAAAAUUCUAGGAGAUUUUUUUGUGGUCAGGAAUCAGUGAAGGCAGGAAAGACCACCCACUCCUGUUAAGAUCAAGUUUAUAGACCUAAUUCUAAGAGGGGCUUAGGUUUUGGGAGUUAGGGAAUAAAACCUUAUUGGAAAAUGGUUGAGGCAAUUCCAUAAAGAACUUCCCCCAAACCUAAGCCCCUCUCGAGCUUAGGCCCUUAAACUUGGUCUUAACAGGACUAGGUGGUCUCUCCAACCUUAAUUGAAUCUUGACCACAAAGAGAACCUCUUUGAAUUUCAAGUUUUGAGAAGCCACCUCCGACAUAAUUUUGAACAAUGACAAUAGUAGGUAGUAAAAUCAGUUAAAUGGACUUGAAUUAAGGUGAUUUCACCUUGUCAAAUAGGCUUUCUUCCAACAUCUUGAUGAUUGAAGAAUUCAGCACUAGCGGAUCCCAAAGAAGACUCACCCUUAGGUUCCCUCUAAGUGUGUCAAAUUAAUAUAUGUACCAACAAAGGUGCUUUCAUCCAUAUUGAUCAUAAGCCCAGACACCAUCCUAGAAAGUUUAAAAAUUAGCUCAAGGUUGUGAAUGUACGGUCCCUUUGUAGAGAAGAAAAAAAUGGCGUCAUCUACAAACUAGAGGUGAGAUGCCCCACCUGUCUUUGCCAACUUGAAAGCCCUCUAUUAGACAAAAAUCAUAAAUUUGGAUAUCAAUAUGCUAGCAUAUAUACCAUAAGAGCGAACAAAAAUGUUGAAAGAGGGUCACAUAGGCGAACUCCUCUGGAGGCACCAAACCAACUUUUGGUAUUUCCAAAGAACAAUGCAGAACUAAUAGGAAUAACAACUUUGCAUGCACCUCCUUUAUCCGAGACCUUUCUUGCAAAGGGUAUAAUCCAAGAAGUUCCCAUAAACAUAGUCACAAACCUUUUCAAAAUCCACUUUGAAGACCACUGCUACUCCCUACCUUAAUCUCCGGUUUUCACCAACAAUUUUAUUUCCUAACAGUACAACAUCAAGAAUAUAUCCACCAUGAAUAAAGGCAGCUUCCUAAGAAGGAGAGAUACUCUCAGGAAUCACAAAGCUAAGGCUCAGAAGGAACCUUCACAAAUGAUGUUAUGAAGGCCUGACAUCAGGAAAAUGGGUCUAAAGUUUAUUACCACAAGAUUACUCAUAUUUCCUGGGACAAGCUCCAAGAAAGUUGAGUAGGUACUCUGAUUGAUUAUCCCAUUAUUGUGAAACUCCUAAGCCUUCCAUUUUCUAAAAAUUUCCAUUUCUAGAAAUCUAUUUUUUAAAAGCUUGUGUUUUCUAAAGUUUCUAUUUUCUAAUUCCUAUUUUCUACAAGUUCAAUUUUCUAGAAAGUUUUUGUUUUCUAAAAGUUUAUACUUUCUAAAAACUUCUAGUUUUUAAAAAAGUUUAUGUUUUUUUCUUAAAUGGAAGGUUGAAUAAUUUUAGAAAAGAAUUAAGAAUCAUAAUAAGUUGCCAUUUAGAUUAGAUUUCUUUUUCUAUAGUUUAUUGAGUAUUUUAGGUUUUUUAAAGCCUUUAAAUGAGCUAGUUGAUGCAACCAAGAGGGACAAUGAAUAUGAUUUUUUUUUUUUUUUUUGGGUCCAUGCUUUGCAACUUGUAAAGGAGCAACUGCAUAGUUCCUCUUCUAGAUGAGAUUAAUGAAAGUUUCUUAUGAGACACUAAGGAGUUUCCUAUCUUUUGUUCUCCAUCUUCACUUUCCUUUUCUCACUUUCAUUUAUUUAUUUUUCCCUGCUGCUAUAAUCUUAAUUCCUCUAUUCCUCUCUAUAAAUCCCCCUCCUUAAAUCCCCAAAAAAGUGAAACCCUUACCUACCUCAUUUGAUUGUAAACAACCAUCUAAGGUUGUCCUAAAUGACGAAUUUAACAAUGGGUCUUCUUCCAAUUCAAGAGCAUCCACAAGGUUUGAAGGCUUAGAAGACUAUACCUCAUCUAUCUCUAAUUGAGGAAAUUUUUUUGCCCCCAUAGAGCACUCUCCCUUUUCCAACUUGACGAUUCUUCUAGAGUUGGGUCUUUUCCCCAACAAGGAGUUGCCUGACAAGACAGAAUUAAAGGAGCUGUUCUCCUCAUCAUCACCUUCCUUCAUGUCAGCCUUUCUUUUUCCUUCUACAAGGGUAAGUGAUCUUUGGCUUGUGUCUACUUCCUCAGCAGAAGUCCCUUGUGCCUUUGGAGUACUCCCCCCUAUACUUCAAUUCACUCUCGGCAUCACUCUAUCACAGAACUGAAAUCGUCUAACCUCUGAUGGAGCAAAUUUUGUUGUCUAAGAUCAAAGACUUGGAGCCCUUUUUGGCUCCUUGCUACAUAAUGGGAAAGUGGAGGAAUUGGGGCAUUGAAAUUUAAGAAGCCCUAAUGUUGAAAGUCAUUUGUCAGUUGGAUUAAAUAAAAGGCCUAACCUCAUGGGCUUUGCCAAGUCAUGGUCCCUUGAAUUAUGCGGUCUAGCUUUGCUUGAGGCUUUUACUAAGGGCACUGAUGCCCCUCAAUUUGGAGGCAAGAGCCUUUCAUCCCCCUAGGACAUCUUUUCCUUCGGGAAAUAAUAAGGAGAGCCUUUUCUCCUUUGAUGACAACACUGAGCAUAGCAGAAAUCUACCUGCAUUGUUGCUGCAAAGGUCCAACUUGUAGCCCCUUUGCUUGAGGCUUUCACUAGGCUACCAUCCCUUGGCCGAGCCAAAAGAGUUUGGCUACUCUACAAUGUUAGGCUUAAUGUCAUUGGGCUUAGAAAAUCUUCUUAGUUGGUCCCUAGGCACAAAGUAUGGCCCGUCACCCUGAAAUGGAUCUUGAGCACCUUUUUUGGGGCAAAAGGUCCAUUGCCAUCCUUGUUUAAAUUUAGAAAAUUAACCCCAGUUGGCUUAUCCUAGUUGCAGGCUGUCCAUGGUUAUCCAUACUUGUGCACCCUUCAACUUGUUUAUAGAGUUUGCAGGUUUUCUGACUUCUGCACUGCAACCCCAAUCUCGUGCUAAGGGUAAGCUAAAUGGUUUAUCCGGUUGCUUUUGGAAAUAUGAGUCUAACUCAUCCCUUCAACUUGUUUUUGAUUCUUCUUUGGCCUCCAAUACUUCUGAAAUCAGCAGCAGGAAAAAAAUUCCUCUACCAUUCACCUUAAUUGAUGUCAAUAAGAUCUCCCCUUUCAUCAAAUGUGACAUAUUGUGCAAGUACACAAUUCAGUUAAGGCACCAAAGGAUUUCAGAAUGGCUUCAAAAGCUCCCAUGUCCAUAGAUGGAAAGGUAAGCCUCUCAGCCUCUCAAUUCAACCUAACCACUCUUUAAGUCACAUUCCUAAUUGUAUUUGUUCUUGAACAUCACCUUCCCAAGCAAACUUUACUCUUUUUGAACCAUAACCUCUCCCAGAUUACUUGAUUCCUCUGCUACGUUUGUUGAUUUGAUCCAAUAAAAAUGCCUUCCAUGGCUGAAAAAGAUAAAUCACAAGAGACCUAUUUAUUCCUAUAGCAACAGCUAGCCUACGAUCAAUUGUUUCCCACUCAAACCACUGGUUUGGAUUUCUUAAGAUGAUUGCCGUUCCCUCAUAAAAUAGCCUCUUCCUCCUUACUCUAUUUUGUGUGGAAUAGCAGCCUUCUUAAGCUAGUGUUUGGUAGAGGCCUUAUCCAGUUCCUUCAAAAGGAAUUGUAACCUCGUAAACACCAAGACAACUGAAAGAUCCAAGACAAUCUUCAUCACUUUCAAAUUCAAUCACUACUUUUAGGAAACCUGGUUGGUAGUUUAAGGUAUUGUAUUCCAACUUCAAUUUACUUGGCUCUUACUAGUAGCAGCCUUAAACUUUAUAGAUUUGAAGAACCCUGUGAAAUGGGACAAUGUAAACUUAACCAACCACUACAAUUUUCCCUUUCUGGGAUUAAAUUGAAUGUGUUCUCUUUUUCAAAGACCAUUACAAAAUGUUCCUUCCCUAUGUCACUGAGUCACAAGCAUGUAUCCAAACAGCCCCCCAUCUCUCACUGUAGAAUCCAACCUCACAGCCACCAGCUGUCAUUUUGUGAAGUUGGCCAACCGGCCAAAGAACCCUUCUUUAUCAAGCCUUAGAGUUUCAGGGUUCUUCUACCUCAUUUAGUUAGCUGCAACCAAGAAUCUCCAGUUCCAUCUCCUUCCCUGAUCUCAAAAUUUUUUCUUACAGUGGCGUGCAGCUUUCUUUCCAUCUCAGAUCUCACAUAAUUGCAACUUUAUCAUUCCCAAUUUAAAAAAAUAAGAAAUGAUGUCACUUGUGAAUUAACAAAUAUCCAGAUCAAUCUUCACAGUUUACAUCUUUACAGCCUGCUAUUGUGAUAUAAUAGCAAAGACACCACCAACAGCCUAUGAUUUGUAUCUAUUACCAUUUAACACAAACUAUAUCUUAUCCUCUGCAUAUGCAGGCCAAAACAGAGUACGGAAAUAACAGUGAAAUACUUCACUGUUCAGGAUAUUUAGGCAAUUCACAGUUUGCAUCCUCAAAGCCUGUUCCUGUGAUAUAACAAGUAAGAUAACAACCAAUAGAUGCUUUCUGUGCCAAAUGUUUGACGAGUCGAUUGAUCACCUCCUUCUUCAUUGUGAGAAAACAAGGGAAGUGUGGAUGUUGCUCCUUUCUUUAUUUGGAGUGCCUUGGGUGUUUCCUUCUUCGGUAAAGGAAACCCUUUUAGGGUGGAGGGGCUCUUUUGUGGGUAAAAAGAGGAAGGCGGUGUGGCAAGUGGGACUGUUAUGCUUGUUUUGGGUCAUUUGGAAGGCAAGGAAUAAUAUUGCUUUUGAAGAAAGUGUGUUGUCCAUCCAAAGGCUGAAAGCUUCUUUUGUGUAUUUACUUUGGUCGGAGACCAAAUUGUGGAUAAAAAGUGGUCCUUCGACCUUAAUAUAUUUUAUAGAUUGGAUGGGUUUGCGAUGAGGGAGAAGGUUUUUUGUUUUUCCUUGUUGUUUUGGGUCCAAUUGUAAGGGAGUGAGUGUCUCUGUGCUGUAUUUUUGUGGGUCGCUAUUUUAGCGCCUCUUCAUAAUACAAUUCUUUUGCUUAUUGAUCAAAAAAAACAAGAUAACAACCAAUAACUCUGAUAUGCCUCCAUAACCACUAAGAUUAUCUUGUUCUCUGCACGCAAACCAACACUUACUAUUGAAAUAUUACCAAAUGAUUUCUUAUUGUUACAUUUUCAUAAACUCAUGUCUACCAAGAUCCUAAUUAACAGUUGGUCAGUUUGAAAAUGUAAGUUUCAACAAAAUUGAGAACUAAAAAGGGAAAUCAAGGAAUCAGAAGAAUACAAACAUACCAUGUAGACAAUGCGAUAAAGACCCCGACUUCUGAUGCUUCUUUUUGCUAGAGUCUGUCAAGCAAUUCCUGCCAAAAUGAAUUAAAAUAACAUUCUGAUUCACAUAACUAAAUAGUAUCCUAAAAUUCACUUACAUCAUAAAAGAAUCCUAAAACAAUUAGAGGGCAAUCUCUUGAAAAGACUUAGGCCAUACUUAAUUGCCUAAAAUUUGGAAUUAAGAUUCAGGUUGAAAAUUCCAUAUCAAAUUCCAGUCUUAGGUUUAGUUGCUUUACAUAUCUAUGGAUUUGAAAUUAUUUAAAUUCUAGCUAAGAACCUGAGAUUCAGAAACCAAGAAUCAUCCAAGGGAAAAUGUUCAAAUGAUUGAUUCCCUUGAGUUCAACUUCUUCUCCAAUGUGCUGCAACCCUCAUGAUCAACAUUUUUCCAUAUGCUAUAAGCAUCACACAUUUUACUCUCCUGAUAUUCAUAGACAAGUUUCUCUGGUUUCAACUAGCCUAUUGAUUAGCUCUCUUUCAAUCCAUGCUGCAAUUAUUUUCUUUUCAUAGAGAUCAUACUGAUGAGCUUUUGUUAGUGAAUUGCCUAAGGUUGCUCCUUAGUAGUGCAGAAAUGGAUUUGAUUUGGAAUUCCAAUUCUGUUAAAUUUGAAAACCAGUAUUAUAAGGAAUUUAAAUUUAAUUCCAAAUUGAUUAGUACACAAAGCAACCAACCCCUGACUCAAAUUUAAGACCAGCAGGACCAUGUCAUGGCCUCAAUCUCAUGCAGAGAGCCUAAGGCCACUAGUUUGAACAUUAAAGCAAAUGUCUCCUAGUGUAGAGCCAAGGCACAAAGCCAAGCCAACACUUAUCUAAGGCAAGAAGGCCUCCUAGAGCCUACAAACAAAGCAAAACACAAGACGUACACCUGAAAAAAGACCAGACCAAUCUAAUGUACGUAAGGAAUUUUAAAUAAUUUAAUGAGCAAUUAAUGAAUAACCUCACUGAUUUGGAGAUUGAGGACCUUGAAAGAUUUAUGUCCUCUCUCAAUCACAUGCAUUUGUCUUCAACUAUCCCAGAUGCAACAGCCUGGUCAUUAUCCUCCUUAGGUUUGUUCUCAAUAUAAUCCUUGGUUGUGGUCUUGUCUCAUCUAUCAAAUACAAGUCCCUUUUCUUUGACCAAAGUUGUAUGGAAGUCUAAACCCAUCUAAGGUUAAGGCCUUUGUUUGGCUAAUGGCACAUAAGAAGGCAAAUACCAAUAAUAUGUUACAAUUGAGAAGACCUUACAAAUCCUCUAGCCCUAGCUGGUGCAUUCUAUGCAUGGGGAGGGGAGAAACAAUUUAUCAUCUUUUUUUACAUUUUCAGACAAUUUUGGGGUUAUGGCACAAUCUAUUCAAACAAGCUACAAAGAAUAGGGUUCCACCUAGGAGCAUAUAUGACAUGAUGACACAAUGACCAUUUCAUAUAGGGUUUUAGGGAGUACCGUUAGAAGCAAGAUCCUUUGCCAAAUCGCUUGUAUCGCAUUGAUGUGGAUUGCAUAGGGGGACAUGAUAGAGACACUAUGGAAUCUAAUGCACUUUUAUUCCUCUUUCUAAGCCUCUUGUAUAGCUGCUUUAAAAGGCAUUCCUCUCAAUGUUGUUCAGCUUGAUUGGUCCUCAAUGUACAAAACAAAAGGAUUUGAAAAGCAAUGAAAGGAGUUUUGAUUGGGUUUAAGAAGAUACUAUUGUACUUUCUUUUGGACUGAUCCGUAUGGUUAGGUCUCCUUGUAUAAUGGAAGAGUUUAGCAUUAUUUUUUAUCAACUUUUUGUAACUAUGGGGAGGACUCCUUAUCCUUCUCAUGUACUUUUUAUCCAUAUUUAAUACAUUUCUAUUUAUGAUAAAAAAAAAAUUAAUAUUGCAAAUUUGGACAUGCAGUAAUGCUUUUUUAGUCAAUUUUCCACAAAACUGGCAAUCUAAAUAGGAAUUUUUCCACCCCAAAUCCUUUCUAGAAUUUGAACCCUCAAACUCUAUUUAAGCAAUAAUUAUCAAAUGUAUCAAAGAUCAAUAUUCAUGCAAUUAUCCACAAAGGGGAAAAGACUUGAAAUAGCUAAUACAACAUAAUUUACAUAACAAAGAAAUAAUUUUUUGGUUGGAAGUUUGCAAUUAUCAUUAUUAUUGUAUUAUCAUUUGUAGCAUACAAUGAGCAUAAAGAUAUGCUUUGCCUUCAGAGAUUGCAUGACCAACCAUGAUUAAUAAAAACUUCCUUACACAAUAGUUCAUUUUAUAUAAUAAUAUCCUAGAAUUGUUACAUCAAUUUAGAGAAUCAACUCAAGAUCUCGAGAAACUACCUUCCAAAUUAGCAGGUCAAAGAUAUGACUCAGACGGACACCUCCAACGAUUUUAGAUGAUUCUUGCCCUUACUUAAAGAUGUAUCCAUCACAAAAGUUCCUAAUCCUAGAUUUUAAAUAAAUCUAGCAAGAUUAAUGAUAGAGUCACCUAAGCAAGUCCAAAUUCAUUGAAACUUGAAAGUUUUAAUGGUGAAAUCCCACUAAACUGGUUAUCCUUUGCCAAACAAAUUCUUCUUCUUUUUUCUUUUUCCUUUUUUGCUAUCAUUCAAGAGGGCAAACUAGCCUCUUCAAAGCAAAAUCCCAUUGAACUUUGUAACACCUUCCUCCUACUAAUAGUGUUAUUUCAUGGUUUGGAAUUAUUUCUCAUUCUAUCAUCAACCCAAAGACCACCAUGACCAUAUGGUCAGUCUUAAAACCAAUUCCAACUCCGACAUACCCCUAGUAUAACAAAUAUCAACCAUAGAAAUGCAAGCACUAAGCGAUAAAGAGCUAUGCUUCAAUCAUGAUGCAGUCCUUAACCCUCGCCCACCUAGCGCUACUAGGUGGUGAUUGCUAGAAUUCCAAUGCCACUUGGCAAGUAGGCAACGACAUUCACAGCCACUUCCUUGAUUCCUAGGUUCAUCGACAAGCCGUUUGUGAAGUAGAGAAUCUUGGAUAUUAGAAUCAUCGCCAUAUAAUUCUAGGACACACUGUUCACACAACCAACCAUGAUUGAGGAAAUCUCUUCCUUACGUAGCUGGCAUAUAUCAUAAUCUUUAGUUUUAUGUAAUUACAUUCACUAUUGCGAGAUUGGAUCAGAAAAUAAACGCAAGAACUUGUGAAUCUACCUUCCACAUAAGAAGAUGAAACCUAUGAAUUAGAAGGAACAAAUCCAAUGUUUUAGAUGACAUUUUACUUUACUUAAAGAUACAUCCAACCCCAUCAGAGGGCAACAUAGUUUUUGAAUAACUAUUGAUCCUUGGCAGAUGAUUCCCAAUCAAAAACAUCUUACUUCUCUCGUCCCAACAUUUUUUUUUCCUAAUUUUCUGCAUAAAGAACAUUCAGUAGUUUAAUGAAGAAUUUCAUUAAAUAAUUCCAGAAGAAAAAUAAAUAAACAUACCAUAAUCAAAAAAACGCCAUAACCUAAAAGACCCCCAAAAAAAUCAGGAAAAAAAGCUCAGAAACAUAAUUUAGCAUCAAACAAAGAACUCCAAAAACCGUAUCCCAUGAAAAAAUCCAGAGUUUGUAAAUUCAAAAAAAAAAACCGAAAUGUAUUAAUCUCAGAGUUUGUAAGCAAUUACACAAAAAUUAAAAUAAAAUGGAGAAAGAGAAGCUGGAAGAAGUGUUGGGAGAGACUACCUGGUGGAAGAGAUGGAGUUGUCGCUUUCUGGGAGAAACAGAAAGACGAGAGAACCGGUGUCGUUUUAGGACAAGAGAAUUGGGGGUUCUCACUUCUCACCUUUUAGCCAAAUUUCAGGCUCAGUCGAAAUUUAAGGGUGGUUUGUCGGUGGGCUCUAAAAAAGAGCCUGAUUGGUGGGCUAACACCCCUUUGCCCAAACCAAAAAUCGUUGGGCUUUUACUAAUAUUUUGGGCUUAUAAAGCAUGGCCCAGUUACAGGUUGGCCAUGGCUGUCGAGACAAGCUUUUGAAAAUCUGAGUCAACUCAGCCCUCCGAGCCUGAGACAUUUUUAAACCUAUUAGAAAACUCGCCUCUUUUUUAACUUUUAAUUCUUUACUUAAAGAUAAGAAAAAUUAGAGAAAUAAUAGAAAAAAUAUAUAUUAAGAGGGUGUUUGGUAAAACUUAAUAUUUAUUAAUUAAUGGCUUAAGUUGACUUUAAGUUAAAUUAUACUUGAGUUGUUAAUUUAAAAUUUAUUACUUAAUUUUUAUUUUAAGUAUUAAGAUUAUUAGAUAAAAUUAACUUAAAAUUAAUUAUAAAUCAUCAAAUUAUAUAAUUAAGGUAUAAAAGAUUGUGUAGUAAUAAAAAAAAAUUGUGAAAAUAAUUAAAACAAAUAAAUAUAAAAUAAUAAAAUAAAAUUUAAACUUAACAAUAAAUUAAUUAUUUUUACUUAUUAUUUAAAAUUAUUUUUAACUUUAAGUUAUACCAUUAAAUUAUUUUACUAAACAUAUUAAUUUACUUAAUAACUUAAAUUAAAUUAUUAAAUCACUUUAAAUUAUUAAAUUAGUCUACUAAACAGUUGGUGCGAAUUUAUUUCCUAUUUCCUCCCCCUCUUUUUUUUAUAAUUUUUUUUUUCUGUGCAUCUUUUAUUGCCAUAUGCAAGUCCUUUUCCUCGUAUUUUUCCAAAAUUCAAAAUGAGUCUCGUAUAAAAAUCAUUAGGCAUGUGCCCCUUAAAAAAAAAAAUUCACAUUGCAAAACAAAACUCCGACUAAUUUGAUAACCAUUUUUAAAAACAAUUCUAAAAACUAUUUUUUCACAUUUUAUAAAACAAAGAUUUAUUUUAAAACCCAAAAUAUUUCUGACAUAUUUUACACAUUUAUAAAUAUAUUUUAAAAAUAAUUUUUUUACACAAUAUUUUAUUUUUAAUCAUUCUUCAUGAUCUUUUUUUUAAAGCAAUUCUCAAAAAACAUUUGAAAACAACCCAAAAAUAUUUUUUGAAAACAUAAAAAUAUUUUUGCCAUUUUUUAUUUUUUGAAGAAAAGAAAACUGUUUUCAAAAUUCCUUACCAGACAAGGUCUUAACAUAGAGAUAUUUCCACAUUUACAAACAAACAGUGCUAGAGAUUACGGUUAUUUGGGAGAGUUACAGAACCAACUUUCCAUGGAAGCUUGCAAUUGGAAUCAUCAGACUCAACUGUAUCCCCACUCCACAACCCAAACUCUUGGAUUCCUUCGUUACAAGCAUCCAAGCUAAUAGAAUUGGAUUUUCUUCAUGUCUGCUGCAAAUUCAUCCUUCAGAUUUGAAGGCAAUGUUCAGUAUUUGUCCACUGAUUAUAUGAGAAAUCACAUCUGCAGAAUCAUAACAAUAAGAUCAGUGGAAAAGAUGUCUACAUUUCUGGAUUCUUAGUGGGAAAAUAGUGUAAUGUGUAUGUUAAACUUACAGGUCCCCGGGAUGAAUUGCAAGUUCAAAUCGAUGCCCAGACGGGAAUUUUUCUUGGUUCUUUGAAUUGAUCAUGCUUGUUUUUAACUUCAUGCAGCCAUUUUUUCAGGAGUAACAGCCAUAAGGUCUCUCAAUACUUUGCCCAUCCACCAUACUGAGCCUUGCCCAGAAUUGACUCGAUGUCACCGGAGUACAAACCUAGACUUUUUGCCACAGCAAAGCCAGCAUACAUGCCAUCAACUGCUGCACUGACAAUUCCACCAGCAUAGCCUGCUCCUUCUCCAAUGGGGUAGAGUCCUCUCAGUGAUGUGCUUUCAUAUGUGUCACUGUUACGAGGAAUUUGGAUGGGGGAGCUGGUUCUUGUCUGGAAGAAAGAUGUUAAGAAUAAUUCAUUUCUACUUCUUGAGACCACUUGUUCAAACAAUAUGAAUUGGAUCAGAUAUAGGACCCAAGAUCUAAAGAGAUGUUAAAAUCUUAAGAAGAUGUUACAGAAUCUCAUUCAUGAGAAGUCCAAAAUACGUGGGAAAUAAGUAAACAGGAUACCUCGACUCCAUGGAGCAAGGCGUCUUUGGAUAUAAAUCCAGGUAACUGGGAGUUCCAAAGUUCAGCAAAAAACAAGUGUAGUUAUUAGAAUUCCAUACAUUCAUGACAACUUGAGAGGUAAAAAGGAACGUGAAUAAGGAAAACCAUAAAACUCGUCUUUAACUAGAAAAGUAAAAGGGGAGGCCACGAAUAAGAAAAACCAAACGAAAGGGAAUGGAAUACCUCUUCAUCAAACAUUGAGAUUGAGUGCUGCAAAGCCUUUGUUAUAUGUAAGGGGAACAACUCAUGGAGAUUGGCUGCCUUGACUCCUAACCGAUAACUUGAUGGUGGUACAGAUGUUACUGCAAAUAUAAGAGCAAGUCAUACUAGAUGAAAUCUUAGGAGUGAAGGCAACCAAGAAACAGAACAGAGUUUUUACCUGACAAUUUGUUUUCCAUAAAAUCUGUGACUGUCUGAACAGGCACCACAAAAUUUCCGCCUCCCAUCAUGGCUGCUCUUCGCUCAAAUUCCCUCUAAACAAUGACAGUAGAAAUUAUAUAAGCAUAUUAAACAAUGAAUGUAGAGAAAUACUGCUACAGCUUAGAUGGAAAUUAUGAAGGUUCCAACCAGGCCCAAACAUUUUUAGACUGAAAAUAUAGCUAUUUUAAAUACCAUAUAUGGUAGAAACAAGGACUGAUUUACCAUAUGGUAAGUUGGUCAAACAGGAAAAUUGUGGCCAACUGGAAGGGCAGAUGGAUUUUACGUUCAGGUAUGUAGUUAAUUGAGAUUUGCAAAAGUGAGAGGAAGGAAUCUUACAAGAAACAGAAAGUAAUAAAUGCAACACACUAAGUAGAACUCAAAAGCAACCUGAAAUUCAACCCCUGCAAGGGGUCCAUCACAAUUCAAUGCCCCGAAAUCCUUUGAUGAGACAGUGGCGACAAGUGCUGCAUUUGCCCACCUGGAGGCACGCCGAGAAAAUGACAUGCCAUUGAUACAAAUUUCUGAUGGAUUCGUACUAGUGAGAACAACCUGCAAGCACCUUAUAAAGUAACUCCAUCUGGUAGAAUAUAGUAUGAACACAAACUCAGUAGUAAUCAUGGGAUUUUGACUCUCAUCACUCCAAUCUUCUGGAGCCUAAUCAAUCCAACCAUAUCAUUUAACAAGGCAUCUCCAGUAUAAAUUUUAGUUCUGAAGAAUCAGAACUGCAUCAAAUUGGAUACACCUUACCACUUGAUUGACAAUAUUCCAUAAAAAAAUUUCAAGAACAGACCAUUAAGAUAGUCUCAUCAAUCCUUUUGGGCUAAAACACACUUCUUCCAGUGCAUCAAGAAGCAAGAAAGUCACAGGUACAAGGAUGAUUUGAAUUACUGUUAUAUCACAGCCUGCAAAACACAAUUUUUGCAGUAGGACUAUGAAAAGAAAAAAUAUACCUGUCCGCCAGGACACAUGCAGAAGGAAUAACAACUACGACUUGUUGCCCCUGAAUCAAAGGAUGUGUCUCCAUCUUCUCCCUGGAGAUACUUGACAACCUUGUAAUCUGCAACAGGAACUUUUCCACGUCCCUUGUGAACCUCAGCAGCCAAGCUUGAAUACUACAUGUUCAUAUAAACAAAUAUGUUUAUAUUUUGAUUGCCAAAAUGUGAAAUUGCAAUAAAUAAAUAAAUAAAUAAAUAAAUAAAAAGGAAUGUAAACAGAAAAUUUCAAAUAAAUCCACCAAAUAUCACUCAAAAUUGACCAAAUCACAAAAGAUGAUGCAAUGAGCAUAGGAAAUCAACGACUUACACAGCCUAGUCGACCUUCAAUCAAGUAAGGAAAUUCCAAGGAGCAAAAGAACCUCACCAAGUGACUAUAAAGAAUUCUAGCUUAAACUUUGGCUUCAUACAGCUAUUCAACUCCAAAAUUCCUGCAAGCUAUGGUGUUUGUUGAGGUGUUGAACCCACUGUCUUGAAAUUUUGGAGGGUGCAGUUAGGUUGUAGAGUAUUGCCAUAUCUUGAGGACACAAGAUCCAUGCUUCUAGAAUUUGACUAAAUAGGGCAGUAGACCCACAUGAAUUGUGAAGCCUCAAACUUCAAAUCAACCUGGUAGCCUAAAAAUAUUGGAAUACCAUACACUUGGGAAUCAAAUCUAAACUUAGUCUAUAUGAUGAAUUUUUCAUGUCAUAUCGCAUGAUUUGCAUCAAGUUAUUUGCAGAUAUUUUUAUGAACAAAACAUACCAUAUUCAUUUUUUAUGCUUCCUUAUUUUCUUGUCAAGGUCUACGUGGCACAGGUUAGGCUCUGGAACUUUUUAACUCAUCAAGAAGUUCCCUUCAAUUUUGGAUUUCAGUAUGAGUUUUCGAAACAUUGCAAAAGAUGCUCCAGGAAACAUAAAGUAUCUCAGUAACAAGGUUCACUCAAUACUAAAUCACCUUACAUCUUAUAAAUCAAAUUUGAACUAUUAGCCACCACAUACCAUAUAUUUUCACUAAGCAAAAGAAUAUCAUUAUUUUAUUUCUAGAAACUUUUUCUAUUAAAUUUCAAGACUGAUUUUUUCUUCUUCUUCCCAUAUGUUGCAAAUAGUCCAUACAUAAGAAAAAUUUGAAAGUUACGGAGAACUAGAAUUUGCUCCAUGCUUGUUCAUGUUUCUAUUAUGAUCAAAGUAAUGAUUGGAUGAUACUAUAUAUUGCUAAAAGUUAAGCCAAGGAUGACACAUAUUGAAUCAUUUUAACUUUUCCAAGUUUUCAGCCAUAUUUAUUGAGAUAAUUUUGAGCAAGCAACUCCAUAUUUUUUAAGCUACCUAGCAAAUAAGGAGAGUAGAUCAACUUGACUUUGACUGUCUCUCAGCCAUAUCUACGGAGAUAUAAUUGAAUGAACAUUGAGGUAUUGUCUAGACCACCCAGAAAAUUUAAGGAGUGAGAAACAUGCCUUCUACUGGUUUUCAGUGAUAUCUGUAGAGAUAGAAUUGAGUGAGUAUAUCUGCAUGGCCCAAAAAUGUAGGGAGUGAAUCUUGACUUAUAACUGCAACCAUAUCUACAGAGAUACAAUUGAAUGAGCAUCACAGUAUUAUCUAAGCCACCCAGAAAAUGUAGGGACUGAAGAAGACGAGUUCAAUCAGAUUCCAGCCAUAUCCACUUGUUAUUCAAAAUUUCCACACGUUCAUUGUUCCACCCAAAUAUACCACCUUGUCAGACAUGUUCCGGGGCCCAAUAUUGAGAAACUUGGAAACUCCCAUGUCAUUCACACCUAUCCAGUAGUAGCACUUGUUGUGAGUGGAGAUGCCACUAACAUGCAAGGCUUUUGAAACUAACAUGCUUGGCUAGGUUUUCCAAGCAUCUGUUUAGGUUAUCUUUGCAUUAGAUGAAUGUAGGAAGUGAUGUGUUCAUUCAAAACGACAUUUGAUGUUAACUGGUUUGGAUGAAUUAGGUGUGCGAGACAUUACUAAUUGGAAGAUAGGUGACAAACUCAGGAUAGGAUUCGGGAAAAAACAGGGUCCAAAGUGGAGUGACUUUUAAGGCUUUUUUUUUUUUUCUAUUUUUGCCACAAUACUACAAAGUUUACCAGUGCUGGUUAUCCCUUGGGUGGGUUCCGGCAAUCCCACCCUACAGGCAAAUACUACCUUGGUAAGGGGCAUUGUUACCAUUUUCUCCAGUUCUUUCCUUCUUUCUCUUCAUCUAACAAGCUUAUGACAGGGCUUUCUUAAUAGGCAAAUUUAUAAUAUAUCCACAUUCAUACAUACAUGCAUGCAUACAACCAUAGAGCAUGUGUCGGUGUGUGUAUAAAGCACCUAGCUUCAUACCAUUCAAACUAAUAUCAUACCAGAGUGAGGAGAACAAGGGGAUAAGCAAAAAAAUUCAGCUCCAGUGACCAUGCCAUCCACAGAGACCUAAUUUCAGAAAGGAUAAAAAUAAAAAAUAAUAAAGCUAUUUUACCCAUGGAAUCACCCACCUCUGAUAUACUAGCUUGCCAAAUUUCAGCCUCAUUGAGAUUUGUUUGAUAUGGUUUUAAUCCCCUCCUUUGUAUUUCCCAAAAAAAAUGUGUUUGAUUUGAUUUUUCUCUCAAAUAAUGCUCAGAUCAGGGCCUACUUUUCUCUAUAUUACAUCAUUUCAAAGCUUCAUAUCCCUUCCGAUUGAGAGAGUGCCAUAGGAUUUUUAUUUUUAAAGACCUGCAAUAUAGCAUGUAUUGCAUUCUGAAAAAUUUUGGAGUCAGAAGCAUGAUAGAGGCAUCCAUCAUGUGUCUCAAACCUUUUGAUGGGAGAUAAUUCUGCAAUUUUUCCUUUUAUUCUAGGUGUUACAGGCUGCAAGAGGGCCGUGGAUAUAUAAUCAGUGGCUGCAUCAUAUUGUAGAUCUUUCUAGAGUUGCCAGUUGUUAAUUGGUAAAGGGUAAAGAUUGUGGAGCAGAAUAUUGCCAAUGAAAAAUAACUUCACAUCCAAAUUCAAAUGCACAGUAAAUCUUUUAUAAAAUCAGCAAAUGAUCAAAUUCUUCAAUAAAAGAAACUUAUUACACAACCAACCUGUAUGCUGUUUAUUAGUUCCUGAGGAUGCUCAAUCCGCAAGCCAACCUGUUUGCCCAUGUAAUUGUUAAAAACUUUGCAAGCACAAGCAUAAGCAUAAUGUCUAAGUCCACAGAACAACCAAUAGUCAUCACUAGAUUCUAUUCAAUUAUACAGAAAACAGAUGUCAAACAAAAGAACAUAAUAGUGGAUCAAAUAUUCAUAAUAUAACUUUCUAAUAUAGAAAUUGAAGGAAUUGCACAACUAUUCAUAACCAACAUUGUAUAUGCCUACCAAACAAACACGUAUGUGCAAGUGUGUGCAUCACUACCAAACAUCGAACACCUUAGUAACACUAACCCACCCAAAUCACCAGUCACCACCAACACCAACUCUUCCAAAGCUGCCAAUACUACUGUCAGGUGCACAACAUGCCAGGUAGAACUUGCAGUUUUACAUAAAAAAAUAAAAAAUUAAAUUAAAAAUAAAAAGCUAGCUUUCUAUAAUAUAUCUACAGGAAUGAAGAAAGAAUCUGAAGUGCCACUGGAUAUUAUAAAGAACUCACAGCAAAAUCUUUUGGGACCAAAUCCAUAUUAUGAGACAGAAGCAUCUGGUAUGCAUCACGUGCAGAAUGCCCUACUGCUAAAACAACUGCAUCAUAUCUCAACUUCUGACUAUUAUGCUCUGAUUUUUCUCUUGAAUCAGAAACUUCAACUCCCACAACAUUAGCAUCCUCUACAACCAGAUCAUCAACUUUAGUCCCAAACCUGAUGGUAACCUAGACAUGUCAAAACAAGAAAAAAAAAAUUAAAAUAUGCAAACAUGAAAAUUAGUUCCUAAAUGCCAUCUAUAUAAGUGACUCACACCCAAGCUUUCUAGAUGUUGUCGAAAGUUGCGGAGUAAUGGAAUCAGCCUAUCUGUUCCCAAAUGAGGCUUCCCAUCAACCAAGAUACUUUCUGGAGCUCCAAAGUGAACUAAAGUUUUCAUAACCUAAGACAAUAAUAAAUGUAAAUCAAAUCAUUGAAUGGCUAAUCAGAAAAUUACAUAAUAGAGAAUUAAAACUACAAAUGACACAUGAUGAAACAAGCCAAAAUACAAUAUUUCUAAACACUUCAUAUUUUUUCCAUGCUUGGGUCUGAACCUGCAACUGCACAUUAGUUCACAAAUCUUAAUAACACAGCACUAGGAAAGGUGAAGUACACAUGCUGGAGAGCAGAAUGCAGAGUAUAAUUUAAUACCAUGCGAAACCUAUAGGUAAGUAGUUUUUAUUAAAAACACUUUUUUUUGUCCCACUAGGACUCAAACCUGAAAUCCCCCACUCCAACCCCUUACCACUUGAGCCAGACCUCAAGGGCUGAUAGGCAACCAAAAUAAUCACUCUUGAAAAGAAAAUGUAUAUGACAAAACAUUUCAAUCCAAGGUUCCUCCCAAUCAGAUUUUAUUUAGUACAGUGAUAUUGAUAUCUAAAGCAAAAGCAUUGAAUCAAUUGGAUUAUCAGUUAUAUUGCAAGAGCUAAGAGUACAAUAGAAGGAUCAUUCAAAUCUUGUUUCCAGGGCAUGCUACCUAGGAUUAUAGCAGGAUGUUGAGAAAGCUAUAGUUUAGUUUCUGAUGCCCAUAUUUUAGGCAUAAAACAAUUCUCAAGCUGUAACACAGACAGAACCUCACAACUUCAAGGUGGGGGAGUAAUGGGUACAGUGGGCCUCAAGGUUGUCCAUCUGGAUCAGGAAAUUUCCCCUGUGCCUCAGCCCCAGGUAAGCAUUUUCUUUUGCUAGAUGGUACCAAUAAUACACCAACAACAACCUACAUGUACCAAAUAAAAUGAUAAUAUGUACCUCAAACCACCAUCAAUAUGCAUUCCUUCAGAACACAGACAAUAAAUAAGGAUUUCAUUGAUUAUCCUGUAUUAUUUUUUAUAUACUCGAAAAUCCCAAGUUUUUAAGCUUCCUGUAGGUAAGAUGGACAUCUUUAAUAAUGACAUACAAUAGGCUACCACAAGAAUGGACAAGCUGCAAGCAACCUGGGCAAGUUAUGGGCUAUGAUGGAGAGACAGAAUGGUUUCAUUGAAUUAACCAGCCAAGGUGACUGUUAACUUGAAUCUAGUUCUUGUCAACCUCUUCCCAGUACAGGCCUUCCCAUUCUUCCAAGGGAUAGCAUAGGAUCAAAUAAAUAAUUUUUCCUAUAAUAAAUAAAUAAACAGUAAUAUAAAUUACUUACUGAAUAUAGACAGAAUAAAAAAUCAAAACUUAUACAAAUAAACAACACAAAAGAGUGACUUCUUGACUUUUAAAACUACCAUGCCUCAGAGUUUCAUCCAAAACUGAUAUGCACCCACUGAGACACUGAGACACUGAGACACUGAGACAUAUAGGUCUUGGUAAGGGAUGAUUCAAUACAACCAAACAGUAUAUGGAUCCUUUAAAAUUCUAAAGGUUCUUCCAAAACCAAUAUUGACCAACAACAGCUUAUACGUACCUGCAAUAUGAGGUUGUGCCAUCUAGAUACAAUAGCUCUGAGCCUGGAAUUAAACUAAAUUAAACUAAUGGUUUCAAAAAUUUUAAGGCAGCAACUUCUUCAUAGAUCAUUAGGUAUGGAAGUACAAUCGCUGGUAAUUUCUUGAAUUUUUUAAUUUUGAAAUAUUGUUUCUGAACAAUGUUUAAAUGGUUUCACAUGAUUUUUAACACGAAAUACCAUGGUCUAUUUAGAAGAAAAUCCCAUCCAUGGACUUGCAUUUCCCUAAAAAAAAUCCAAUUCUAUGAAUUUUUUCCUAAUUUCCAAAUUUUUGCCUUUUAAAAAAUAAAUUCAGCAAAAGUAUUAAAUGGGCAUGAUCUGAGAUGUGUAUAGUGAAGAAGACAUGGAACAGAUUCUAUAGGGCAUAUACUACCCAAUGUUAUUUUUCCAAAUUUUCUAAGGCCUAGAAACACCAUUGGACUUAUAGCCCUGAUUUUUUACCAUAUAAUUAUUUUCUAUUUUUCAGAAGCUUGUCUCCAAUAACAACUUGAAAACAAGAGUGAAACUAGUUCUUUGAACAGUGAAAAAUACACAUACCACUAUAAGUAUGAGGAAAGAGUACCUUUGAACACUUGCACACACAUAGUAUAAUCAUUAGAACAUAUCUAAUUACACUAAUAUAAGAUCAAAAGAAUCGGGGAAUGAUUCUCACCGCCAGAACACUGCCACUAUUCCUUCCAAUUCUAGUCACCAACUUUCCAUCACUCCAGGUACCUGCACCACCCUGCCAUGCAUAAGUCCUUAAUAAUGACUCAGAAGUUGAUAGAAAGAUAAGAAUCAGUACAAGCAGAAGGAAACCUUUUUAAUAUAUUAAGAUGAUUGAUGAUAAGUAACUAAGCAAUGACCUAAUUUAAACAAACAACUGUUUGGAAAUUAGUAAAGAUUCUUUGUUGUAAAGAAUAUUGUAUAAAAUAAUUUUCUAGGUUGAUAUAUCAUUGUAAUAUUAUAUUUCUUCAUAGAAUAAGGAAAGUUGUUAGAAAUAUCUCUAUAAAUAUUCUAGGUUAUGAGGGGAAAAAGUCAUGAAAUGGAGAUGGGCUUGUAGAGACUAUACGAGGUGGAUAGAGAUGUGAGGAAGAACAAGAGAUACCCGGUGGAGCGAAAGGGCUCAUGGUAGGGUAUGAAUAUAAGGAGUGGGGAAACAUGAGAUGUUUCAGGAACCCAAUAGUAGUAUCUAGUUCUAUCCUCUAUAAUAUUCUCCAUUGUAUAGUGGAAUAAUUCUCUCUCAUCCGUGGAAGGAGGCAUGGUUGGCCAAACCACAUUAAAAUCUUGUAUACCGUGUGUGUAAUUGUUUUAUCUUUGUGUUCUUGAUCUAACAUUGUUGGAAUCAAAACUUCCGUUGGCACAACAACAACUAGGAUGUAUUUCAGCAACAUUGUUAGACAUACACAUGCUUAUAAGCAAAAGCUGCAACUCAGAAAAAAAGUAAAUGGCAGUAUUCUAUAUGCAUGUCAAACUAUAUAAAUUCCCACACACUAGCAGUAUGCAAUUACUUUAACUUGCAAAGUUAUAUAAGCUUAAAAAGUACAAAAACUGCAAUGCUGCUUCAACAAAUUGCACCAAAAACUUUUUACCAACUGCUGGAAUGUGGAUAUUGAAUUAGAAAAAAGAAAAAACAGGCAGUAUAAGCGCUAAAGAAUGUAUGAGGCAUACACAAGCCAAAUAUUGCUCUUUACUUCAGCAUCUAAGUUAUAGUCAUCUAAUAACUACACAGGGAGGAGAUUUGUGUUGAUGUACAUAAAACAAUCAUGGUUGUGAAUUUGUACAAUGUUCCAACAAACCAUGUGUAGCAUGUUUUUAAUGAGCUUCAGCAAAAAGCAUUUCUGUGGCCAUGCUUGCACCAGGUACAAAUCUUUCAUCUGUGGUUCUGAAUGAUUGAUUUUUCCAAUCUCUUGUACAAUUUUUCAUAUCGUAUGCAUGAUAAGCAUAUUGCUGGAAAGGCAGUAACAAACAAAAUUUCCUUAGACCUGACUCUCAGUUCUAUAUAUGACUAUCAACAGUGGAAUUGAUAUGAGCUAGCACAAGUUCAGUAAAGAAGCUGGAGAGCUUCAGUUGAACUUAUUAGAAAUGAUUCUACUAAUAAAAAAUAUCCAUCCCAAUAACACCCUUCUAAAAAUAGAAACAGAGUAUAGAUAUACAUUAAUGGCACAAGAAAGUUUUAGUGCCUAGUGUCUCGCUCUAGAAGGGAAAAGAAUCUGUGUGUUCCUUUUCAGCUUGGUCCAAUUCAUUCUUGGAAUCAUAUCCCAACUUCAAAUGCCUAUUUGUUUUGCAAUGAAAUUGUCAAUUUUCAAAAAUAUUUAAUAAUUUAAUAUCAGAAAAGGAAAAUCAGCUAACAGAAUUCCAAAGAGAUCAUAUUGGAGAAGGACUAUCUCAAAAAGUAACACCCUAUAUUUUGAAUGGGAAGCACAAUAAAGUUGGUGUUUGGGUUCAUUGCUAUAUAAAGUAUAAACUAGGUGUUCAUUUUGAAUAAGAAGCACAAUAAACUUCAAGUUCUGGAUUUCUUUCUCUAUAGAGUAGUGGUUCAGCUAACAUCCUCUAGUGUUUUCACUUUCAAUAUAGCAGCUAUUUUCAUUACUUUAUCAAACCACUUCAUCCAAAGGAGAAACUUAGCUGCAUCCAAAUCAGAUAAACUAAAGGGUUUUAAAUCAUUUAAAAAGUGUGGCCUGAAACAUAAGCUGGUAAAGAAUUGAAGUGGUCUAUUGUCCCAAACAUUGCCCAAAAGCAUAAACCAUAGCCCUUCACUUUCAGCUUUAGAAGUAUAUAGACUAAUUAGGGUGAAACAAACAAACCAAACAAACAAGCAUUGUUAUAAAAGGAAUGUAAUUUAAAACAAAUAGCUGUUAGGUUAAGUGAGAAAAAUUCCAAACUGUACAAGGACCAAAACAACACUAAGACAACAUUCAAAAUAUAAAGUGAAUCAACAUCUUACCUCCCCAAAGCAAAAAUUGCUUUCCAAUUGUAAAAUCCGACGAACCAUCAAGGCACCAAUAUCACGCCCCCUUUGCUCAACUGCUUGACCUCUUUCUAUUAUAGUAACAUCUACACCGAGUUCUGCAAGAACAAGACAAGCAAACAAGCCCGAUGGUCCACUACCCACAACAGCAACUUUUGGCCUUCUAGAUCCUGGGAAGUCAUCUGAUCCCUCCUUGUAAAUGCUCUCUCCUUUUAUUGACUCUGCACUUUUAUUGAUCUUGUAAUCACGUGUUAUACUGACCAAAUCACCGGAAGAACCACGCAUAUGCUCUAUGUGCUCUAUGAGCCCAACUUUAGGCUCCAAACGAGAAAUGAAGUCCCAUGUACGAGGCUCUAGAGUCAGGAGCUUAUGGACAUCCAUUUCAACCGUAUAAACAAAUUUGGGCUCCUUCAGCACCUGCAGACAUCAGGAGAGCACCCAAAUGACCACAGAGAUAUGUUAUGAUUUUCAUCUUUCAAUGGAUAAAACAAAAUACAACAUGAAUGGAAUCAAGCAGAUAGGAUAAGGAAAGAAAAUACCGAAAGAGAUAGCAUGGAUUACUUUAAUAGACUGAAUUUUGAUUUUAGAGAGAUCAAUUGUCCAACACUAGAAGAAUGAGAAAGGAAGAGAAAUUGGAGAAAAAACAAGAAAUCAAAUAGGAUCUUGGGAGAUUUUGGAUGGAACUUCUAUACAGAAGUCCUUUAUAUUUGGAUAGGGAGACAGAGAAAGAGAGAGAGAUAGAAAGAGAGAGAGAGAGCAUGUAUUUCUCCUAAAUGCAUAUAGUUUCUAACCAACAAGUUUUUUUACCCAUUCAAGAGUGUUCAAGGGCUUCUUUCCUGCUUUGUUGAUAAAUAGUGGCACUGGAGUCUCAUAUUACAUAAUAGUCCUGCCAUGCAUGAUUGUUAUGUCAAUUUGUCCAAGUUCUUUGUUUUCAAUAAUCACCUUUCAAUGAGGAGCAAUAUAAACUUUUGAAAUAAUAUGGACCCCAAUUCUCUGUUUCACUAGCAUUGCAAUUUGCAAGUUAACAAAUUCAAUGAACAAUGUGCUUUCAUGUUGAACUUAACUAACAGUGCAACAUCCGUAGACUCUGAUUUUUGGUUUCUCACGAUCUGGUAGCAUACUUAAAACACUUUUUUGUGGUAUAUUUUCUGUUAUAAAAUCUUCCUUGUUUGGUAAUACCACUCUAUUAAACCUAUUUUUCUACACACAUCAACGGACCAGCCUUUAGAACCUUGAGUUCCUAUAGAACAUAUUAACUAUACUUUUCAUUAAAUAUGCCUGCAAUAAAAUUCAAAAAUAUAUUAAAAAAAAAAUUUCAUUUUUUCCAACAAAUUUCAAUAGAAAUGACAUACUAUCCCAUUUUGCUUUGUUACUUGAUUUCAUCUAGCAGGAUCAAAUACAAAGCAACAUAACAACUCACCAAUAGAAGGACAUGGCAUGCCAUAAAGGAACAAUUUUGGAGUACCAAAAAAUAGGAGAAGUCACAAUAGAUAGAUAAGUACAUCAUAAAUAUUUACACAACAAAUCAAGAGACAGGUCACAGGCGGUUUAUUUUGCAACUGCAUUAGCAAAGCCCAAUAAAUCUGAAGUUAAGUAUGAAUGGAUAAGAGUGCGUUCGGCAGUGUUUCUACUCAAAGUGCUUUUAGUGGAAAUGUUUUAUCCGAAAGUGCUUUUAGGAGAAUCACCUAUCAAGUGUUUAUCCAAAAAAUGCUAAAAGUGAUUUUCCAAAAAUAUAAGUGAUUUUUCAGGUUUUUAAAAGUAUCUAUUCAAUUUUGCCAAAUACCUUCUUUCUUUUUUUUUCAAAAAUGCUUUUUAAACUAAAAACACUUCAUAGAAUCACUGCCAAACGGAUUCUAAUACUCGCUUGUAAUACAUAACACAAUACAUAUAGAACAUAAAAGGAAUCAAUAUGUUAUUUUCAGAAACAAACCUUCCUUGCAUCAAAAGACUUCCUUACAACCAAGAAUGCCUCUGGGGGAAGCAUAGAAGCAACCUAGCACAAUAAAUAUAAAAUGGUAACUUAGUAUACCACCCAUCCAUAUAACAAUCUAGAAUUAAAAAAAUCAAAGAUAUAACAAAUUGAACUAAACCAAGAAAUGAAGUGAGCCACAGGAAAAGCAUCCAAGCACAAACUACAGUUCCACACAAACUGCCAUAAAGAUGAAAGAAUUGGCUUCACAGCAAUGAAAAUGAAGGGAAAUAAAAGAAGAUGAAAUUUCGAAUAUUAUCUUUCUCAUUUCCUGCCACUAAGGUGGAAAACUAAAAAACCCCAACUCAAAAGCCCACUGCAACCAUACGUUUUAGUCAAUCCAAAUACCAAACCAGCAUAAAGAAAAUUUCUUUUCUCUCCUUUCAUUUCUUCAGUUUUAUCUCAGCGUCCAAACAGAGGAAGUCCAAAGGGUUGGGCAGUUCCUUCAAGCAAAAAAUCAAAUACACCACUAACGUUUCUUUUGAUGGAUGUUUAUAAGCAACCCAUAAAAAUACACACAAAAAAAAAACCUGUUUGAUUUUUCUCACAUUUCCAGCAACCACACCAAAAGCAAAAAAAAAAAAAAUACACAAUUCAAAAAAGGAAAAAAAAAAAAAAAAACUUGGUUUCUUUUCUUUUCCUCAAAUUUCUUAGUACCCAAACAGCUCAUUACCGGGAAUUUGAGAACUUUGGCAAUUUCUUGGAGCAAGCCCUCAGAAACGUCAAGAAAAUCCUUUCCGGGGUCCAAGUGAAGUGGAACACCAAGCUUGGAAAGCCUCCAAAUGCCUUGAAAUUUGUCAUUGACAUGAGUGAGGGCUUUGUGUUUCAGCUUGAGCUUCUUCUUCUCGGAUGGGUACCUCUGCUUUCCAGUUCUCUUAGCACACUGGAUUUGGAGGGUUUUGGGCUGACAAUAUAAGGGUCUUUUAGGGUUUAGGAAUCUGAAUUUUGGGUUAGUAUUAGGGUUCGGAGGGCAGUAGGGGAGAGGAAGGAGCUUGGAGGGAAUGGACAUGGUGGGAACUGUCGACGAGGAGGGGAUAAUGUUUUUGAAUUUUGGAGAGAAUUUUUCAGGUAUUUUAAGCAUAAUUAUUUAAGUUUAUAGAAUUAUAUUUUGAUUUAUUAAAUUAUGUAAAUAAAUCCAACAAAAAAAAAAAAACUUCUAGAAAAUCCACUUUGUUCUAUUGCUAAAAAUGUCUAAAUUAAAUUUUAUGUCCAUUAGUAGUGGAUUUGCCGUAUAUGUUUCUAAAAUUUUGUUUAUUUUUAAAAAAUAGUUAAUAUUAAUUAAGUUUUUUUAAUUUAAAAUAAAAAAAGUUUUAAAUUAAUUUUUAUAAAUUUUAAAAUUUUUUAAAAUUAAUAUAUUUCUAAGGAAUAUUUGCUAUCGAGGAACGAGAAAUGAGAAAUAUGAAUAUACAUCUCAUUUCUCCACACUCUCACUUUCAUGUUUAAAUAAAUUAUAUGAAGACAUAAAUAUAAUAAAAAACUAUUUUGAUAGUAAAAAUUAAGAGUCUUAUUUGAUAAUGAUUAUAAGAAGUGUUUCUAUCCCUUUUAAUACUUAAAAGUUAAAAAAUUUAAAAUGUUAAAAAAAUUAUAAUCGUUUUUUAAAAUUGUUAUUAAAUAGACUCUAAAUUUUAUUUAUAAAUCGUAUUUGAAUUUAUUAAAUAAUAAUUUAUCAAAUAAGUAAUGUAAGGAAUGAACUUUAAAAAAAAAAGUAUACAUUAUAUAUUUAAAAAAAUCAUAAUAUUUAACUAAAAAUUAUAAAAGAAAAAUAUUAAUAUUUUAAUAAGCAUAUACAUUUUAUUUAUGUCUUAAAUAAUAUUACCCUAUUUUAAAUAAUCAUAGUAAUAAACAUUCAAACAAAUAAAUGUUGGCAAAAAAAAUUAUUUAAAUAUCUUAUUUAAAAUUUUUUACAUUAUAUAUAAAUGAACAAUUAACAAGCAUGAUCCUUAAAAUAAAUUUAUAUUAUAAGUAAAAAUGAUUUUUGAUAAAUCAAUUUAAUAAUUUAAGUAAUAAUAAUUAACAACAUAAAAUAUUGAAAAGUAACGUAUAAUGUUGAUACUUUCUUGUAAAAAUAAAAUAAAAUAAUCCUGAAAAAAAAAAAAAGAAGUGCCAAAAUCUGGAUUUUUGUGUAAUUUAGCCACGUUCAGCCACUAAGUUGUAAGUUGUAAGUUGUAACAAAGUUACAAAACCCUAAAUUUGUAUGAGCGGCGCCCAAAAUUUUUUUGGACCGUUAGAUUUCGAUCUCACGGCGCAGAUUAAAAGCCCUAACUAUAAAUAAUGAUCGUCCCCCUGUGCUCUUCAUUCAUCGAGCCCGUUCUGUAGGUUUUGCCAUAGAGGGCUCCUCUCUCUAUGGGUUAGGGUUAGGAUUGGGUUUCAGAAGUCCUCGACGAUAGGUCUGGGUUCAGAUUCGUUCUGAUUUGUAGUUCUGCAUGCGACGGGGGAGUUGAGAGACUCCUUCACAUAAACGGAGCAAACCAGUGGCAGUGUUUGCAAAUUCCAAUGUGAACGUCGCAGAAAAAAGGAUCGUUGGCGUAGAGGUUCGAGAGUUCCUCCGCCGGUGAGAGUGUCUCAUAUUCCAUCGCCUUGUGGAGCAGCGUUGCUGCAGUUACCUCUUGGGACUGGCCAUGAGACAUACAUUUCUUUUGCUUUUCUUCUUUUUCUUUAAUUUUGAUUGGGUUGAUGCCUGUGAUGAAAUCAGUUAUCAAAACACCAUCUUUCGGGACUGAAUGGCUCUUCAAAAGCCUUGCUGAUAUUCUGCAAUUCUGAGGCUACUUCGUUUUAAAAUCAUACCUUUUUUUUUCAUUUUCCAAUAUGAAUUUUCUUCUAUUUAUCAGAUUUUAUAAUAGGGUUUCAUCCUCUGAUAUUAAUCUAAAAUUUGUAUACUAAGUUACUAACUAUAACAAACUCUAAUGAAAAACAACAAGAAACAACGCCAAAAGUGUCCAAAAAAAGAACCAAAAACAUCAUAGAAAUUUAAAUGAAAUUAUAAUAAACCAAAAAAAAAAAAUAGAAAGCCCUAACAAAAAAACAACCCCGAAAAAACCCCUAGUAGUAAAUAGUAAUUACUAUAAACCCUAACAAAAAAUAAAUGCAAAAAAUCAUAACUAAAAUAGAAUCAAUAUAUUGCUUUUUUUUUUUUAUUAUUUUAAAAAAAUCAAAGUGAUUUUUGUUUGUUUAUUUAAUUUUAAAUAUAAUUUAAAACUAAAUAAUAUUUAAUACUAUUAAGUUUUUUAUUUUUAUAAUAUUUUUAUUUAUAUUAAAUAAAAAAAUCAAUAUAUUAUUUUUUUAUUUAAAAAUUAAAACAUUUAAUUUUUUUUAUUUAAUAAAAUUUUUAUAAUAAAUACAUUCGAUAAAAGGUUAAAAAACAAACACAUAAAAAAAAAAUUAUAAUAAAUGAUAAAAAAAUGUAUUUAUAAUAAAUCAUAAAUAUUUAUACAAUGCUAAGUUUCAAUUCAAAUUAGGCGUUCUUAUUCAAAUUAAAUUAAUAUUUUUAUCCACAUCUAAUAAAAAUAUAUUUAACAAUACUUCCUUAAUAUAUCAUAUGAGAUUUGGAAUCAUAAUUUUUUAGAAGUUUAGUUUUUUAUUAUUAUUAUAAUUAGGUUUUCAUAAUUGUUCCUACAUAUAUUCCAAAACAAUGGAAAGUUAUAUAUGGUAAAUUUUACCUAAUUACUUUUUUAUUGGUGUGGAAAAUUUGUUUUUAUGUUGAAAAUAUUGUUUUUUGAUUGCUCACAAAAAUGAUGAAAUUUUUUUAAAACCUAUAAUAAAUUAGAGUGAAUUUUGAUUUUCUUGAAACCUAAUUGGGUAUUUUCACCUUAUUCCGAUUAUAUAUAUAAUUAAAUUAAAAAUAAUUUUUUAAAAUUAACAUAUAAAAUAAAAAAUCACUGUGCAAUAGAAUAAGUUAUAAAAAAUUAUAAUAUUUUAUUUAUAAAAUAAAUUUAUUUUUAAUAUGAUUACUUCUCAUAGACAUGAAUUAAAGUAGAAAAUUUUCAAACCUACCAAGUCUUAAAUUUGAAUGACACUACUUUUGGGUGUGAUAUUGAUUAGAAACUCUACAAACUUCAACCACCGUUAUAAAAACCUCAUUUUUGGGAAGUAAUCUGAAAAGAGAAAAGGAAGGAGAAAUAGAUGGGAAGGGAAGGACUUGACCUUUUAAAAUUGGCUUUAUCCUCUCACUAAAAAGAUAAGCAAUUGACAUCAUCAUCAUCACAAUAAACUAUACAAAGGAAUCCAAUUCUCUGCUACAACCUGACCAAACUCUAAUAAUUUGCUUUGGUUCUACUCUCCUUUUCUGGUGUGUUGAGAUCAUCCAUGGCUUCUGAGCGGAAACCAGAGAUCUUUGAACUCAACAAUGGGACCAUGCAGGUCAAGAUCACCAACUAUGGUGCCACCAUCACUUCCUUGUCUGUACCAGACAAAGAUGGUAAUUUUUUUCAGUUCUCUUUUGAUUGGUUUCUCCUCUCAUUUUGCUCUCAGAUGUUUUGCUGAUGUUUGGGUUCUGGGAAUUUGAAGGAAACUUGGCUGAUGUUGUUCUUGGGUGCGAUUCUCUGGAACCAUAUCUGGUAAAUUCUUUUACUCACUUUUCAAGCGAAACCCAUUUGAUUUCUCUUAUGAUUUUGUGAUUCCUUGAGAAAAUUGAUUUUGGGUAUGCAUACUUUUUUUUUUAAUAUGGGUCUUAUGGGGGAAAGAAGCGAUCCAGUUGAUAUUCUGUUAGGAUUUCACUGCUAAAAAGCAAACCCAUUUGAUUUCUCUUCAUGUUUUUUAGAUUUCAUGAGAAAAUUGAAUCUGGGUGGAUUGAAUUUUCCUUUUUCAUGGAAAAGAAAAGUGACCCAGUUGAUAUUUUGUUGGAAUUUCACUGUUCUGGUGCAAUUUGGCUUGAUUUUAUCUGUCCUUUUGGGUUAUUUCUGUGUGAUCAGAAAGGUGAUGUGCCCUAUUUUGGGUGCAUUGUUGGUAGAGUUGCAAAUAGAAUCAAAGAUGGGAAGUUUACUCUCAAUGGGAUUGAAUACCAAUUGCCCAUCAACAAGCCCCCAAACAGUCUCCACGGUAUGGAAUUUGUCUGUUCUCUUAUAUUCUAAUGAUUUUCUCAAUUGCCUUAGGGUUUUGUUUGGAUCUCAGGAAAAUUGAGGAAAGGAAAGGGAAAUACUGAAAACAUCUGAACAAAGGACUUUUCAUUUUUGCAAUGUUCAACAUUUUCAUCAUCAUGGUCUCUCCUAAUAUCCAAAUCUUAGAAUUCCAUGGACUUUGUACAGUUGUUGUGUUGUAAUUCAUGGUCUUGCUUUUGAUGUUUCUGCGUAAAAAUUUUUGGGUCUUUUGAAGCUUAAUCAGUACUGUUAGAUCUAUUUGAAAACUUGAAAGUUGCCCUCUAGCACCUUUGCAGGUAUUUUACCAAUCAGCCUUUUGGUAAUGGAAACCGAAAUACAAAAUAAUUUCUGAUAAAAUUAUUGCACACUGAACCAUUUGAGCUGGUGAUGUUAAAUGGUUUUGUGGCCUUGGUUGUUUGUAUGGAAUUUUCUCCUUAUAAACUGUUUUUUUUUUUUUCAUUUUUCCCCUUCAUUGGGUGUGUUUUUGAUAGUUAAUAACUUGAAUGAACUUAUCUCAAACAAAGCCUUAUCAUAAGUAUUUGGGUUUAAAUAUGUUUUCUGUCAUUCCGGUUUUGAUUAUCAAAUUACAAAUUCAUAGAUCAGUUUUGUAAACAAAUUUCCCCCAGUUUGGUUGAUGAGAAAAUGAAGGAAAACAAAAGGUUUUUUUUGGUCCGAUUUUUUACCAUUUUUUUAUAGUGUUGAGCAAUAAUUGAAAAGAUGGAAAAUACUUUGAAAACUUUUGCGUUAUACAAAGUGUACAAUACCUUCACAAAGACUAACCCGGGAAAAAUGUUUUUCAUAUUUGAGUUCCCAAGUAGAAUUCUGUUCCUAAAAACAAUUGAAAGCUUGCAACUUUUUUUUGAAAACAUAGUUAUGAAGGCCUUAGGUCUGCUUGUUCAAAAUGGGAAGUAUGAUGCUCAUAGUUGAGAAUUUCAUGACCUGAAUGUAGUUAUAUGUAGAAUGAAUUCUUAUGCAGAAGUUAUAUAUUUUCUUGUCUUUAGGUGGGCACAAGGGCUUUAGCAAGAAGGUCUGGGAGGUGGCUGAAAGGAAAGAAGGCAAAACCCCAUCCAUCACUUUCAAGUACCAUAGUCACGACGGGGAAGAAGGUUCUCUCUCCCUCGAUCUCUUCCCCCCACUCUCUCUCUCUCUCUCUCUCUCUCCCCCUCUCUUUUAAUUCUUCUGUUACUGUUCUAACAGGUUACCCAGGAGAUGUUUCCGUAACUGCAACUUACACUCUUACUUCGAGCACAACAAUGAGGCUUGACAUGGAAGCUGUGCCUGAGAACAAGCCCACUCCAAUCAACUUAGCUCAACACACAUACUGGAACUUAGCAGGCCACAGCUCCGGCAACAUACUUGACCACUCCAUUCAGAUAUGGGGAUCUCAUAUCACUCCUGUGGAUCAGAACACAGUCCCAACCGGUGAAAUCACGCCAGUGAAAGCCACCCCAUUUGAUUUCACGACUGAGAAGAAGAUUGGUACCUCAAUCCAUGAGGUUGGCCUAGGAUACGACCACAACUAUGCACUCGACUGCGGUGAGGAGAAAGAGGGCUUGAAACAUGCUGCAAAGGUGAAGGACCCAUCAAGCUCAAGGGUCCUGAACUUGUGGACAACUGCUCCAGGCAUGCAGUUCUACACUGCAAACUAUGUGAAUGGAGUUGCUGGAAAAGAUGGAGCUGUUUAUGGAAAGCAUUCAGGGCUCUGCUUGGAGACACAGGGAUACCCAAACGCCAUUAACCAGCCAAACUUCCCGUCCAUCGUCGUCCAGCCAGGGGAGAAGUAUCAACACACCAUGUUGUUUGAGUUCUCCGUUGAGUGAAGGAGCAGAUAUAUUUGAGAAAAGUCUGCUCUGUGUUUGGUUUUCAAUGGCUGUGAGACCAUGGAAUCUGAAUAACAAUAAGCUUAAAUAAUGAAAUGAUGAGAAAUGAGUUUGGUAACACUCUUUUGGUAUCAAUUCUAUCAAAAAUACUUUUUAAAGGAAAUUGGUUCUAUUUGAAUAUAUAGAAGAAAAAUACAAUAGUAAUCUUUACAUUAAAUAUCAGUCUCUAAUUUAAAUAAAAGAAAUAGCUCUAUGAAUAUGAUGUUUUUCACUCUGAAUAUGCUGCUCACGAGAUUCAAAAUUUAGAUCCCAAAACUCGAUAAAUGUACUUAACAAAACUAAAAGCAUAAACAAUCAGCAGUGAUUAUUCCGCAGAUAUAUCAUCAAAGGGUAUCUUAACAAUUCAAAAUGAAAAAAAAAAAAAAUCAUGCAUAGUUUUCUUCGUCUUGAUCAGAAGAUGCAGAUCAUCUCACUUUGUUCGAAUCAGUUCCAGUGGUAUAGUUUCCAUUGCCAGCUGAAAGUUGUAAAGAAAAUUUUUUAGAAAUGAGAAAUAGCUGCCAUUUCUUCGUGAAUUGCUGAAACUAUACUUACCCAGAGUCUGGGAGUUUUGGGAUCGGAUUUUGGAUGCAGUUUCACCAGUUCUGACUCGAAGGUAAUGACGAUGGAGAUUUUGAACUCAAUUGAAAAUGGACUGCACACAGAACUUAAUGAGCUAGUUUAUAGAUUUAUAAUUGUAGUUGUGGUGUCUAAAUGAACCAGAAUGAAGAAGCGGAGAAACCGAACAUAUCAGCUGAAGUCAGAGCAUUCCAAUGAGCAGUCAUAGAAUUAGAACUCAAAAGGCACAAUUGUUCAUAAUUACUACUCAACUCGUGGAAUCAAUUUUGGGAGGUCAAGGAAUCAAGAAAAUAACACACUUCUUUAAGCAGAAGAAGGAAGUGUGAAAUCAAACGUUUAUCAACUUGCAAAGAAUACAGAGUUAUAAUGCCUUGGGCAGUGAUGUUCCAUUUUGAGGGACAAAGAGGCUAACAUGAGCCAGGUAAAUGUAUUCAAGAAGUAAUAAUAAAACAGCAAAAUUUAAUCCCAAUUGGUAGGUUUGUUGAAUAUUUACACCUUUCAACUAUCCAAAAUAAAAAUCAAUGCCAUGGAAAAACAUUCUAUAACUUAAUUAAGGAUAGAAAAAGGAAAUUGAAAUGGAAUUAUGGAACAAUCAUGCAUCAGGGACUCACCCAGCUAAGACUGUCGGACAAGUCAAAAGACGAGGAAGAAUAACAUAGAUUGGAAUGGUCACUCUACGACACACAUCUCCAUCUGCUAUCUAGUAAAUGGGAGGAAGGAAUUAAAAAAAGUUGAAUAAAAUGAAAGUGAGGUUAAUAUAACUCGAUAAGUUGGGAAAUGCUACAUGCCUGCGUUGUCUGAAUCAAAGAGCUUUCAGUUACAAUCUUCUCUCCAACAAGAAUUGACUCUACACGGUGCAGUUGAAGAUCAAUGGAAUGAAUGGGAACUGCAGAUGCUUCUACUAUUAGCUCACCGCUGAUAGGAUCUAACAAAGAACACUGAGAGGACACUUUUCCAGUCACUCGAAAUCCACCUAGUCAACAAUAUCUACCAUCAGCAGGUGAUGAUGGCAUUACCAUGUUUUGAUUAAUAAAGAACUCUAAAUGUAUUGAGCCUAAGUACCCAAUAAUGUAACUCAUGCUCAUUGCAUGUGUUUGAGAUAAAUGGUCACUUAAAAGAUCCAACAACCCAUGGAAAGUAAAAUAUGUCUAUUUGAGAUUUGAAUUAAAGGACAUUAGGGCAACAGGAUGAAUAAGUGAGAACCUGAUCUUAACUCAGGAAGCAGUGGAUGUCUUUGUGUGUCCUGAGUGAUGUAGAAGAUAACCAUUUCAGGAGGAACUGGUGGCUCAAAAAGAUUAGCUGAAAGCAGAACAGCAGCAGAAAGAUGGAGACUUUUCCAAUUCAGUCACAGAAGAAAUUAUAAAGAAAUAGCACAAUGGGAUCAUACCUUUAUCACUGUCAAUUAUAAACUCCAUUGUAGCAGAUAAUGAUUUAUAUAGGUAUCCUCUCAUUACAUCUACAGUUACCAGAUACUGCCACAGUAUUCAUAAAUCAUGAGAAACCAAAUAGAUACAAUAACCUCAGCAGAAAGCAAAAGCUGUGAAGAUCUGCACCUUUCUGAAAAAGACAAACCCUUACCUGGAUGCUGAUAUUUGCCCCAUGGAAGGUUUCAUAAAAUCUAUCAUCUCCUUGCUGCCUCAGAAUUACAGAAAAUGGUAUCUGUCCCAGCAAGCAAAAAAUUACAUUAAAUUUGUAACCAAACUACAGAUAUUUCAAUUAGGAUAGACAAGUACUGAAAACUGAAAGCCAAACUGAGAACAACAACAAGCAUGGCAUCUACCAGAACUCUUGAAAGAAAACAAACAAACAAACAAAUAAAUAAGUAUAAAAGCAUACAACUAGAAAUAAUAAAAUAAAAUAAAAUAUAAAGUGCAUUAAAGAAGGGACUGAAUCUUCAAUGCUAACAUCUUGAAAAAAGAAAACAGACGAACAUCAGAUGAGAGGAGUUAGCCGAAAGGACAAGAAAGACAAAUUCCCACCAACCAUAAUGGGAGUGAGAAGAUUUGUGACAGGAAAUUGAGUUCUAAAGUUAGUAGACCCAAAAUACAGCAGAUUCAAAAGCCUUCAAUCUAUGAACAAAAGAGAUUUUAGUUUCAGUAGUGAUUUCACCAUCUAAAACCACAUCAGGUAUCAUAAGAUGGUUUUAAAACUAAAAGCAAUGUUAAACUAAUGCUGCUCUUCUAACAUACUACCUCAGUUGUACCUGAACCAAUCUUUCCGGCAGGUCUAAUCUCAACACUCUUGUUCCUGUUUCCAAGAGAAAAAAAUCAGGAAAGGAGGAAAUAAUAUGGAAAAUGAGUAAAGAUUAAGUUAUUUGUACAGCUAUCCUUACAAGCCAAGAAUUCAAAAUGAAAAAAAAAAAAAAGCAAAUGAGGAUAAUUACUAAUUUCACCUCAUAUUACAAUGGAGAAAUUGUAAUAUCUGUGCAUUUAAGACAAGGAUGUGAUGUAUGAAAAUACAUAAAGAUAUUGUAACUGAAAGUAGUGAGACAUGGCUUAUAACUGAUGAUGUUUAUAACCUUGAAUCCUUUUAUAAUAAAUUAUAUCCGUAUCUCAAAAGAUAGAAGACAAAUGUAAUAUUAUAUAUAUGUAUGUAUAUUGAAGAAUGAGAAGUAAUUCAGAAAAGAAAAUGUACAGUGAGUACAUAAAAGAGAGACAAAACUCCUUUGCAAAAAAUCCCUAGGCUCGUAACUAGAGAAGAGGAUCCUCUCUUUGCAACCCUGUCAGCUUCCUAAUUUGCCAAUAUAGAUUUCCAAGAGAAGUAGCAAUCAAACACCCUAAUGGGGCCCACAAUCCUUGCACCUAAGUUAUAUCUUGGCUUAACAACCAAACAAGUGGUCCCUUUUAGUGCACCUUGGGCUAGAGCAACAAGGUGGUUGCUAGGGGAACACCUCAUACCAAAAGUUAGCCAAGUGUUUGCUGGAUGGCUUCUAAUAUUCCCCCAUUUUAAGUUUUUCCAGUCCUUAAGUUGUGCAAUUCUAGCACAGGAAAAUCCUACCCUAAUAAAUGUGAUGGAAUGAACCAGAUGAGAACAAAGGCAUAACUUCCUUACAUAAUUAAGCUAGCCCCCAAAUUAAAGGGAUUAGGCUUGAUCCAAUUCUGAGAAAUCAGGGCCUAGUCAGGAUCUUAUAUCCCACAAUUCCCACCAGUUAAGCUAGCUCUAAACAUAAGGAGCCACACAACAAAAGUAUGCACAAUAACCACCAAUAAAGUCUAAGAAAAAUUCCCAUCAGUUUCUAUGGCUGACACCGAAUCAAUAUCAUUUGCAGGUGGAAUUUCCAGCUCAUUUGCACCAAAUCCAGCUCCACCUGGGGAGAGCCCUAAGAGGACAAUUUCAAGUUCUAUAUACAACACUAAAUGACUCAUUUGCUCCUAAAUAUCAUUAUAUCCAAUUUGCUAAUCGGGCAAAAGAAUGAUGUAUCACUAAAUGAGCAACAAAUUUGUAAUCCUUUUGCACUCCAAAAGUUGGUAAGAUUCUUCCCAUGAGAUAGACAAGAGUUACUCUUUUAUCACUUUAGCACCUUCUUCUUUCUUUUUCUUUUUUUUUUUUAUAUUUUUUUGCUCGAAUUAAUAAGACAGCCAAAUCAUCAGAGACAUCCUCUCUAUAAUUCAAAUUUAUUUUAUUGCUUAAAACAAGAUAAUUGUCACUUAACAAUAAGAAAUAACUUUGGAGAUUGCAGUUUUUUAUCAUGUGUAUCAGCUUACUGUAUUGAGUCUACUCAGACACAAACACACAUGCACACAUAUUUUAUGUAAUUUUAUAAAAUGGAGGCAGGUGACUAUAAGUUAAGGAUAUGGAGACUCCAUUGGGAAGAACCACUACCAAUUGUUGUACAUGCAGGAUAUAAGCAUGGUAGCUUUGCUGAUAAAAUAAUGUACUUUGAAAAGAUGGACUUUCUUUGAGAUGCCAUUCUCCAAGAAGUAAGCUAGACUCACUAACUUCUUCAACCCAUCUUAUUAUGUAAAUCCAUCGAGAUUACAGAUUAAAUCUUAUAAUCUCCACAAUAAUCAGCUCACUGUCGGAAUUAAAAUUUCCUGAUUUUUUUUUUCUAUGGAAACAAAUGGAGUGUGAGGCUUAGAAGAAACACUUAGAAACUACAUAAAAAUCAUGCUCUAUUAGCCUGUGGAGUAAAAGUAAAAAAAUAAAAUAAAAAAAAGUGCUUUAAUUAAAUUGUUGAUUGAUAUUUCCAGCUGUUUUGUUUCACAGCAAGUGAAAAACUUAACUAGCUAUACCAAAUCAUUAUAUUAAGCAUUUGGUGGGCAUUUUCAUUAUCUGGGGGGCUCCAAAUGAUGAUAAUUUUAUGGUGAAAAAUUUAGUUUCUUAAAUUUUCACACAUUUUCUCAGUCAUUAGUCCAAUGAAGCAAUUAGUGAACUGGGAUUUUUGACAUUUCUCGGCCAUUACUGUCCACCAUCUUCUCCAACUACUUAAUCAAAUACACUCUUUUGGUUUUUUUUCCCUAAUUCCACAUUAACUGAAAUCAUAUUUCAAAUACAUAAUGCAAUAAAUUGGAACAGAACCAUCAGAGACAGAUCGUUACACAAUGCGUAUAGGCUUGACAGCACCAUACAAGGCCUCAAUUGCUCCUGCUGAGCCUCCCCGAACCUAUCAGCAACAACAAAACAAUUUCAGAAUAGAUUAUCGUAAUGGUCAGGAAGAUUUCUCAAACAUAAGCAGAGUUCUUCUUUCAUUUCUGGUUUUCCCUAGGGUUUUUCGAGAAGCCAAACAGAGGAGUUAAUUGACACCUGUCGGUUGACGGAUCCAUCGAGAGUGAGGCGAAUCCCAUAGUGAGAAAUUGAAGAGGGUGACUUCAGGAUGAUUUUGCCUUCAAGAGGUUCCUGAAAUUCAACAUUUAGAGAAAAAUUUUAAAGAAAUCAAAAAGGAGAGAACAGGAGGGGAGAGCAUGUGAUUACGGCGGGAAAAUAGAUGCGGUUAGGUCGGAAAAGUUUGAUCUCUAUUGACAUUGCCCACGCCCCCUACUCCACAAAGGCGAGUUCAAGAGCCAAAACUAGAGCUAUUAGCCUAGAUUUGAUCUGCAAAAUCAGCUCUCUUCCAAACUAAAUUUGCGUUGUCCCUUGUCCAACGUGGUAUGAGUCGUAUGACAAAGGUUUAUUUGAAAAAUUAAAAUGUUUUUAGUUUUUUUUUUUUUAUGUUUUAAGAUAUUUUUUAAAAAUAACUUUAUUUGUAAUGUUUUAUUUUAAUCCUUCCCCGUAAUUAUAUAUAUAGUUGAAAAACCUUCAUAAAAAAAUAAAAAUAAUUUAAAACAACUCAAAUAUGUUUUUAAAAGACACUCUAAUUUACAUUUUAAAAAAUAAUUUUUUUAUUUUUAUUUUCUAAUUAUCAAAUAUAUAUAUAUAUAUAUUUAUAUAUAUUUUACAAACAUAAAAAAUAAACUUCCCUUAAUUUUUAAUUUUUUAUUAUCAAACAUAACUUUUUGGACAACAAACAACAAAUUCAUUACAGAAUUUAAUUUCGUGUUUGGGUUUGGUAGCGGGUUUUUAAAACAAUUUUUUGUUAUACAUAACAAAAAAAUAGUAGGUUUUACAAAAAAAAUAUAUAUAUAUAUAUUUUUAUUCUUAAAGUUAGAAAGAUGUUUUAUAUAAUAUGUUUUAGUUGUUUCUAUAUAUAUAUAUAUAUAUAUAUAUAUAUAUAUAUAUAUAUAUAAUAUUGUUUUAAAAAAUAAUCAUUCAAAUAUAAAAAAUAAAAUAUUAUUUAUAAAAAUUAAUUUUAAUGUAUAUUAAAAAAUAUUAAAAAAAAAAGGUUAAAAACAUUUUAAUUUUUUAAAUAAUUUAUUGUUUUAAAAAUAUUCUCAAUAAUUAUUUUUUGUAAAUGUUUUUAUGUAUAAAAAAUAUUUUUAAUGCAUAUUAAAAAACAAAAAAAUAAUAGGUUAAGAAUAUUUUAAUUUUUCAAAUAGUUUAUUGCUUUAAAAACUAUUUUCAAAAAUGAUUUUUCAUAAAUAUUUUUAAAAACAUUUUCUAAAUAAUUAAUUUUCAAAAUUAUUUUUGAAAAUACUCUCUCAAUUAAGUUAUAAUCUCUCGAAAAUCUUCUAAAAACAAACUAGAGUCAUAGCCUCAAAAUAAACUGUUAGAAAAAUUAAGCUAAUCCAAUUUAUGAUAAUCACUCUAGAGAGGGGGUGAAUAGGGUGAUGGUUUUUUUUUUGUAAAUUUAAUGUAAGAGACAAAUAUAUGCAAAUAUAUAAUAAAACAAUAUAAAGACAAUUGCAUAUAAAGUAAAAGAGUAGAGAAGAGAUAAUGCAAAUACAAGAUUUUAUAGUGGUUCAGCGCAACCCAACCUACAUCUACUUUCCUCUAACUUCAAUCCCAAACUUGAAGUUCCACUAAUUUAAAGCUUCCAAACCAAGCCUUCAAGCAAAACAAUUGGAUUUUGGUUCCAAUCCACCCUUUUGGACUUUUGGCUCCAAGCACCCUUUACAAUCCUCAAAAGAUACCCCAUUCUUGAACAACCUCUCAAGUGAUACCUCACACUUGAGAAUUUUAAUCUCAAAGAUAUAUAAAUAAUUGAUCUCACAAAAUCCAAGUACAAAAACUUUAAGCUUAAAUAAUACAAGAAAACUAGGAUUGAAAUGUACACUAAUGAUAUGCAAGUUUUAGAACAAUGGUACAUUAAAAACACUCUUCUAAGGCUCAAAUAUAUUCAAGAAAGGUUUGAGAAGGUUGAGCUCUCAAACAAUGAAGAUUUAAAGCAUUUUUAUAAAGGAAAAAAAAUCCAAACUAGCCAUUGGGGGUUUGACCGGUCGAGUUGGGGGUUGACCGGUUGACUAACCAUUAACAUUUAAUGCUUGGUAGGUGAUUGUUGGACCUCGACCGAUCGAGGUGUGGGUCGAUCGGUUCCUCAUCUGGUUGAACAACCAUUAUGGAAGAGAGAUAAGGUUUUUUGCACCCCUUGACCGAUUGAGCUGGCGGUUGAUCGGUUAUUAUUCAGACCCUUGACCGGUUGAACUGGGGGUCGACUUGCUCUUAGACUGCUUGAGUUGGGGGUCGACCGGUUACUCAUUCGAUUCAACCGGUUGAACCGUUUUUGGCUCAACAACCAAUUUUUUCAACUUAAAAUCUUUUAAACAAGUUUGAAAAACAUUUGACACAAGGUUUUAGUUGAAAACAUGAAAUCAUCCAAUUUUAAAAUAUUUGAAACAAAAUAACUCUUGAAUGAUUUUGGUACAUAAUUAAAUAAUGUAUGUAUGAAAAUCCUAGUGCACCAAUAAUCUUACGAAGAGAUCUUAUGAAACUUGGGUCUUGAAAAACACUUCUCUUUGAGGUGGUCUUUUUCUUCAUGAUUUCUCCUUGACUUGAUUUGUUUUUGUGACUGCCAUUUUGAAAAUCUUCUUGCCUAAUCACACUUUAAAUAUAAUCAUUAAUUCUAAACUUUGUUUUGUUAUCAUCAAACCCGAGAUUAACCAAAUCUUAGUUUCACAAUCUCCCAUUUUUUUAUGAUGACAAAACCAAAGUUGCUAAAAAGCUACAUUUCGAUAUAUGCUCCUUUGAAUUUAGAAAAUAUUAAAGUUUAAAAACUUCAAAGAGUAUAUUAAGGAUGCUUAAAAAGAUAUAAUCAAACAUAUAUAGCAUAAAGAGCAAUUUAGCAAUUGGCAAAACAUUAUUAUUAAAUAUAAUGCAUGCAAUUAUAACCAAUAAAGCAUAUAACAUUAAUAUGAAUAGGAUUGCUAAAACAAUAUUGACAUUUCUUUCCAAGUUAGCAACCUACCAUUACUUCUCCCCUUUUUUAUCAUCAACAAAAAGUCUCAAUAAAGUAUAUAAGGAGAAUCACAUUUUAUCAAAAGUCUUGUUUUAAAAAGAAUAAAUAAUAAGUAUGAUAUGAUUUCUCAUAGAAAUGAAUCUCCCUCUUUUUCAUUUAAGAACAUUUUCUAAAUAAAUGAUUGCUCAUCCUUAGAGCAUUCCCAAUUUAAAGCAUAAUUUGGAAAAAAAAUUAUGGGAGAACAUAUGUAUUAAAUAUAUAUAUAUAUAUAUAUAUAUAUAUAUAUAUAUAUAUAUAUAUAUAUAUAUAUAUAUAUUCAUGCAUUGAAUAACACUAUUAGAACAUAUAAGCAUAUGAUCAUUCAAUUUUACCUAGGUGUAUAUUAAAAAAAUCUUAUUUUUAAUCCAAACAUUGGUUUAACAAAUAUGAUCAUUCAAGCUAUAUAUAUAUAUAUAUGUAUAUAUAUAUAUUCAUGCAUUGAAUAACACUAUUAGAACAUAUAAGCAUAUGAUCAUUCAAUUUCACUUAGGUGUAUAUUAAAAAAAUCUUAUUUUUAAUCCAAACAUUGGUUUAACAAAUAUGAUCAUUCAAGCAUGUGAUACCAAAUGUUAUAUUAUUAACAAAAAUUAUAUCAAGUGUUAGCAAAAUGAUAAAAUGAUAUUGCAAAUUAAGCUUUAGAAGGGAUACCAUUACCAAUAUUAUCAAUGCAUUUUUUCCAAGGUAAGCAUAUCCUUCUUCCUGUGAGGUUUAUGGAUUGCAAAGGUUUAUGAGACCAAAAUAAGACAAUAUUUGUAUGGGAGGGAAGAAGUUGUUUAUAAUAUAUAUUUUAAUAUAGAUAUUGGAAAUUUGAAGGAAGACCCAAGGAGUGGAAAAAGAUGGUUUGCUAUGGAGUCCAAAUCUUUUGAGCUUUUGAUUGACGACAUAGGAGAAAAGUUGGGAGGGUGCAUUUGGGAGAGAUGCAGAGGACGAACCUUCUGGAUCAGAUUUGGGGAUGCAAGCCUUAGUAGUUUGUUGACUGGAGUUGAGACUUGUUGUAGAGGAAAUGAUGAUAGAAGCUAGUCCCUCAUAUGGGAUGAAAAGUGAAGGAAGUACAGGCUGGAGCGCCGUUCAAACGAGGCGGGAAGAUUGCUCAUUUUCUCUGUUCGUGAUCUAGAGGCAAAACGUUUUUGCCUAAUUUUUCCAGAAGAGAAUGGGUUGAUUGGUGGAUGGAAUAUUUUGGCAGAGAAGUUGAGAGAGAUUGGGGUAGUUCCCACUAGAGGUUUAAAUGAUUCUCUAUCCAUUGAGAUGCUUAGGAAGGAAAAUGAGCUAAAACCAAGGACUUUUGCAGAUGUUGCAAAAUCGAAAACGGGUAGGUUAGGAGAUAAAGUAUAGUUGGAGUUAGGAAGGAGGGAGAUGCAUGGAAGACUGGAGUAGUUGGAUUGUUGUUUAGUGGGUAGAUGGGAAAAUGUUUCGACCCAUUUCCCUGAGUUGGAUUUUCUGAAGAAUUGGGCUUAUCACACUUGGCUCCUCAAAGGGAGGUUGAACAUAGUUGUGUUGGGAAGAUGACUCAUGUUUUUUGAGUUCGAGUUGUUAAGUGAGAUUGAAUGUGUUCUAGUAAGAGACAAGAGAAUGGUUAAAGACAACGUCUUAUUUUUGGAAAAAUGGUACUCGGAGGUGGGGUGCUUCUGUAAUGGAGCCAAUGCUAACGAAGCUUGGGUGAGAGUGGUGGGUCUUCAUCUUCACAUUUGGAGCCGCGAGGUGUUUAAAUUGAUAGGUGACGAUUGUGGAGGUUUCAUUGUUGUGAACAAAAAUACGAAUUCCAUGGCAAAGUUGCAAUGGCCCAGAAUUUUGGUGAAAGUGGUUGGUAGGGACUUAUCUACCUCUGUUUAAAUUGUAGUUGGGUCAAGGUGUUUCUCAGUCCAUCUAUGGUGGAAAACCCCACCUUGGUUUUCUUAGGUGGUGCCGGCGGGAAGUCUUCUUGGGAAGGGGGUUUCAAUAGACGAAGAUGAAGCAGGGGGAAAACCAUGUGCCGCGUGCAGUGGAAGCGUGUUGGAAAAUGAGUUUCAGUCCAAGGAGCAAACUGGAGUACAAGUUAUGUUUCCCUUUGGAAGUUUUUCAAAAAGUGCUACAGGCUUUUCCUCUGAUUCCUCUGCAGGGGGGUCUAGUCCUGAGACGAUUGAUGGAAAAGAAAGCUUAAGGAAUAGGGCUUGAAGAGGUUAAAAUUGGGCAUGUUCUUUGGGAGGCCCAUAAUAAAAGUGGGUUUGGGGAGGUUAGUCACGAGAUUGCUCAUGUGGAGGUCCCGCUGCAAGGGAUGGAAAGCAAGCCAAGGCCCAUCAUUUUAAAAGGUUGUUUGGUAGGUUGUGAAGAGAGGCCCUUCUUACUUAAGGGAUCUUUAGUGGGUUGCAAGGAGUUGUUUGGAAUGGCCUUUGGGCCUAGAGUAGUGGGAUUAAAAAGAGAUAAAGCUCUUUACCUUUUUGUGGUUGUUGAGAUGGAAGUUAGGACAUUAGAGGAGGCUUUGCGAGCUUAAGAUAGAGAGAAUAAGGGGCUCGUUUGCUUUCUCGGAAGGGCUACGAGGGAUUCAGAGUCUCUUACGGUAAAUGUUAAAGUGAAAAUCACUGAUAAAGCGUUGGUAGCCGAGGCAUCCAGGUACGAUUCCUUUCUCUCUGUCUUUGGGAGAGAUCAAGAUAUCUUCUCUUCUACUCCUUCCUCUGGGUAUGAUCGGGCUUUGGUGGUGGGGGAAUUUUCUGGCUUGGGAGAGGUGGACGUCAUUGAAGGAGUCGGUUUUCAGGCUCCGUUGAGUGCUGUUUUUACUGAUGGUAAUCCAUGGGUGAUGGAGACAAAAGGGGAAAAGUCUUUGGUUGAGAUCAAAGUAAGGGAAUAAGUUGAUAAGCUUGAGUUUGAUGAGGCACUAUAGGAAAUGGAGGUUCCUGGCAGUAGGUUGGAUGAUAGUUGUCUGGCAAAGUUCAGCAAAUCUUUGGGGUUUACAACAAAAAGUGUGGAAUGGGAAAUCCUAAAAUUGCUUAUAAGUUUGAAAAAUAGAAGAGUCCAAGGCAAGAAGAGGGGAACUUUAGGGACGACUAGGUUUGAACGAGAACUCGAGAAGUAAAAAAGUUAGAAUGUUCAAUUAAUUAUGAUGGAGUGAGCAGAAAGAAUGGUUCAGACAGAAAAAGAGUAGAUAGAGUUCUGUAUUUUAAAUGAAGAUUAAGAUAUUAUCUUGGAAUGUUCGAUGGGUCAAUGAUAGAAAUAAGAGGAAAAUAAUCAAAGCCUGAAUAAGUUCUCAAAAAGUGGAUUUGGUCCGUCUGCAGGAGACUAAAAUGACAGACAUGUCUUUAGGGAUGGUGUGAAGCCUAGGAGUGUAGAGCCUUGAAUGCUAGGGGUGCAGUUGGAGGGAUGGUAGUUUUUUGGGAUAACAGAGUGUUGGAGUUGGUAGGGAUGGAGGUGGUUCUUUUCUCCAUUUCCUAUCGAUUCAAUAAUUAUGAAGAUGGUUUCGUAUAGAUUUUUUCAGGAGUGUAUGGUCCUACUAUGAAAAGAUAUAGAUAAUUUUUUUGGGAAGAGUUAGGGGUCAUUCGUGGGCUUUGGAAUGACCCGUGGUGCAUUGAAGGAGAUUUUAAUAUUAUCAGAUUUCCAAAUGAAUGUAGAAGAUGAGGGAGGAUGUCUCCUUCAAUGAGAAGAUUCUCGGAGGUGAUCGAUGAUCUAGAUUUGAGGGAUCUCCCUUUUUAGGGGGGCCCGUUUACUUGGAGUGGUGGGUUGAACAACCAAGCCAUGUCAAUAUUGGACCGGUUUUUGGUGUCGGAGGAUUGAUAGGGCCAUUUCAAUGGGGUAGUGCAAUGUAUUCUUCCCAGGCCAGUGUCUGGUCACUUUCCCAUUCUAUUGGAUGGGAAAGGGGUGAGGAGGUGGUCAACUCCUUUUCGGUUCGAAAACAUGUGGUUGAAAGAUAAGGAUUUUAAGGAUCUACUAAAGGGGUGGUGGCAAGGUUUAAGUUUUAGCGGAUUCUUUAGCUUCAUCAUUGCAGAGAAAUUAGAGGCUUUGAAAGCUAUUUUAAAAUUUUGGAACAAGGAUGUUUUUGGGAAGGUAUGGGUGAAUAAGAGGUUGGCUUUGGACAAAGUGGCUUUCUGGGACUCUCAUGAGAAGUUGUGUUAUUUAUCAAUGAAUGAGCUGAAAACUAGAAAGGAAGCAAAAGAGGAUUAUAAGAAAUGAGCUCUUAUGGAGGAGAUUUCUUGGAAACAAAAAUCAAGAAAAGUGUGGUUGAGGGAGGGUGACAUAAAUACGAGCUUCUUUCAUAGGAUGACCAAUUCCCAUAGAAGGAUAAAUUGUUUGUCUAAGAUUAAAAUAAAUUGAAUCUGGUUAGGAGAAGAGUAAGAAAUUAAUGGGGGCGUGGUUAGUGCAUUCCAGAACUUUCUGGCAGAUCUUGGUGAUUGGCACCCACUUUUGGAUGGAUUAGACUUUGAUAGAAUUGACGUUGAGGAAGUAGAUAUAUUGGAUGAGGUUUUUAUAGAGGAAGAGGUUUUUUCCGCUCUCUCAGAUCUAAACGGGGAUAAGACUCUUAGUCUAGAUGACUUUUCUCUAAGUUUCUGGCAGUUCUGCUAGGAUUUUGUGAAAUAUAAGGUUAUGGGUUUUUUGAAAAAGUUCCCCGAGCAAAGUAGAUUUGCAAGGAGUUUGAAUUCUACUUUCCUAGUCUUAAUAAAAAAAAAACGGGCACGGAGGACCUUAGAGAUUUUAAACCAAUUAGUUUGGUGGGAAGCUUGUACAAACUGUUGGCAAAAGUGUUAGCUAAUAAGCUUAAGAAGGUAGUGGAAAACGUGGUAUCUUAAGCUCAAAAUGCUUUCGUUGAAGGAAGACAAAUUCUUGAUGAUGCCUUAAUUGCCAAUGAGGCAAUAGACUCUUUGUUGAAAUAGAAUAAGAGUGGGAUGUUGUGCAAGUUGGAUAUGGAGAAGACAUAUGAUCACUUAAACUAUAAUUUUUUUGUUGUUUGUGAUGCAAAGAAUGGGUUUUGGGGAGAAGUAGAUUGGUUGGAUUUCUUGGUGCAUUUCCACUGCAACGUUUUCUGUUUUGACCAAUGGUACUCCGACAAGAUUCUUCAACAGUUCAAGGGGGCCGCGUCAGGGGGAUCCACUUUAUCCCUACUUAUUUGUGAUCGACAUUGAGGCUCUUAGUAGGCUCAUCUUUAGAGCAGUGAGGGGAGAGAGGUAUCUUUCAGGCUGUAGGAUAAAUGGAAUAAGUGGAAAUGGGGUUUUGGUCUCUCAUUUGUUUUUCGCUGACGAUACUCUAGUAUUUUGUGAAGCUUCCCAAGAUCAGAUAACUUAUUUAAGCUAUUUGUUGAUGUGGUUUGAAGUCAUCUCAGGUUUGAGAAUCAAUUUGGAUAAGAGUGAAAUUUUGUCGAUAGGAAAAGUCGAAAAUCUGUAGGUUUAGCUCUUGAGUUUGGUUGUAAAGUGGGAAGACUUCCAACUUCUUACUUAGGCCUAUCUUUAGGUGUGCAUCACAAGUCUGUGGCUAUUUGGGAUGGGGUGGAAGUGAGAUUUCGGAAAAGACUUGCCAUGUGGAAAAGACAACUUAUCUCUAAAGGAGAGAGAAUCACUCUAAUUCGAAGCACAUUGUCAAGUAUGCCCAUAUAUUUGAUGUCUUUAUUGCGUAUUCCAAGAGUGGUUAGUUUAAGAUUGGAAAAAAUUCAAAGGGAUUUUUUGUGAGGAGGGGGAGCUUUGGAGAAGAAGUCUCAUAUAGUAAAGUAGGAUACUGUAUGUUUGGACAAAAGAAAAGGUGGUUUGGGAGUUAGACGUCUUUCUACUCUCAAUAGGGCCCUAUUAUGUAAGUGGAACUGACACUUUGCUAUUAAAAGGGAGACUUUUUGGAGGCAUGUCAUUAGUAAGAAGUUUGGGAAGGAAUAAGGGGGUUGGUAUACUAGGGAAGUAAGGGAGGGUUUUGGAGUAGGUUUUUGGAAGGAAAUAAGGAAGGAAGGGUCUCUUAUGCAAAACAAAGUUGUAUUUUUUGUGGGGGAUGGUAGAAAAGUGAAAUUUUGGAAAGAUAAAUGGUAUGGGAACUUCACUCUUUGUAAUUCUUUCCUCUCUUUGUAUGCUUUUGCGAUUUUUAAAGAGUCUUGGUUAGUGGAGUUGUGGGACUCUUCGGGAGAGGAUGGGGUUUGGAGCCUUAGGUUCUUUAAGCCCUUCAAUGAUUGGGAGGUGGAGAGAUUACUUUUGACAAUCCGGGAGGGAGGCUUAAUCCUAAUUUGGAAGAUAGAGUGCUAUGCAAAGAGACUAAGGAUGAGAUUUCUCAGUUAAAUAUCUUUAUAGUGCUCUAGUUUCAAGAAGUGUUGUUUAGUUUCCUAAUAGCAUCAUUUGGAGUCCCUGUGUUCCUACUAAAGUGGGUAUUUUUGCUUGGAAAGCCUCUUGGGGUAAGGUGUUAACUUUGGAUCAACUUAAAAAGAGAGGGUGAACUUUAGCUAAUAGAUGCUUCCUUUGUUAUGCGGAAGAAGAGUCUAUUGAUCAUAUUCUAAUUCAUUGCACAAAUGCAAGAGUUAUUGUUUGCUCUUUUUGGCAUAAUUUGAGUCAUUCCUUAUUCGAUUAGAGAUACCCUCCUUGGUUGGCGUGGUAUUAACAUGGGCAAGAAACAUAGAAAUGUGUGAAAUAGAGCCCUUUUGUGUAUUUUUUGGGCGAAAUAGGAUUGCAUUUGAAAAUGAGGACCUUUCGAUUCAUAGGUUGAAAAAUUAUUUUGUAUGUAACAUUUGGUUUUGGACUAAAUCGGUUGUAAAUGAAGGACCUCUUCAUUUAUUCAGUUUUUUUUUAUUGAUUGGGUUCUAGUUGAGGGCUGGUGAAUUUUUGUAUCCCCUCUUUUUUUUGUUUUUGCUUUUAAGCGCCUGUUGUAUACCCCCCGGUAUGCUUUUGGGUUAGCCUUAAGGUGCCAUUUUUUCUAAUAUAUAUAUUCUCUAUGUGUUUACUUAUAAAAUAAUAAUAAUAUACAUUUUAAUAUCUUAACUAGAUGAAGGAAAAAUAUAUAAAAAAAAGGAUAUAAUUAUAUUUGAAUAGUUAAAAGUAGUAUAUUUGAUUAAAAAAGAAAGAAAGAAAUGUUAAUUAUUUUUAAAUAAUUAUUUAAUUUAUAGUUUAUAAAAUUGAGAUGUUAUUUUAUGAGAAUUUUUCGUACGAGUGUAAGAAAAUACAAUUUUCCGAAAGAGCAGCGCGACUUUGUAAUAGAAAUGGAACAAGGAAGAAGUCUAAUUUAAAGUUUUGGGGCAAAACAACUGGUGGGACGACGUGGCAAGUUAUUAUUGGAAGAAGGAUGGUAUACUUGACGUGGCGAUGGUACACCAAGCACACUCUUCCAUUUCUGUUAACGUUCAUCUUGCCGGAACAAUAAGAAAACAGUCCGGCUUGAAACUGCACGCGCCACUUCAUCUCUUCUUCCAAACAUGCGCAGGUUCUGCUACACUCUUCUCGUCGUACUUGCGCUCCUCCCUCUUUCUACACUCGCACGCCCAUUCGUCCUCAUCCUCACCCCCGACGACCUCAGUGACACCGCACCACCGUCCUCCGAAUCCGCCGCGGACAGCGGCGACACGUCGGACUGGGAUGAGUUCGGGGACUCCGACGCCAGGCUCGACGACGAGCUCGACCCGGGCUCCUGGCGCCCGAUCUUGGAGCCGGAUUCGGGUCCGGAACCAAAGACUGAGGAUGAGGCGGUGUACUACUCCGGCGUGGCGAAGAUGAUCGCUGCUGCUAGCUCUGGCGGACCGAGGGUCAUGGAGGAGGCGGCAUCGGAGAUUGAAGCGGCCGCGACAGCGGGGAACCCCCUUGCGCAGUCGGCGUUAGGGUUUUUGUAUGAGACGGGCAUGAUGAGGGAGAGGAACAAAGCCAAGGCGUUUAUGUAUCAUUACUUUGCUACCGAUGGCGGUAACACGCAGUCUAAGAUGGUUCUUGCCUACACUUACUCGCGCCAAGAUGUGAGUGAAACCCUAGCUCUUUAAUUUUGUUUGAGUGGAUUUUGGUUCUGUUUGGUCGCUGAGGUAAUGGGAAUUUGAGUGUGGUGAUUUAUUUAUUUAUUUAUUAUUAUAAUUUUUGCAGAAAUUCUACUCAUAGUUAAAAUUCCAAAGCCUGUGGAAACCUUAUAUAUAGUUAUUAUGGGAGAGUUUUAUCGAUGCUGGAAACCUAGAUCUGGAAAUAGUUGAAAAAUCUAUAAGUUUCUCAUGUUCGGAAACCUAUCUGUUCUAUGCGGUUUCUGGUAAAAUUUAUGGAAGCAAAAUAUAGAAGGCUUCAAUUUUAGGUUUUUGGUCAUUUUGGUUUGGCCUUUAUUGUAAACUAGUUAACUUACUUUUCCUUGAGCAGUCUGAAAUCUAAUUUCAAAUGAAAGUCCUAGACCAACUUUCAACCAUGUAGAGUCUCAACAAUUCCAACUCAAACAUAGGUAGUUUUCCUAUCCAAUAUCAAAUUGAGGGAAUAAUAAAAAUUUAUACAAUUAAGCAUAAUACAAAAUGCAUCCAAAGGUUCUCCGAAUAGUAACAACGUAAAGCUUCAAUUACAAACAACCGUAUUGAAAUAUAAUAUUUUUCUCAUAUUUGGAAGUUCAAAGAUUUGCCAAUUUUCUGAUGUAUGGAAAUACUUGUUGAAAUUAUGACCCAUUUGACUGCCAAGAAAGAUGGGAAAGUGUAGAAGAUAGAUUGAUGCUUAGAGUUUUAAUCAUCUCAUCAAGCAUAAGUUUCUGUCUUUUCUUUUUCUUCCCUCAGUUUUCUCAGAAUGCAGACUGAGGUUUUUGAAAAAAAAUUUAUUUCCAAAUGUACUAUGGAAAACAAUUUAAGUGUUUGAAACUUUUGUAUGGAAACACAAGCUCUACAAAAUCAUUAUAGAAGUUUUUAUUUUCUUCUUAAUAGUCUUGUUUAUGAGUUUGGUGAUUGUUUGUUUUCAGAUGUAUGAUAAAGCGGUUGAGCUAUAUGCUGAAUUAGCAGAAAUAGCUGUGAACAGUUUUUUAAUUUCGAAGGAUUCACCAGUGAUUGAACCUGUUAGGCUCCAUAAUGGAGCUGAAGAGAACAAAGAGGCCCUGAGGAAGUCUAGAGGGGAGGAAGAUGAAGACUUCCAGAUCUUGGAAUACCAGGCUCAAAAAGGGAAUGCAGCAGCUAUGUAUAAAAUUGGGAUAUUUUACUACUUUGGAUUGAGAGGAUUGAGGCGUGAUCGUGCCAAGGCAUUGUUGUGGUUUCUAAAGGCUGUGGAGAAGGGGGAGCCAAGGUCCAUGGAACUUCUUGGGGAGAUUUACGCAAGGGGAGCUGGUGUUGAGAGGAACUACACUAAGGCGUUGGAAUGGCUAACGCUCGCAUCCCAACGACUCCCUUCAGCUUAUAACGGGAUGGGGUAUUUAUAUGUGAAAGGUUACGGAGUGGAAAAGAAGAACUACACCAAAGUAAGAGUUAUCUGUAUAUUUUUUUUACUGCAUCAUUCCAUGUUUCUUUAUCUUCCAUCUCACUUAUAUAGUUAUGCUUACUCAUUAGGUAUGUCUGUUUCUUUUUUGUAGCGAUGGUUUUCUUUUUUCACCUUCCAAGUUGCUUCAGCUAAGAUACUGCUUUAUGUUCAGUAUUAUUUUUUUGGUAUGGCUGUGUUUGCUCUCUAUUGUUAGUGGCAUUGGUUUGCUCCAGUUCGCAUCAUCUAGUGAGGAACACAAAUAUUAAGAAUCUAUUACUUGAAACAACUAAUGCAUUUAUACACGCCCCUGCUCUUUUCUUUACCAAAUAUAUCUCAGUACCACAUUCUCAACCUUAGAACAAAAGAAAAUUCCUUUUGUCUCAGAAGGAAAAAACAUACUUGUGUCUUUCUAUUUGAUACAAAGAUGCUCAAGGAUAUUGCUUGUAAGAUCAUAAAAUACUGGCAGUGCUCACUGUAUUUUAAAGAGUGCAAUAUGUUGGAAAUAUCCAUUUAAUUGUUUUGGUGUGGCAUGAAGAAGGCAAACACUUGGCAAAAACCAAAAUGAUUGAAGAGCACAAUGAAUGCAUCCGAAAUGUAAAAAAACUAAAAAUAAAAAUUCAAGUAGAUGAAUGGAGAUACUGUUUAUACUUUAUAAUUAUAUAGUUAUCAAAAAUAGCUGAGUUGUUUUCUGUUGCACUGCUAAAGAUGCUUGGCUAGCUGAGAUGUGGGAGCAGGAAUGGGAGAGAGGUUGUUGGAACUCCCGCUUCUCAAGACAAAUCCAUGAUUAGGAGCUUGAGUGGGUGAAGGCUUUCUUUAGAAGACUACAAGGUUACACUAUUAGUAGGGAAGUAGAGGACGAUAUAUUAUGGUUGAGUUUGAAGGGUAGCAAUUUCUCAAUUAAAUUUCUCUACUCCUCUUUAAAGGAUGUUAAUGUUGGACCAACUCAAAACAAAGGAGAUGGAAGUUGCUGAACAUGUGUGAUCUUUGUAAAGAAGAAGAAGAAACACCCCAUCACAUCCUUUUCCAUUAUGUAAAGGCAAUCAUCUUGUGGCAAAUUUUUUAUGCCCUAUUUGGAAUAAAGUGUGUGAUGCAUUCCUCAGUUAGAAGCAUCUUUUUGGGUUGGCAUGGAUCCUUUGUCAGGACAAAUAGGAAGAAAGCUUGAAAAAUGUCUUUUUAGUUUUUAUUUUGGACCAUUUGGAAGGAUAGCUUUUGAAAACAAUGAAAAUGUAGAUCAAAUGGUUGUUUAUGUUUAACUUAUUGGGGUAGGUUGGAGAGUACAUAGGUGAUUACUCAAUGUCUAGGCAGACUUCAUCGAUUAUUGAGCUUUAAAGAGGGAGCGACUAUUAUUUUUUAUGUCUCUCUCUUUGCUUUGUGUGGCUUUUUGGCAUGUUUUUAUACACUAUAUAUUUGUGCACUCUUUUUUUUUUCUUUUUUCUUUUUUUUUUAAAUAAAAAAAAAAACAUUUGUUUACAUGGAAAUAAAAUUGUAAAUGAAGGAUGAGAAAUCCUUCCCAACAAUUACAAACUCUAAUCAAAAGAAGGAGAGGAGAAGCCUUAUUCAAAAUACUAGGAAUUGCACAUUGAUAGAAUACCACAAAAUGCUAUAUUCCUCCCUUUUCUAUCCUAAUCCUUUGAUCCACAACACUUUCCGAUCAAGCUAAAUCACAUUGAUGAGAGUGCCCUUAAAUGCUUUGUAGCACAGGCCCAUAAGGAGAAGUAGAAAUAUUUAUUUAUUUAUUUUUUGAUAAGUAAAAGACAAAAGGAUAUUAUAUAUAAAGAGAAAAGGGCGCCCAAAGGACAGCUCAAAGCAUACCGGGAGUAUACAAGAGGUGCCUCAAGGUGAAAACCAAGAAGAAUAAGGGUUACAAAAACUUACCCACCCUCAUUUAGAACCCAACCAAUCAAAAAAGUUGAUCAAUGAUAAUGGACCUACAUCUAUGAACAACUUGGAGCAAGACCAAUAAUUUUUCAACUUAGAAAUAAAUUAGAUCUCAUAUCUUCUCUUAAGUCCUCCAUUUGUCUUAAAAAGUGAUUGCAUUUCUCUCUUGCCAUAUUAUCCAAAUCAAUGAAAGACAUGCCAUUUACUGUAAAACUUUGCCUCUUAUGGUUCUUCCAAAACCUUUAGAGGAAAUGGUCAUCAUGUCAUUUAUGCUUCUAGAAGGAAUCCGGUAUAGCAAGUGCCAAAGCCCCUAAAUCAUUGGGAAAUGUAAAAAGAAGUGAUCAAUCAAUUCUCCAUUAACCAUGCAUAUGGUGCAAUUAUUAAGACUAAGGGCUUUGAAAGGUCUUCUCGCUUGAAGUAAGCCAUUGGUAUUGACCUUCUGAUGCUAUACUAUCUUUGUGAUGGGAAGAAAAUAGUGUUUUCUUAAUUAAUGUUAUUCCUGUCUCUUUCAGUUUUUCAUUUUCCAUCCCAUUGCUUGAGGAAAAUUCUUAGAUAACUUUUCUUUCCCUUCCCAUUUUCCUUGUAAGAAUAAGAUUUAGAUUUAUAUUUAUCUGUGAAGGGCAAGAGGAAAUGAAAGCUGUUCUUCCACGAAAUAAUUUCAACAACAGAGAAAGUAGCAUACCUCAUUGUAGAACUUUGUUAAUUUUCAGCAAUAACUGCCCUCUAGUUACCAUAUUUGUUAGUUCCUAAGUUUUCGGCACUUGCUGACUCUCUUUCAUUGCAGGCAAAAGAAUACUUUGAGAAGGCUGUUGAUCAUGAUGAGGCUGGUGGGCACUAUAACCUAGGUGUAAUGUAUCUCAAAGGAGUUGGAGUAAAAAGGGAUGUGAAGCUAGCUUGCAAUUAUUUUAUAAUGGCAGCUAAAGAAGGGCAGCCAAAGGCAUUUUACCAGUUGGCAAAGAUGUUCCAUACUGGUGUGGGGCUUAAGAGGAAUCUUCCUAUGGUAAGUUGGGAUUCCCGUGUUUGUUUUCUUUUGUUUAAUUGCCUUUACCUAUUGAUAAGCUUUAUUUUUUUAUUAAUCUACAUGAUUCAUUAUUCAUGUUUCUUUAUCUUUAAUCCAGAUCCCUUUUGGUGGAAAUUUGCUUGAGAAAAGCUCAAGAUAUCUAUGUCCUAAUAUGUGCAAUAUUGUCAACUAUCUAUUAGAUAAUUUAUGCUUUAUGCUAGAGUAAUAUUUCAUUUUUCAUUUUAUAUUUUUGCAUCAUGGUCAUAAACAGCUGUGUAUUUUAUAUAAAAAUAGGUAUUGCACGCUAAUAUGCUAUAAUUUGAAAUGAGAGCAACCUUACUUGGUCUAAAAUUUUCACAAGUCUUGCUGGGUGACAGAGGGAGGGAGGGAAAAAGGUUCAGACCAUAGAAUUUUUUUUUAAUUACCCUUUGAUAUCAUAAAUAGGUUUCCUAAAAUCCCUGGAUGCAUCAUUUGUCAGGUCCGAGGAUGAUUUUUCAGAGUCCUGUAUCUCUGUUAAAUUAAGUUUUUAAAAUAUAAGUACACAAAAUUGUUUGGCAUGAUACAUUUCCCAUAUAGUUUGCCGAGUUAAGCUUCCAACAUCAUCUAGUUUGAUUCAGAUUGGAGUCAUAAUAAAAAUGAAUAUUUAAUUGUUAAUGAGCUAUACAAUCUCAAUCUCUCUCUCUCUUCCUGAUUGGCAUUUUUUUUGCUUUAAUUUAUUUAUAUUUUUGGUACAUGAAAUUGAAUAUGGAAGUUUCUCAUUUCCAGCCCGACUCAGGCUGCAAUAAUAUUUGAAAGUUAAUAAUAUUAGUUAUGGAGUACCUAGAGAGGGUUGAAUAGGUAGUUAUUUCUUUUUAGCCCAAAUUAUUAUUUUUAAAAUUUCACUUUAAGAAUUAGAGAUGAAGUUAAUAAAUUUAAUUGCAUAAGGAGACAACGAUUUACGUGGGGAAACCAUCCACAAAGUCUCUCAUAGACUUUGCGGAUAUAAAAAUCAUGAGGUCAAAGAUCAUGAAGCUAUAAUUCACUAAAUAUGAAGAAGAGGUACAUAGAUUUACAUAGUGGUUGCUAUUUCUUGAGACUGAUAUCCCUGAGAACCUACACCUAAUCUCACGUUUGUGAUGCAACACCGCCAUGCUUCUUGGUGGACUCUUUAGCACCUUAAGGGGAUGCAAAUCUCUCUUACAAACCCAUAAAUAAAAAUGAGCACCUUUGAGAAUUUCGGGUAAAGUGCAAAAAAUAAUGACUUUAAGUUUAGGCACACGAGUUCUCGAAAGAACUCUCCUAAUAGACAUAUAUUAGAGAAAGCCUUGUGGACUUGGAGUCAAUUUAUAAAUCAUAUUUUACCAAAAAACAAUUUAGGAAACUUAAGAAUCUUAGAAAUAUUUGGAAAUAUUUUUUCGAUUUUUUUGAAGUUAAAAAAAUAUUUAGAAAGAUUUUUCUUUUUAAAAUUCUUAAUUUAAAUUUCUUUCCAAAUUUCUUAAAAGAUUUGGAAACAUUAUCCUUUUUAAAUUCUCAAUUUAAAAUUCUUUUCCAAAUUAAUUUUAUUAUUUUUAAAAAAUUCUUUUAAAAUUUUCAAUUUAAAAUUCUUCAUUCUAUGUCUUUUACAUCAUUGUUCUUACUUAACUCAACUAUAUUUAUUGGUUUAAUCUCAGGUUGAUUCUGUAGCAACCUUAAAUCUUCAAAAGGAGUAUAUGCAGAGUUCUAACCAGGAUGGAUAGAACAAAAUUGUCAAUUUAAUCGAAAUAACCUAAUGCACUAACAAUGUUAAUAGUGCUAAUGGGUUUUACUAUCCAAAUGGUUGAUUAUUUGACAAGUUGAGUGUUGGGUAUUUGCCAUUUUAUUUUUGAGAAUUAAGUUCCAUAUAUUAAUUGUCAAAUCAUGAUUUAGGUUCAUGGGAUUUGGGGGCAUUAUAAAGUGGAUCAUGAAGAUGGUUAAUCAUGGUGUGGGAGAUGGAAUUAAAGGUUGGGUGUAAUCAAUUUCCAAUGAUUAUAAAUGAAAGGAGGUUGCUUCUCCAGUGGUUUAUGAGUUUUGCACAUCCUUUUGUGUUAAAAACCAGGUUAUGACUAGUAUGGAUUUUGAACCCAUCACAUUUUGGCCCCCAUUCAAAUUGGUUCUAAGGAAUUUAAUCAGUGCCCGAUCAUUAUAAAGAAAGUUGCUUCUUGGGUGUGUUGUGAGUUUUGCAUGUCCUUUUGUGUUAAAAACCAGGUUAUGACUUGUAUGGGUUUUGAACCAUCACAUUUUGGCCCCCAGGUAAAUUGGUUCUAAGGAAUUCUGUUCAAACGUAGAGGUGGACUUGUUUCCACCUGGAGAGACUAUUGAGGAGGUGAAAGAUGUUGAUGAGGAGACUUGAAGGUUUUUUGGAUGUGUAGAGAGUUGCAAAGCUUGUGAGAAUGAGCUCUUAACAAUCACAGGUGAUGAGGAAUUGGAUCCUUCUGCUGUAUCAAGAUCCCAUGUGACAAAGAGUUGGAUCCUUUAUGGGGCUUAUAUAUCUUCAUUCUACCUGGGAAGGUGGGAUGGGUUGAGGUGGAGGGAUUCUGAUGAAAGGCAGAUUUCAGUAAGAUUGUUUCUCCAGGUAUUGUCUUUUGGUGGGGAUGCCAUAUCCCUAGCAUCGAACACUUGGAGUUCAGCAAGCCCUUAAAAAGUGGCUUUCAUUGUUUGGAUAGCAGUCAGGAUAAGAUUUGACUAUUGAACACUUGAAGUAUCAAAGAUGGAGCAUGGCUAAUUGAUAUUGCAUUUGCAAAUUAAUUGAGUCAGUUAACCAUCUUUUGACUUGUUCUCUGAUUGCUUGAGAUAUUUCAUUUCUAUGCUUUUUAGGUUAGUUGGAUUCUUCCCAGGAUGAUGAUAGAUGUGCUUUCAAGCUACCAUGUCUAGUUCAUUAAAAGAUAUAGGAGGAGUGGAGUAUUACUGCUUUAUGUUUGGCUGAGUAAUUUUUGGAAGGUAUGGAACAAAAGAAUCUUUUAGUGGUUUGAAACUUCUGAAAGCAAGAUCAAAGUACUUGUGUGAGAUCUUUGCAUAUUCAAACAGGGAGUGUUUUCUGAGUUAGCACUUAGGAGGCAUUCUGUCUAAGCUUUUGUUAGUAGUAUGAGCUAUUUGACGGGUUGGGGUUGUUGUAUGUUAUCAUUGCUCCUUUCACUAUGCCAUCUGGAUUUUGGUCUGUUUUAGAUUUCUCAUUGUUUUAUGUGGGUGCUUUGCAUUUUUUUCACCUGCAUUGGAACUCUUGAGGUGCUUUUCCUAUUAUUUAUUGGCAAUAAAAAAUAAAAAUAAUCAAACUAAGUUUACAUUUCACUCUCUCUUAAGUGUCAACUAUUAGAAUGAUGAUAUGCUGAAAGUUAAUAUAAUUAUAAUUAAUGGUUCUUGAUUUUAGUGGUUUGACUCAUCAUCUUCAUUAAUGUGAUCGACCUGAGAUUGUACAUAUGCUCAUGUAUGAGGUUUUGAUUUUUUUUUCCUGAUAUCUACUUUUGUCUUCAUUGGCUAGAAGCUCUUGUUCUUCCAUCUAUUUGAAAAUGAACAUGGCCUAUCUGUGUUCUCCCCCUAUUUUCUAAAUCACCAGAAGAUGGAAUAAUACCGAUGAUUUUCUUAUGUGAUUAUUGUAAACGAAGUGGAACUGACAUAUCAAUUCACCAAAAUAAAGAA